rnacentral:lncRNA from 1 species
UGAUGAAACUACUCCAACAAGUUCUUGUGAAGAUUGUAGCCGUGAAUGACAUGUACAAAUAGAAUUCCAACAUGCAUAGGAAACCAUGUGUCUUUCAAGAUGGUGACAUGGUUUAGGUGUAUAUGAGGAAAUGAUGUUUUACUAACAAAAGGAAGAACAAAAGUUGAUGCCAAGAGCUGUCCUUACAAGCUUUUGUAAGUGGUGUAUGGUGUGAAUCCUUAAAAGCGUUUGUAUUUGAUUCCAUUUCCAAACGAUGAAUUGGUUCACAAGUAUGCUAAUGACAAGUUGAAGGCCAUGACGAAACUACACCAACAAGCUCGUGUGAAGAUUGAAGCCGUGAAUGACAUGUACAAACAGAAUUCCAACAUGUAUAGGAAACCUCGUAUCUUACAAGAUGGUGACUUGGUUUAGGUGCAUAUGAGGAAAGAACGUUUUCUAAACAAAAGGAAGAACAAAAGUUGAUGCCAAAAGCUGAAGGUCCUUAUAAACCUUCGUAAGUGGUGUAUGGUGUGAAUCCUUACAAGCCUUUGUAUUUGAUUCCAUUUCCAAGUGAUGAAUUGGUUCACAAGGAUGCAAAUGACAAUUUGAAGGCCAUGAUGUAACUACACCAACAAGUUUGUGUGAAGAUUAAAGUUGUGAAUGACGUGUAGAAACAGAAUUCCAACAUGAAUAGGAAACCACAUGUCUUAUAUGAUGUUGACAUGGUUUAGGUGCAUAUGAGGAAAGAACGUUUUCUUAAAAAAAGGAAGAGCAAAAGUUGAUGCUAAGAGCUGAAGGUCCUUACAAAAUGGUGACACAUGUCAAUGAUAAUACAUAUAAGGUUGAUCUGGGAUGAGACCAUGGAGUGCAUGCUACCUUUAAUGUGGGAGACCUUUCACCGUAUCAUGUUGAGGAUGGCCUUGAUGAAUUAGGGUCAUGGCAAGAUGUGUUGAUGGAAUUCAGCAUGGCUUUGCCUAGAACUCAAAGGAGGAAGGAAUCCAUUAUAGUGGUGGUGGAUAGGUUUUCAAAAAUGGCUCACUUUAUGCCAUGUCAUAAAACCCAUUCAUCUAAUGUGUCUGAUUUGUACUUUAAAGAAGUGGUUCGCUUGCAUAUUAUUCCUAAAACUAUUGUUUCUGAUAGGGAUUCCUUGUUUUCGACUUACAUUUGGAACACUUUGUGGAGGAAAGUUGGUACUAAGUUAAUUUUUAGUACGUCCCAUCAUCCACAAACUGACGGGCAAACGAAGAUGACUAAUAGAACUUUGGGUAGGUUGUUGAGGGGGUUGGUUAGCAAAACUCAAAAACAGUUGGAUAUCAAACUUGCACAUGCUGAGUUUGCCGGUAAUCAUUCUCCUACUUAUGCUACAGGUCACUGUCCUUUAUAAGUGAUGUAUGGCGUGAAUCCUUAAAAGCCUUUAUAUUUGAUUCCAUUUCCAAACGAUGAAUUGGUUCACAAGGAUGCUAAUGACAAGUUGAAGGCCAUGAUGAAAGUACACCAACAAGUUCUUAUGAAGAUUCAAGACAUGAAUGACGUGUAAAAACAAAAUUCCAACAUGCAUAGGAAACCACAUGUCUUUCAAGCUGGUGACUUGGUUUAGGUGUAUAUGAGAAAAUAAUGUUUUCCUAACAAAAGGAAGAACAAAAGUUGAUGCCAAGAGCUGUCCUUACAAGCUUUUGUAAGUGGUGUAUCGUGUGAAUCCUUAAAAGCGUUUGUAUUUGAUUCCAUUUCCAAACGAUGAAUUGGUUCAUGAGUAUGCUAAUGACAAGUUGAAGGCCAUGACGAAACUACACCAAGAAGCUCGUGUGAAGGUUGAAGCCGUGAAUGACGAGUACAAACAGAAUUCCAACAUGUAUAGGAAACCACGUGUCUUUCAAGAUGGUGACUUGGUUUAGGUGCAUAUGAGGAAAGAACGUUUUCCAAACAAAAGGAAGAACAAAAGUUGAUGCCAAAAGCUGAAGGUCCUUAUAAGCCUUCGUAAGUGGUGUAUGGUGUGAAUCCUUACAAGCCUUUGUAUUUGAUUCCAUUUCCAAAUGAUGAAUUGGUUCACAAGGAUGCAAAUGACAAUUUGAAGGCCAUGAUGUAACUACACCAACAAGUUUGUGUGAAGAUGGAAGCUAUGAAUGACAUGUACAAACAGAAUUUCAACAUGCAUAGGAAACCACGUGUCUUACAAGAUGGUGACUUGGUUUGGGUGUAUAUGAGGAAAGAACGUUUUCCUAACAAAAGGAAGAACAAAAGUUGAUGCCAAGAGCUCAAGGUCCUUACAAAGUAAUGACACAUGUCAAUGAUAAUGCUUAUAAGGUGGAUCUGGGAGGAGACCCCGGAGUGCAUGCUACCUUUAAUGUGGGAGAGCUUUCAAUGUAUCUAGUUGAGGAUGGCCUUGAUGAAUUAAGGUCAUUUACUUUCAAAGAGGGAGGGGAGGAUCCAUGCAUGGCUCACGAAAAGCCGAAAAAGGUGAUGGACUAGUGAUUACUGCUAGGCUAGAAGGUGGUUUGUACGUAAUGGUUGGGUUGUGCAUGGUAACCUACGUAUUGAAUUAGGAUCGCAUGAAGGCUAGGGCAACAUUUAAAAGGCUUAAAUAGUGCUCAAAACCGUUACUUUUUGCUUCAUCAAGCCUUCUAGCCAUUCUUGAUACUCUUUGGUGGAUUUGGGUUACACUUUAUUGCUUCUUUUUGCUACUUAAUGGAGCAUGGACGCUUUUUUCAUUCAUUAGUGUGUCAGACGUUUUUUUGUGUGGUUUCAUGAGUUUCUUUAAUUUCCAUUAUUAGUUUUACUGAGUAGUUGGGUGGGUGGUUUGUAACCACCAACUUUGUUAUAAAGGCUUCAUAUAAGCCAAUUAUGCUUGGAAAAAAGAGAUAGAUGAAAUUUUAAUCAAAAGAACCUUUGUUCACUUUGAAUUAUAGUUAUAUUUCACUACUUGUCAUAGUCGAGAUGUGUUCUUAACUUGAUACGCAUUCAAACAACUAUUAUUUCUUGGAUAGUUUUCACGAGUAUACAACUUAGUAAGUCUUGAUUUGUUACUAAUCUAUCCAUUUUUUCCUAUACACCUAUCAUUUGUGGUUGUUAUUCUAGCUUAAUUUACCUAAACAUAGCCCCACUCACUUAAUCAAGCCCAUAAAGGCAGCAAAAGGCAAUCACCUUUGUGUCCGUAAACAUGCAAUAUGGGAGUUGCUGAUUCAUGAAGCUCAUGGUGGUGGUUUGGCGGGUCAUUUUUCCAUUAGCUAAACUUUGAAGGUGCUUUAAGAACAUUUCUUUUGGCCUAAAGAUGUUAGGGAUGUAACCAUGAUAGUGGGCAAGUGUGUUACAUGUCGGAUGACGAAAAAAACUUUCAAGCAUGGUGUUUACACUCCUUUGUCCUUUCCUAUUCGUCCUUGGCAAGAGGUGUCAAUGGAAUUCAGUAUGGCUUUUCCUAGAACUCAUAGGGGGAAGGAAUCCAUUAUAAUGGUGGUGGAUAGGUUUUCAAAAAUAGCUCACUUUAUGCCAUGUCAUAACACCAAUGAUUUAUCUAAUGUGUCUGAUUUGUACUUUAAAGAAGUGGUUCGCUUGCAUAUUAUUCGUAAAACUAUUGUUUAUGAUAGGGAUUCCUUGUUUUUGAGUUACAUUUGGAACACUUUGUGGAGGAAAGUUGGUACUAAGUUAUUUUUUAGUGCGUCCCAUCAUCCAUAAACUGACGGGCAAACGAAGGUGACUAAUCGAACUAUGGGUAUGUUGUUGAGGGGGUUGGUUAGCAAAACUCAAAAACAGUUGGACAUCAAACUUGCACAUGCUGAGUUUGCCUGUAAUCGUUCUCCUACUUAUGCUACAAGUCACUGUCCUUUAUAAGUGAUGUAUGGUGUGAAUGCUUACAAGCCUUUAUAGUUGAUUCCAUUUCUAAACGAUGAAUUGGUUCACAAGGAUGCUAAUGACAAGUUGAAGGCCAUGAUGAAACUACACCAACAAGUUCUUGUGAAGAUUGAACCCAUGAAUGAUGUGUACAAACAGAAUUCCAACAUGCAUAGGAAACCACGUGUCUUACAAGAUGGUGACGUGGUUUAGGCGCAUAUGAGGAAAGAACGUUUUGCUAACAAAAGGAAGAACAAAAGUUGAUGCCAAGAGCUGAAGGUCCUUACAAGCCUUUGUAAGUGGUGUAUGGUGUGAAUCCUUACAAGCCUUUGUAUAUUAUUCCAAUUCCAAACGAUGAAUUGGUUCACAAGGAUGCUAAGGACAAGUGGAAGGCCAUGACGAAACUACACAAAAAACUCGUGUGAAGAUUGAAGCCGUGAAUGACGUGUACAAACAGAAUUCCAACAUGCAUAGGAAACCAUGUGUCUUUCAAGAUGGUGACUUGGUUUAGGUGCAUAUGAGGAAAGAACGUUUACUUAAAAAAGGAAGAACUAAAGUUAAUGCCAAGAGCUGAAGGUGCUUACAAGCCUUUGUAUGUGGUGUAUGGUGUGANAAAGAACCUUUGUUCACUUUGAAUUAUAGUUAUAGUUCACUACUUGUCAUAGUCGAGACCUGUUCUUGACUUGAUAUGCAUUCAAACAAAUAUUAUGUCUUGGAUAGUUUUCACGGGUAUACAACUUAGUAGGUCUUGAUUUGUUACUAGUUUAUCCAUUUCUUCCCAUACACCUGUCAUUUGUGGUUUUUAUUCUAGCUUCAUUUACCUAAACACAGCCCCACUCACUUAAUCUAGCCCAUAAAGGCAUCAAAAGGCAAUCACCUUUGUGUCCCUAAACAUGCAAUACGGGAGUUGCUGAUUCGUGAAGCUCAUGGUGGUGGUUUGGCGGGUCAUUUUUCCAUUACCAAAACUUUGAAGGUGCUUUAAGAACAUUUCUUAUGGCCUAAAGAUGUUAGGGAUGUAACCAACAUAGUGGGCAAGUUUCUUACAUAUCGGAUGACGAAAAAAACUUUCAAGCAUGGUGUUUACACUCCUUUGUCGGUUCCUAUUCCUCCUUGGCAAGAAGUGUCAAUGAAAUUCAGUAUGGCUUUUCCUAGAACUAAAGGGGGGAAGGAAUCCAUUAUAGUGGUGGUGGAUAGGUUUUCAAAAAUGGUUCACUUUAUGCCAUGUCAUAAAACCAAUGAUUCAUCUAAUGUGUCUGAUUUGUACUUUAAAGAAGUGGUUCGCUUGCAUAUUAUUCGUAAAACUAUUGUUUCUGAUAGGGAUUCCUUGUUUUUGAGUUACAUUUGGAACACAUUGUGGAGGAAAGUUGGUACAAAGUUACUUUUUAGUACGUCCCAUCAUCCACAAACUGAUGGGCAAACGAAGGUGACUAAUAGAACUUUGGGUACGUUUAUUGAGGGGGUUGGUUAGCAAAACUCAAAAAUAGUUGGACAUCAAACUUGCACAGGCUGAGUUUGCAUGUAAUCGUUCUCCUAUUUAUGCUACAGGUCACUCUCCUUUAUAAGUGGUGUAUGGUGUGAAUCCUUACAAGCCUUUAUAUUUGAUUCCAUUUUCAAACAAUGAAUUGGUUCUCAAGGAUGCUAAUGACAUGUUGAAGGCCAUGAUGAAACUACACCAACAAGUUCAUGUGAAGAUUGAAUCCGUGAAUGACGUGUACAAACAGAAUUCCAACAUGCAUAGGAAACCACGUGUCUUUCAAGAUGGUGACUUGGUUCAGGUGCAUAUGAGGAAAGGACGUUUUCCUAACAAAAGGAAGAACAAAAGUUGAUGCUAAGAGCUGAAGGUCCUUACAAGCCUUUGUAAGUUGUGUAUGGUAUGAAUCCUUACAAGCCUUUGUAUAUUAUUCCAUUUCCAAACGAUGAAUUGGUUCACAAGGAUGCUGAUGACAAGUCGAAGGCCAUGACGAAACUACACCAACAAGCUCGUGUGAAGAUUGAAGCCGUGAAUGACGUGUACAAACAGAAUUCCAACAUGCAUAGGAAACCAUGUGUCUUUCAAGAUGGUGACUUGGUUUAGGUGCAUAUGAGGAAAGAACGUUUACUUAAAAAAGGAAGAACUAAAGUUAAUGCCAAGAGCUGAAGGUGCUUACAAGCCUUUGUAUGUGGUGUAUGGUGUGAAUCCUUAAAAUCCUUUGUAUUUUAUUCCGUUUCCAAACGAUGAAUUGGUUCACAAGGAUGCUAAUGACAAGUUGAAGGCAAUGAUGAAACUACACCAACAAGUUUGUGUGAAGAUUGAUUCCGUGAAUGACGUGUACAAACGGAAUUCCAACAUGCAUUGGAAACUACGUGUCUUACAAGAUGGUGACUUGGUUUAGGUGCAUAUGAGGAAAGAACGUUUUCCUAACAAAAGGAAGAACAAAAGUUGAUGCCAAGAGCUGAAGGUCCUUACAAGCCUUUGUAAGUGGUUUAUGGUGUGAAUCCUUACAAGCCUUUGUAUUUGAUUCCAUUUCCAAAUGAUGAAUUGGUUCACAAGGAUGCUAAUGACAAGUAGAAGGCCAUGACGAAACUAUACCAACAAGCUCGUGUGAAGAUUGAAUCCGUGAAUGACAUGUACACACAAAAUUCUAACAUGUAUAGGAAACCACGUGUCUUUCAAGUUGGUGACUUGGUUUAGGUGCAUAUGAGGAAAGAACGUUUUCCAAACAAAAGGAAGAACAAGUUGAUGCCAAGAGCUGAAGGUCCUUAUAAGCCUUCGUAAGUGGUGUAUGGUGUGAAUCCUUACAAGCCUUUGUAUUUGAUUCCAUUUCCAAAUGAUGAAUUGGUUCACAAGGAUGCAAAUGACAAUUUGAAGGCCAUGAUGUAACUACACCAACAAGUUUGUGUGAAGAUGGAAGCUGUGAAUGACAUGUACAAACAGAAUUCCAACAUGCAUAUGAAACCACGUGUCUUACAAGAUGGUGACUUGGUUUAGGUGCAUAUGAGGAAAGAAUAUUUUCCUAACAAAAGGAAGAACAAAAGUUGAUGCCAAGAGCUGAAGGUCCUUACAAAGUGGUGACACAUGUCAAUGAUAAUGCUUAUAAGGUGUAUCUGGGACGAGACCAUGGAGUGCAUGCUACCUUUAAUGUGGGAGACCUUUCAUGUAUCUUGUUGAGGAUGGCCUUGAUGAAUUAAGGUCAUUUCCUUUCAAAGAGGGAGGGGUGGAUCCAUGCAUGGCUCAUGAAAAGCCGAAAAAGGUGAUGGAUUAGUGAUUACUAGUAGGCUAGAAGGUGGUUUGUACUCAAUGGUUGGGUUGUGCAUGGUAACCUCUGUAUUGAAUUAGGGUCGCAUGAAGGCUAGGGCAACAUUUUAAAGGCUUAAUAAGUUCUCAAAACCAUUACUUUUGGCUUCAUCAAGCCUUUUAGCCAUUGUUGAUACUCUUCGGUGGAUUUGGGUUACAUUUUAAUGCUUCUUUUUGCUCCUUAAUGGAGCACGAACGCUUUUUUCAUUCAUUGGUGUGUCAGACGUUUUUUUGUGUGGUUUCAUGAGUUUCUUUAAUUUCCAUUAUUAGUUUUACUGAGUAGUUGGUUGGGUGGCUAGUAACCACCAACUUUGUUAUAAAGGCUUCAUAUAAGCCAAUUUUGCAUGGAAAAAAGAGAUAGAUGAAAUUUUAAUCAAAAUAACCUUUGUUCACUUUGAACUAUAGUUAUAGUUCACUACUUGUCAUAGUCGAGAUGUGUUCUUGACUUGAUACGCAUUCAAACAACUAUUAUUUCUUGGAUAGUUUUCACGAGUAUACAACUUAGUAAGUCUUGAUUUGUUACUAAUCUAUCCAUUUUUUCCUAUACACCUAUCAUUUGUGGUUGUUAUUCUAGCUUAAUUUACCUAAACAUAGCCCCACUCACUUAAUCAAGCCCAUAAAGGCAGCAAAAGGCAAUCACCUUUGUGUCCGUAAACAUGCAAUAUGGGAGUUGCUGAUUCAUGAAGCUCAUGGUGGUGGUUUGGCGGGUCAUUUUUCCAUUACCAAAACUUUGAAGGUGCUUUAAGAACAUUUCUUUUGGCCUAAAGAUGUUAGGGAUGUAACCAUGAUAGUGGGCAAGUGUGUUACAUGUCGGAUGACGAAAAAAACUUUCAAGCAUGGUGUUUACACUCCUUUGUCCUUUCCUAUUCGUCCUUGGCAAGAGGUGUCAAUGGAAUUCAGUAUGGCUUUUCCUAGAACUCAUAGGGGGAAGGAAUCCAUUAUAAUGGUGGUGGAUAGGUUUUCAAAAAUAGCUCACUUUAUGCCAUGUCAUAACACCAAUGAUUUAUCUAAUGUGUCUGAUUUGUACUUUAAAGAAGUGGUUCGCUUGCAUAUUAUUCGUAAAACUAUUGUUUAUGAUAGGGAUUCCUUGUUUUUGAGUUACAUUUGGAACACUUUGUGGAGGAAAGUUGGUACUAAGUUACUUUUUAGUACGUCCCAUCAUCCACAAACUGAUGGGCAAACGAAGGUGACUAAUAGAACUUUGGGUACGUUGUUGAGGGGGUUGGUUAGCAAAACUCAAAAACAGUUGGACAUCAAACUUACACAUGCUGAGUUUACGAGUAAUCAUUCUCCUACUUAUGCUAUAGGUCACUCCUUUAUAAGUGGUGUAUGGUGUGAAUCCUUACAAUCCAUUGUAUUUGAUUCCAUUUCCAAACGAUGAAUUGGUUCACAAGGAUGNAUGAAUUAGUUCACAAGGAUGCUAAUGACAAGUUUAAGGCCAUGCCGAAACUACACCAACAAGUUCUUGUGAAGAUUGAAGCCGUAAAUGACGUGUACAAAUAGAAUUCCAACAUGCAUAGGAAACCACGUGUCUUUCAAGAUGCUCACUUGGUUUAGGUGCGUAUGAGGAAAGAACGUUUUCUUAACAAAUGGAAGAACAAAAGUUGAUGCCAAGAGCUAAAGGUCCUUACAAGCCUUUAUAAGUGGUGUAUGGUGUGAAUCCUUNNNNNNNNNNNNNNNNNNNNNNNNNNNNNNNNNNNNNNNNNNNNNNNNNNNNNNNNNNNNNNNNNNNNNNNNNNNNNNNNNNNNNNNNNNNNNNNNNNNNAGUUGGUACUAAGUUACUUUUUAGUACAUCCCAUCAUCCACAAACCGAUGGGAAAACGAAGGUGAAUAAUAGAAUUUUGGGUAUGUUGUUGAGGGGGUUGGUUCGCAAAACUCAAAAACAGUUGGACAUCAAACUUGCACAUGCUGAGUUUGCCUGUAAUAGUUCUCCUACUUAUGCUACAGGACACUGUCCUUUAUAAAUGAUGUAUGGUGUGAAUCCUUACAAGCCUUUAUAUUUGAUUCCAUUUCCAAACGAUGAAUUGGUUCACAGGGAUACUAAUGACAAGUUGAAGGCCAUGAUGAAACUACACCAACAAGUUCUUGUGAAGAUUGAAGCCAUGAAUGACGUGUACAAAUAGAAUUCAACCAGGCAUAGGAAACCACCUGUCUUUCAAGAUGAUGACUUGGUUUAAGUGAAUAUGAGGAAAGAACGUUUUCGUAACAAAAGGAAGAACAAAAGUUGAUGCCAAGAGCUGAAGGUCCUUACAAGCCUUUGUAAGUGGUCUAUGGUGUGAAUCAUUACAAGCCUUUGUAUAUUAUUCAAUUUCCAAAUGAUGAAUUCGUUCACAAGGAUGCUAAUGACAAGUUGAAGGCCCUGACGAAACUACACCAACAAGCUCGUGUGAAGAUUGAAGCCGUGAAUGACGUGUACAAACAGAAUUCCAACAUGUAUAGGAAACAUCGUGUCUUUCAAGAUGGUGACUUGGUUUAGGUGCAUAUGAGGAAAGGACGUUUUCCAAAGAAAAGGAAGAACAAAAGUUGAUGCCAAAAGCUGAAGGUCCUUAUAAGCCUUCGUAAGUGGUGUAUGGUGUGAAUCCUUACAAGCCUUUGUAUUUGAUUCCAUUUCCAAAUGAUGAAUUGGUUCACAAGGAUGCAAAUGACAAUUUGAAGGCCAUGAUGUAACUACACCAACAAGUUUGUGUGAAGAUUGAAGCUGUGUAUGACGUGUACAAACAGAAUUCCAACAUGCAUAGGAAACCACGUGUCUUACAAGAUGGUGACGUGGUUUAGGCGCAUAUGAGGAAAGAACGUUUUGCUAACAAAAGGAAGAACAAAAGUUGAUGCCAAGAGCUGAAGGUCCUUACAAAGUGGUGACACAUGUCAAUGAUAAUACUUAUAAGGUUGAUCUGGGACGAGACCAUGGAGUGCAUGCUACCUUUAAUGUGGGAGACCUUUCACCGUAUCUUGUUGAGGAUGGCCUUGAUGAAUUAAGGUCAUUUCCUUUCAAAGAGGGAGGGGAGGAUCCAUGCAUGGCUCAUGAAAAGCCGAAAAAUGUGAUGGAUUAGUGAUUACUAGUAGGCUAGAAGGUGGUUUGUACUCAAUGGUUGGGUUGUGCAUGGUAACCUACGUAUUAAAUUAGGGUCGCAUGAAGGCUAGGGCAACAUUUUAAAGGCUUAAUAAGUGCUCAAAACUGUUACUUUUUGCUUCGUCAAGCCUUCUAGCCAUUGUUGAUACUCUUUGGUGGAUUUGGAUUACACUUUAAUGCUUCUUUUUGCUCCUUAAUGGAGCAUGGACACUUUUUUCAUUCAUCAGUGUGUCAGACGUUUUUUUGUGUGGUUUCAUGAGUUUCUUUAAUUUCCAUUAUUAGUUUUACUGAGUAGUUGGUUGGGUGGUUUGUAACCAACAACUUUGUAAUAAAGGCUUCAUAUAAGCCAAUUAUGCAUGGAAAAAAGAGAUAGAUGAAAUUUUAAUCAAAAGAACCUUUGUUCACUUUGAAUUAUAGUUAUAGUUCACUACUUGUCAUAGUCGAGACCUGUUCUUGACUUGAUAUGCAUUCAAACAAAUAUUAUGUCUUGGAUAGUUUUCACGGGUAUACAACUUAGUAGGUCUUGAUUUGUUACUAGUUUAUCCAUUUCUUCCCAUACACCUGUCAUUUGUGGUUUUUAUUCUAGCUUCAUUUACCUAAACACAGCCCCACUCACUUAAUCUAGCCCAUAAAGGCAUCAAAAGGCAAUGACCUUUGUGUCCCUAAACAUGCAAUACGGGAGUUGCUGAUUCGUGAAGCUCAUGGUGGUGGUUUGGCGGGUCAUUUUUCCAUUACCAAAACUUUGAAGGUGCUUUAAGAACAUUUCUUUUGGCCUAAAGAUGUUAGGGAUGUAACCAUGAUAGUGGGCAAGUGUGUUACAUGUCGGAUGACGAAAAAAACUUUCAAGCAUGGUGUUUACACUCCUUUGUCCUUUCCUAUUCGUCCUUGGCAAGAGGUGUCAAUGGAAUUCAGUAUGGCUUUUCCUAGAACUCAUAGGGGGAAGGAAUCCAUUAUAAUGGUGGUGGAUAGGUUUUCAAAAAUAGCUCACUUUAUGCCAUGUCAUAACACCAAUGAUUUAUCUAAUGUGUCUGAUUUGUACUUUAAAGAAGUGGUUCGCUUGCAUAUUAUUCGUAAAACUAUUGUUUAUGAUAGGGAUUCCUUGUUUUUGAGUUACAUUUGGAACACUUUGUGGAGGAAAGUUGGUACUAAGUUACUUUUUAGUACGUCCCAUCAUCCACAAACUGAUGGGCAAACGAAGGUGACUAAUAGAACUUUGGGUACGUUGUUGAGGGGGUUGGUUAGCAAAACUCAAAAACAGUUGGACAUCAAACUUGCACAUGUUGAGUUUGCAUGUAAUCGUUCUCCUACUUAUGCUACAGGUCACUCUCCUUUAUAAGUGGUGUAUGGUGUGAAUCCUUACAAGCCUUUAUAUCUGAUUCCAUUUUUAAAUGUUGAAUUGGUUCACAAGGAUGCUAAUGACAAGUUUAAGGCCAUGCUGAAACUACACCAACAAGUUCUUGUGAAGAUUGAAGCCGUAAAUGACGUGUACAAAUAGAAUUCCAACAUGCAUAGGAAACCACGUGUCUUUCAAGAUGCUCACUUAGUUUAGGUGCAUAUGAGGAAAGAACGUUUUCUUAACAAAUGGAAGAACAAAAGUUGAUGCCAAGAGCUGAAGGUCCUUACAAGACUUUAUAAGUGGUGUAUGGUGUGAAUCCUUACAGGCCUUUGUAUAUUAUUCCAUUUCCAAACGAUGAAUUGGUUCACAAGGAUGCUAAUGACAAGUUGAAGGCCAUGACGAAACUACACCAAGAAGCUCGUGUGAAGAUUGAAGUCGUGAAUGACGUGUACAAACAGAAUUCCAACAUGUAUAGGAAACCUUGUGUCUUUCAAGAUGGUGACUUGGUUUAGGUGCAUAUGAGGAAAGAACGUUUUCCAAACAAAAGGAAGAACAAAAGUUGAUGCCAAAAGCUGAAGGUCCUUAUAAGCCUACGUAAGUGGUGUAUGGUGUGAAUCCUUACAAGCCUUUGUAUUUGAUUCCAUUUCUAAAUGAUGAAUUAGUUCUCAAGGAUGCAAAUGACAAUUUGAAGGCCAUGACGAAACUACACCAACAAGUUUGUGUGAAGAUUGAAGUCGUGAAUCACGUGUACAAACAGAAUUCCAACAUGCAUUGGAAACCACGUGUCUUAGAAGAUGGUGACUUGGUUUAGGUGCAUAUGAGGAAAGAACGUUUUCCAAACAAAAGGAAGAGCAAAAGUUGAUGCCAAAAGCUGAAGGUCCAUACAAAGUGGUGACACAUGUCAAUGAUAAUGCUUAUAAGGUGGAUCUGGGAGGAGACCAUGGAGUGCAAGCUACCUUUAAUGUGGGAGACCUUUCACCGUAUCUUUUUGAGGAUGGCCUUGAUGAAUUAUGUUCAUUUCAUUUCAAAGGGGGAGGGGAGGAUCCAUGCAUGGAUCAUGAAAACCCAAAAGGUGAUGGAUUAUUGAUUACUAGUAGGCUAGAAGGUGGUUUGUACUCAAUGGUUGGGUAGUGCAUGGUAACCUACGUAUUGAAUUAGGGUCGCAUGAAGGCUAGGGAAACAUUUUAAAGGCUUCCUAAGUGCUGGAAACCGUUACUUUUUGCUUCAUCAAGCCUUCUAGCCAUUGUUGAUACUCUUUGGUGGAUUUGGGUUACACUUUAAUGCUUCUUUUUGCUCCUUAUUGGAGCAUGGACGCUUUUUUUCAUUCAUUAGUGUGUCAGAUGUUUUUAUGUGUGGUUUCAUGAUUUUCUUUAAUUUUCAUUAUUAGUUUUAUUGAGUAGUUGGUUGGGUGGUUUGUAACCUCCAACUAUGUAAUAAAGGUUUCAUAUAAGCCAAUUAUGCAUGGAAAAAAAGAGAUAGAUGAAAUUUUAAUCAAAAGAACCUUUGUUCACUUUGAAUUAUAGUUAUAGUUCACUACUUGUAAUAGUCGAGAUGUGUUCUUGACUUGAUACGCAUUCAAACAAAUAUUAUGUCUCGGAUAGUUUUCACGGGUAUACAACUUAGUAGGUCUUGAUCUGUUACCAAUCUAUCCAUUUCUUCCCAUGCACCUAUCAUUUUUGGUUGUUAUUCUAGCUUAAUUUACAUAAACACGGCCCCACUCACUUAAUCAAGCCCAUAAAGGCAUCAAAAGGCAAUCACCUUUGUGUCCCUAAACGUGCAAUACGGGAGUUGCUGAUUCGUGAAGCUCAUGGUGGUGGUUUGGCGGGUCAUUUUUCCAUUACCAAAACUUUGAAGGUGCUUUAAGAACAUUUCUUUUUGCCUAAAGAUGUUAGGGAUGUAACCAACAUAGUGGGCAAGUGUGUUACAUGUCGGAUGAUGAAAAAAACUUUCAAGCAUGGUGUUUACACUCCUUUUUCGGUUCCUACUCGUCCUUGGAAAGACGUGUCAAUGGAAUUCAUUAUGGCUUUGCCUAGAACUCAAAGGGGGAAGGAAUCCAUUAUAGUGGUGGUGGAUAAGUUUUCAAAAAUGGCUCACUUUAUGCCAUGUCAUAAAACCAAUGAUGCAUCUAAUGUGUUUGAUUUGUACUUUAAAGAAGUGAUUCGUUUGCAUAUUAUUCCUAAAACUAUUGUUUCUGAUAGGGAUUCCUUGUUUUUGAGUUACAUUUGGAACACGUUAUGGAGGAAAGUUGGUACCAAGUUACUUUUUAGUACGUCCCAUCAUCCACAAACUGAUGGGCAAACGAAGGUGACUAAUAGAAUUUUGGGUAUGUUGUUGAGGGGGAUGGUUAGCAAAACUCAAAAACAGUUGGACAUCAAACUCGUGCAUGCUGAGUUUGCCUGUAAUCGUUCUCCUACUUAUGCUACAGGUCACUCUCUUUUAUAAGUGGUGUAUGGUGUGAAUCCUUACAAUCCUUUAUAUUUGAUUCCAUUUCCAAACGAUGAAUUGGUUCACAAGGAUGCUAAUGACAAGUUGAAGGCCAUGAUGAAACUACACCAAUAAGUUAUUGUGGAGAUUGACGACGUGAAUGACGUGUACAAAUAGAAUUCCAACGUGCAUAGGAAACCACGUGUCUUUCAAGAUGGUUACUUGGUUUAGGUACAUAUGAGGAAAGGGGAGUGGAGGAUUAAUGCAUGGAUCAUGAAAGCCCAAAAGGUGAUGGAUUAGUGAUUACUAGUAGGCUAGAAGGUGGUUUGUACUCAAUGGUUGGGACCAUGGUAACCUACAUAUUGAAUUAGGGUUGCAUGAAUGCUAAGGUAACAUUUUAAAGGCUUAAUAAGUGCUCAAAACCGUUACUUUUUCCUUCAUUAAGCCUUCUUGUAACAUCCCGAAUUAUCGAGAGUAGAGUAGAAGGGCUAAAAGAGUAAAUUGGGAAAGAGUGACUCGACGAGUCCAUGGGUGGACUCGGCGAGUAGAGUCGCUACUGGGUCGCGUGUUAAGUAAUCGACUCGGCGAGUCAGUGAGAUGGACUCGGCGAGUAGGCGCUGAGUGGAGAAAACCCUAAUUCUCAGGGUUGAGCCAUAUAUAAAGAACAUGACAGCCUUCUCUCAGCCUCUUUAUUCCCCCUUGAGUCCCAGAAACCCUAAAAUCAUGGAGAAGCACCAUUGUUGAGCAAAUUGGAUCUUGGAGAGGUGAUUGUGGAAGAGAUUCUAGAGAAGGAGAGGCUUAGAGCAAGGGGCUUUGCUUGGAUUCGAAUUUCAUUGUAGUUGGGAUGUUCUUUGGAGGUAAUAUCUCGUUCUUGGGCUGUUGUCAUGUUGUUUCUUCAUUUUGGGGUUUGUGGGGAGCUUGUCUUUGGAUGUAAUUGGAGUCUAGAGGAUAGAUCUGAGGUUGCUACCUCAGAUCUGGAAUGGAGAAGGAUAAGAGAGCAUGAAAGUCCCUGUGUUGGAGUGUUUAGUGGAGCCAUCAUGUCACAAACCCUAGCCCAAUGUGCAAAUGGCCUAGAUCUCUUUGGAUUCACGUAAAGUUUGCCACUUUACGUGAUGGAUGAGUUGUAGGAGGCUAGAUCUAUGUUUUGGAGCAAUUGCAUGGCCUGGAGUGCUUCUGUAUGGGUUCAGACCGGUGGUACUCGGCGAGUCACAUGGGUGGACUCGACGAGUUGCUUGAAGAUGGCCUGGAACUCGGCGAGUUGUAUGAACAACUCGGCGAGUAGGAUGAAGAUUGCCUGGAACUCGGCGAGUUGUAUGAACAACUCGGCGAGUAGGUUGAAGAUAGCCUUAGACUCGGCGAGUCUGUUCUUGGGCUCGGCGAGUCUUGUCGAAGAGUCCCAAUAUUUUCUGGUCGAGUCGAGAAUCGGUGAGUCAAGGGAUGACUCGGUGAGUUGUGUGCGAGUGGACUCAGAGUUGUUGAACUCGACGAGUCUCGGGGUGACUCGGCGAGUUAGGUCGCGGAUUGAGGGAAGUUCUGAGUAUGGGGACUCGGCGAGUCAUCGGGUUGACUCGGCGAGUAGAGUCAGUCAGGGGUUGACUUUGACCUUGUCUUUGACCAAGGGUUGACCAGUGGUUUCCAGGGGCAUUUUGGUAAUUGUUGAUUGUUGUUUUGAGUUCAGUGCAUUGGCGGUUGUCCAGUGGUGGAGAUCGUAUCAGUGAUCGGAGCAGUUCGGGUUAUCUGUUCAGUCGGCAGUUUCGAGGUGAGUUAUCCUCACUAUAUCAACAGGGUCUAAGGCACCAAGGCCGGCCCUUAUCGGAUUGAGAUCCGGGUAGUUGUUGUUAUGUUGUUGCUAUGUUAUGUUUGCAUCCUGAGAGCUAGGAUGGUAUAUAGAGACCUGUUUGAGAUCGGUAUCCUGAGAGAUAGGGUGAUGCUAUGCUAGUGACCUGUUAGGUCGGUAUCCUGGUUAGGAUGAUGAUAUGCUAUGUGAUCUGUUUGAUCUGCUUGUUGACUGUGAAUUGCUAUAUGAUUGUAUGUAUAUGUGCACAUGGUUGUUUGGACUGGAGUUGGGUUGAGGCGGGUCCUGCUGNNNNNNNNNNNNNNNNNNNNNNNNNNNNNNNNNNNNNNNNNNNNNNNNNNNNNNNNNNNNNNNNNNNNNNNNNNNNNNNNNNNNNNNNNNNNNNNNNNNNNNNNNNNNNNNNNNNNNNNNNNNNNNNNNNNNNNNNNNNNNNNNNNNNNNNNNNNNNNNNNNNNNNNNNNNNNNNNNNNNNNNNNNNNNNNNNNNNNNNNNNNNNNNNNNNNNNNNNNNNNNNNNNNNNNNNNNNNNNNNNNNNNNNNNNNNNNNNNNNNNNNNNNNNNNNNNNNNNNNNNNNNNNNNNNNNNNNNNNNNNNNNNNNNNNNNNNNNNNNNNNNNNNNNNNNNNNNNNNNNNNNNNNNNNNNNNNNNNNNNNNNNNNNNNNNNNNNNNNNNNNNNNNNNNNNNNNNNNNNNNNNNNNNNNNNNNNNNNNNNNNNNNNNNNNNNNNNNNNNNNNNNNNNNNNNNNNNNNNNNNNNNNNNNNNNNNNNNNNNNNNNNNNNNNNNNNNNNNNNNNNNNNNNNNNNNNNNNNNNNNNNNNNNNNNNNNNNNNNNNNNNNNNNNNNNNNNNNNNNNNNNNNNNNNNNNNNNNNNNNNNNNNNNNNNNNNNNNNNNNNNNNNNNNNNNNNNNNNNNNNNNNNNNNNNNNNNNNNNNNNNNNNNNNNNNNNNNNNNNNNNNNNNNNNNNNNNNNNNNNNNNNNNNNNNNNNNNNNNNNNNNNNNNNNNNNNNNNNNNNNNNNNNNNNNNNNNNNNNNNNNNNNNNNNNNNNNNNNNNNNNNNNNNNNNNNNNNNNNNNNNNNNNNNNNNNNNNNNNNNNNNNNNNNNNNNNNNNNNNNNNNNNNNNNNNNNNNNNNNNNNNNNNNNNNNNNNNNNNNNNNNNNNNNNNNNNNNNNNNNNNNNNNNNNNNNNNNNNNNNNNNNNNNNNNNNNNNNNNNNNNNNNNNNNNNNNNNNNNNNNNNNNNNNNNNNNNNNNNNNNNNNNNNNNNNNNNNNNNNNNNNNNNNNNNNNNNNNNNNNNNNNNNNNNNNNNNNNNNNNNNNNNNNNNNNNNNNNNNNNNNNNNNNNNNNNNNNNNNNNNNNNNNNNNNNNNNNNNNNNNNNNNNNNNNNNNNNNNNNNNNNNNNNNNNNNNNNNNNNNNNNNNNNNNNNNNNNNNNNNNNNNNNNNNNNNNNNNNNNNNNNNNNNNNNNNNNNNNNNNNNNNNNNNNNNNNNNNNNNNNNNNNNNNNNNNNNNNNNNNUUUUCCCAACAAAGGAAGAACAAAAGUUGAUGCCAGGAACUAAAGGUCCUUACAAAGUGGUGACACAUAUCAAUGAUAAUGCUUAUAAGGUGGAUCUGGGACGAGACCAUGGAGUGCAUGCUACCUUUAAUGUGGGAGACCUUUCACCGUAUCUUGUUGAGGAUGGCCUUUAUGAAUUAAGGUCAUUUCCUUUCAAAGAGGGAGAGGAGGAUCCAUGCAUGGCUCAUGAAAAGCCGAAAAAGGUGAUGGAUUAUUGAUUACUAGUAUGCUAGAAGGUGGUUUUUACUCAAUGGUUGGGUUGUGCAAGGUAACCUACGUAUAGAAUUUGGGUCGCAUGAAGGCUAGGGCAACAUUUUAAAGGCUUCAUAAGUGCUCCAAACUGUUACUUUUUCUUUAUCAAGCCUUCUAGCCAUUGUUGAUACUCUUUGGUGGAUUUAGGUUACACUUUAAUGCUUCUUUUGGCUCCUUAAUGGAGCACGGAUGCUUUUUUCAUUCAUUAGUGUGUCAGACGUUUUUUUGUGUGGUUUCAUGAGUUUCUUUAAUUUUCAUUUUUAGUUUUACUAAGUAGUUGGUUAAGUGGCGUGUAACCACCAACUUUGUAAUAAAGGCUUCAUAUAAGCCAAGUAUGCAUGGAAAAAGAGAUAGAUGAAAUUUUAAUCAAAAGAACCUUUGUUCAGUUUGAAUUAUAGUUAUAGUUCACUACUUGUCAUAGCCGACACGUGUUCUUGACUUGAUUCGCAUUCAAAAAAAAUAUUAUGUCUUGGAUAAUUUUCACGGGUAUACAACUCAGUAGGUCUUGAUUUGUUACUAAUCUAUCAAUUUCUUCCCAUACACCUAUCAUUUGUGGUUGUUAUUUUAGCAUAAUUUACCUAAACACAACCCUAAUCACUUAAUGAAGCCGGCAUGAAAAGGAAAUCACCUUUGUGCCCCUAAACAUGUAAUAUGGGAGUCACUGAUUCGUGAAGCUCAUGGUUUUGGUUUGGCAGAUCAGUUUUCCAUUACCAAAAUUUUGGAGGUGCUUUCAGAACAUUUCUUCUGGCCUAAAGAUGUUGGGGAUGUAACCAACAUAGUGGGCAAGUGUGUUACAUGUCGGAUGACGAAAAAAACUUUCAAGCAUGGUGUUUACACUCCUUUGACGGUUCCUAAUCGUCCUUGGUAAGAUGUGUCAAUGGAAUUCAGUAUGGCUUUCCCUAGAACCCAAAGGGAAAAGGAUUCCAUUAUAGUGGUGGUGGAUAGGUUUUCAAAAAUGGCUCACUUUGUGCCAUGACAUAAAACCAAUGAUGCAUCUAAUGUGUCUGAUUUGUACUUUAAAGAGGUGGUUCGCUUGUAUAUUAUUCCUAAAACUAUUGUUUCUGAUCGGGAUUCCAUGUUUUUGAGUUACUUUUGGAACACUUUUGUUGAGGAAAGUUGGUACUAAGUUAGUUUUUAGNAGUACGUCCCAUCAUCCACAAACUGAUGGGUAAACGAAGGUGACUAAUAGAACUUUGGAUACUUUGUUGAGGGGUUGGUUAGCAAAACUCAAAAAUAGUUGGACACAAACUUUCACAUGCUGAGUUUGCCUGCAAUUGUUCUCCUACUUAUGCUACAGGUCACUCACCUUCAUUAGUGGUGUAUGGUGUGAAUCCUUACAAGCAUUUGUAUUUGAUUCCAUUUCCAAACGAUGAAUUGGUUCACAACGAUGUUAAUGACAAGUUGAAGGCCAUGAGGAAACUACACCAAAAAGUUCAUGUGAAGAUUAAAGCCUUGAAUAACAUGUACAAACAGAAUUCCAACAUGCAUAGGAAACCAUGUGUGUUUCAAGACNNNNNNNNNNNNNNNNNNNNNNNNNNNNNNNNNNNNNNNNNNNNNNNNNNNNNNNNNNNNNNNNNNNNNNNNNNNNNNNNNNNNNNNNNNNNNNNNNNNNCAGGGGCUAUUAGGUAACUUUUGGUCUUGCUUUGAAGAAGAUAUUGUAAGGAGGGGCUAAAUGUGAUAAAAAGGAAUGGAAGUUUGUGAAAGGAGCGGAUCGAGCUGUGCUUUUUUUCUCUCCUGUAUAUGCGACGCAACCUUAACCCUACACUUUGUGAUAUCGGCCGCCACCACCAUGGAUUACAUCCUCAACCGCCACCAGCUGUGGAAGCCUUCUCGGAGCCGCCACCCAUCCUUCCUCGCGAAUCCGACCAGGCGUUGUUCCACUGUUGAGCGCCGCCUCAUGCUGCUGCCGGAGACGAGAUAUGAAGCCGGAAAGAACCGCCGAGGGCUGUGAGGCACGAUGUGUACAUCGUGCAUGAGUCGGCAGUUACCAGAAUCGCACAGUAAAUCCAACCGUGAGCCUACUUACUCUGUCUCUUUUGUUCUUGUUGUGUCUGCAAUGUCGUGAGCAGCGACUGUGGUCCCCGGUGGCCUUGGGUCGCCGCUGCAACGCCUUCAAUUGUUGCCUGCCGCCCUUAAGGCCGAGUUGGCUAUGUUUGUGUGCUCCAAUUGCACCUGUGGACGUGUUCAUGGGUUUGCACGGUGGAAAAUCAUAAGACCCGCCACUGCCACCACCAUGAGGUGGUGGCUGCCACCCAUUGUCGCCUUCUACCGCUCUUUGCCGCCACCAGCCACCCCAGGAGGUGGUUGUGUGCGUGUGUAUUUUGUGUGAGGUUGUUUAUGCAUGUUUAUGUGGUUGGAAAAAACCCACCACCACCGUGAGCCACCACUGACCACCACUACCUGAGGUGGUAGUGGGUGGUGCCACAUCCUAGUUGGCCCAAUUGAUUAUUAUUGGACUGGGUUGGCUUGUGAUUGGGCUAGAAACCCUAAUUAGGGUUUAGAAAACCCUAAUUUUGGGUUUGUUGGGGCCUAUUGAGACCCACGUUUGGACCAGUGGACUGAAGUUGUGACUCAUCCCGAUUCCAUUGUGUGACGGCUUAGUGGAGUAAUGGACUUAAUGGGUUAAGUGAGAAAUACUUAACCCUAAUCGUUAUGUUAUGUGAAAACUCUAAUUUGGGAUGGGCCUUGGUGGGCCCAUUGGGCUUGGAUUAUUUAUGGACAAGAUUGAUGGACCAUUAUUAGACCUAAUAAUGUGAAAGUUGGUCUUAGAUCCUAAUGGGGUUAUUUGUGGGUUUGGCUUAGUGAUAGAAGUCGGAGUGUAGCAGCAGCAUUUAUAAGAUCUGUGUGCCAUCCGAGGUGGGUCUUCUCACUAUUCUUACCUGUGUGGUGAUGUGUGUGAGAUCGGAGGGUCUUAUUCGUGUUAUUGACCGGAGGUUCUUACUUACAUUGUUAACCGCAGGGUCUCAGUAUAUUUGACCGGAUGNGAGGGUCUUAGUACAUUAUCAAUCGGAGGGUCUUAUUUGUUUAUUAUGUGUUAUGUGUUAUCGUGCAUACUGUCUUUGUGACUUAUGCUGUUAUGGAAUAUGUGUAUAUAUUGAUCUUAUGUGUUUAUUAUAGUACUGUGAUAUCCUGCAUUAUGUCUAUGUGAAUUAUGUUGUUUAUUUAUUAUGAGCUUACGGAGUUAGGACCGAAGGGUCCACAGUGUUAGGACCGGAGGGUCCAUUAGAGUUGUGGGACUGGAGGGUCCCACUGAGACACAUUGACCGGAGGGUCUUACAGAGUUAUAGCCUCGAGUGGCUAAAGUGUAUUUGUGGUAUUUUGGGGAACUCACUAAGCUUCGUGCUUACCGUGUUAUGUGUUAUGUGUUCCAGGUACUUCUCAGGAUCACGGGAAGGCGACGACUCGAUUGUACACACGAGAUGAAGAGUUAUGUUUUGGAGGAUCCUCGAUUAUUAAUCAAACAAUUACAGAUUGUGUUUUGUUAAUUUGAUAAUUGGGGAUUUUUGUGUAAUGUCUUAUGAGAAUUUUGUGAUUUAACAAUGAAAAAUUUAUAUGAAAAUUUACGGCGUUACACAACAACCCUAUGCGGCCCUUUAAACCAGAUUCCACGCACCGCGAGUAGUUAAAAAGAUAUUAUAACGACACUUAUAUAAAAAUAGCUCAAAUAUUUAUUAUAANNNNNNNNNNNNNNNNNNNNNNNNNNNNNNNNNNNNNNNNNNNNNNNNNNNNNNNNNNNNNNNNNNNNNNNNNNNNNNNNNNNNNNNNNNNNNNNNNNNNCAGGCCACAGAAAAUGACAUCUCCACUAUCGGCCGAUCGCUCAGCUCAGACCGUGUUCUCCCAUAACGCACCAUCCCUACUCAUCCCUGAGUGUUGCGACUCCAACUGACAUCUCUCCAACAGUCCCUAGGAGUUAACUCAGUUUUCCCCUUCACGGGAUGCUCCACUAAAACUCGUUCAUCAUGUCCCUCUGGCCCAUUACUCUUUCACAUCUGAUCUCAGUCUAGACGAUCACCACAGAAUAACUGGUAAAACCAGGAGCACUAACCGCCACACGUCCUGAUACUCAUCCCAUGUGACUACCUCUCAAUCUGCUUUGAAUCAUGGUACCCGAACCAUGUUACCUCAUCUUAAUUUGCUACUAAUCAUGGUACUCGAACCACGUUCUCUCUUCUCAAUCCGCCUCAAAUCAUGGUACUCGAACCAUGACAUCACCUCUCGAUCUGCUACAAAUCAAAGUACUCGAACCAUGACAUCACUUGUCGAUAUGCUACUUAGAUUCUCCGGAAUACUCCCUAUAUUGAGUAUGGGUCCUCUGCUUUCAAUAGUACAGGCCCAUACAACAUCUACCCAUACUUUCUGCAACGACCAUCCCAGAGCCCCUAAGUAGCUGCUCAACCUUCUCAAUCACCAAUCUCAACACACAUGCUCGCUUCCCAGUGAAAUGCUCUACUCUGUCAGCGUACCCAUCUGACUAAAGUCACUUCCUAGGCUCUUCCUAGGUUCUCACACUUCUCCGCCAUCAAUUGCUGAGAAACUCUUUAUGAUGCCAGUCAUCUACCUCCUGAAUAUCGUCACAUUCACUUGGUAGGUGACUCCCAUCAUCGGGAGUUCCACAAAGCACGAAGCAAGCAAUAUUUGGGCAUCGAAUAAACAUGUAAAACCCACUCCAGGUGAUAACUCCACUUGCUCUACUCACUCAAAAGAUUGAUACCGAACUCAACAACUCCACCCCCCGCGGGUAUCUAACUACUCUCUCAAUAGGCUCGGAAAAUGCUCAUCUAGGUAUCUCUCCUAGAUUACUCCUUUACUCAAAUNNNNNNNNNNNNNNNNNNNNNNNNNNNNNNNNNNNNNNNNNNNNNNNNNNNNNNNNNNNNNNNNNNNNNNNNNNNNNNNNNNNNNNNNNNNNNNNNNNNNCAGGCCACAGAAAAUGACAUCUCCACUAUCGGCCGAUCGCUCAGCCCAGACCGUGUUCUCCCAUAACGCACCAUCCCUACUCAUCCCUGAGUCUUGCGACUCCAACUGACAUCUCACCAACAGUCCCUAGGAGUUAACUCAGUUUUCCCCUUCACGGGAUGCUCCACUAAAACUCGUUCAUCAUGGCCCUCUAGCCCAUUACUCUUUCACAUCUGAUCUCAGUCUAGACGAUCACCACAGAAUAACUGGUAAAACCAGGAGCACUAACCGCCACACGUCCUGAUACUCAUCCCAUGUGACUACCUCUCGAUCUGCUUUGAAUCAUGGUACCCGAACCAUGUUACCUCAUCUUAAUUUGCUACUAAUCAUGGUACUCGAACCACGUUCUCUCUUCUCAAUCCGCCUCAAAUCAUGGUACUCGAACCAUGACAUCACCUCUCGAUCUGCUACAAAUCAAAGUACUCGAACCAUGACAUCACUUGUCGAUAUGCUACUUAGAUUCUCCGGAAUACUCCCUAUAUCGAGUAUGUGUCCUCUGCUUUCAAUAGUACGGGCCCAUACUACCUGCAACAUCUACCCAUACUUUUUGCAACGACCAUCCCAGAGCCCCUAAGUAGCUGCUCAACCUUCUCAAUCACCAAUCUCAACACACAUGCUCGCUUCCCAGUGAAAUGCUCUACUCUGUCAGCGUACCCAUCUGACUAAAGUCACUUCCUAGGCUCUUCCUAGGUUCUCACACUUCUCCGCCAUCAGUUGCUGAGAAACUCUUUAUGAUGCCAGUCAUCUACCUCCUGAAUAUCGUCACAUUCACUUGGUAGGUGACUCCCAUCAUCGGGAGUUCCACAAAGCACGAAGCAAGCAAUAUUUGGGCAUCGAAUAAACACGUAAAACCCACUCCAGGUGAUAACUCCACUUGCUCUACUCACUCAAAAGAUAUCACCGAACUCAACAACUCCACCCCCCGCGGGUAUCUAACUACUCUCUCAAUAGGCUCGGAAAAUGCUCAUCUAGGUAUCUCUCCUAGAUUACUCCUUUACUCAAAUCCCUCUCUAAAAGGAUCCCUACUUGCUACUCUUACUCAACACAUGCUCGAAAGCACAUCACAGAUAACAGCAACUCCUAGGCUAAGGCAUCACAAAUCAGGCCACUCUAGUCCUAACAUAUGAAAUACCUAGCCUAUCUCUAGCAUGCAUAAUAUAUCAUAGCAUAUCUCAUAACUAUCUCAUAAUACAAAUGUAAGGGUAUUUUGGGAAAUCACUGUUCGGGCUCUGGUUGAUUGUACACAAUGCUCUUUCCCGCUUUCUCUUUGACUCUUAUUCACUUUUAAAAAAAAUCGUUUUUGAAAACUUUUCUUAUUUCCUCAGUUUGAGUCCAGAUUUACCCCGAAGGUGCAUCCGAAUCCCUCAAACCAAGGCUCUGAUACCAACUUGUAACGCCGUAAAUUUUCAUAUAAAAUUUUCAUUGUUAAAUCACAAAAUUCUCAUAAGACAUUACACAAAAAUCCCUAAUUAUCAAAUUAACAAAACACAAUCUGUAAUUGUUUGGUUAAUAAUCCAGGAUCCUCCAAAACAUAACUCUUCAUCUCGUGUGUACAAUCGAGCCGUCACCUUCCCGUGAUCCUGAGAAGUACCCGGAACACAUAACACGGUAAGCACGAAGCUUAGUGAGUUCCCCAAAAUACCACAAAUACACUUUAGCCACUCGAGGCUAUAACUCUGUAAGACCCUCCGGUCAAUGUGUCUCAGUGGGACCCUCCAGUCCCACAACUCUAAUGGACCCUCCGGUCCUAACUCUGUGGACCCUCCGGUCCUAACACUGUGGACCCUCCGGUCCUAACUCCGUGAGCUCAUAAUAAAUACACAACAUAAUUCACAUAUACAUAAUGCAGGAUAUCACAAUACUCGAAUAAACACAUAAGAUCAAUAUAUACACAUAUUCCAUAACAGCAUAAGUCACAAAGACAAUAUGCACGAUAACACAUAACACAUAAUAAAUAGUGUAAGUAAGACCCUCCGGUCAAUAAUAUACUGAGACCCUCCGGUCAACAGUGUAAGUAAGACCCUCCGGUCAAUAACACGAAUAAGACCCUCCGGUCUCACACAAAUCACCACACAGGUAAGUAUAGUGAGAAGACUCACCUCGGAUGGCAAACAGAUCCUAUAAAUGCUGCUGCUACACUCCGACUUCUAUCACUAAGCCAAACCCACAAAUAACCCCAUUAAGAUCUAAGACCAACUUUCACAUUAUUAGGUCUAAAUAUGGUCCAUCAAUCUAUUCCAUAAAUAAUCCAAGCCCAAUGGGCCCACCAAGGCCCAACUUAAAGCCCAUCCCAAAUUAGAGUUUUCACAUAAAAUGACGAUUAGGGUUAAGUAUUUCUCACUUAACCCAUUAGGUCCAUUACUCCACUAAGCCGUCACACAAUAGAAUCGGGAUGAGUCACAACUUCAGUCCACUGGUCCAAACGUGGGUCUCAAUAGGCCCCAACAAACCCAAAAUUAGGGUUUUCUAAACCCUAAUUAGGGUUUCUAGCCCAAUCACAAGCCAACCCAGUCCAAUAAUAAUCAAUUGGGCCAACUAGGGUGUGGCACCACCCACUACCACCUCAGGUAGUGGUGGUCAGUGGUGGCUCACGGCGGCGGUCACUACCUCACGGUGGUGGUGGGUUAAUCUGACCACAUAAACAUGCAUAAACAACCUCACACAAAAUACACACGCACACAACCACCUCCCGGGGUGGCUGGUGGCGGCAAAGAGCGGUAGAAAGCGACAAUAUCUUCUUCAAACCAAGACAAAAGUUACCUAAUAGCCCCUGCCCUCAGAAAUCUUUACAAAUUAAAUUUGGAAUUUACUAUUUAGACCUUGCUUCCCAAAAAUCUAUCCAAAUUAAGUCCCAAUAAUUCGCCAAACAACCCCUGCCUUCAUAGAUAUUUAUAAACCACUCUGGAACUUACACUUUUAACUCAAAACUUCUAGAAUCAUGACAAUUAAAUUCUUGAGGCCAAUACCUGGCGAUGUUAUUAUUUAUUUUAGGGUUUCUAUUCAUAUUAACCCUUAUCUAUCUAUUUAAUCCAUAAACGGGAUGUUACAUAUUGGAUUUCAGAAGUGCUAUAUGCCAAAAUGGUCCUUCCCUCCGGUGUUUUAUGUCUGGCCCCUGUCUGUACAUCGUUGGAAAGUAUUGUUUAAACGCUUAUAUAAUAAUAAUAAUAAUCAUAAUAAUAAUAAUAAUAAUAAGACUAAUAAUUAGUCACGGUAAAUAUUAGACUAAAAUUUAGUGGUAAUAAUACUAGGUUUCGUCGAAGGAAAUUAUUUUAAAGUAAACGAAGCGUUGUCCGAGUGCCGAAUCACCACCUUCUCAGGUGAGUGCAUAGUUACUUUCAUCUUACACAUAGAUAUGAAGUAUUUUAUAUAAAUUACGUGCUAUGUGUGCAUAUUAUCUGAAUACUUGCUGUCUAUGUUAGAUGAACAAUUUUAUACACGUUUUAAAUGAUUUAAACUGUAUAUGUAUUUUAUAUCUACGAAAAUGUUGGGGUAAAACAUGGGUAGAUGUAAUAGAUGGAAUAUAAGUUGGACGAUGAGUUGAGAGGUGUUAUAGACCGUGAGGUGAGGGUGAGAGGUGGACGAUGUGAGAAUCUUUUUUCCCAAAUGAUGGCCCCGUCAUUCGGCAGAGUACCACUGACUAUUCUAGAUAGUCCGGUGGGACACUAGCAGGCUCGCAACCUGUAGGUGUUGUGAACGAUGUGUUCACCCGGUGUACUCUAAACCUUGGUGACCAUGCAGACUUGGUGCCUAAACCCUGGUGAUCAUGCAGAAUUGAUGCCUAAACCUUGGUGAUCAUGCAGACUUGAUGCCUAAACCCUGGCGACUAUGCAAAGUUAGUGCCCGUUGUGUAAACCGUGGCAACGAUGGACUUCGUGCCGAUUCCUUAGGAUGAUCCUUAAGAAUGAGUGAACGAGAAAUAGCUGAUUCUUGGGGCAGCUCCUUAAGAAUAAAGAAGAUAAUGGGGUUGGGUAAUUGGGUUGAUUGCUUUAUUGUUUAAACAUGAUAAUUAUAUUAUUGUGGGUUGAAAACCCUAUGUACUCACCAGGUUUCCCAACAUGACCCACUCAGUUUAUUUGUAUCACAGGUGUCGAUAUGAAGUUACAUUACACUGAGAGAUUUAAAAGAGAUGUAGAUCACUAGUGAUAAUGAAUGUAAGUUCUGUUUAUGCUUAUGUUUCUGUAUUGACGAUGACAUCCCAAAUGUUUUAAAAUGAAUAAAAAUACUUUUCUUCGGAAAUGCUUUGAUAACGUAUUUAUCAUGUUUUACUGGGAACAAAUUCCGCAACAUUUUUAUUAAAAGAGGUACUCUGAUUUUUAUAAAUCAUAAACAAAAUCAGUCUUUUCUGGCCGAGAAAAUGGGGAUGUCACAUACACUAACAAGUUCGUGUAAAGAUUGAAGCCGUGAAUGACGUGUACAAACAGAAUUUCAACAUGCAUUACGUGUCUUUCAUGAUGGUGACUUAUAUUAGGUGCAUAUGAGGAAAGAACGUUUUCCUAACAAAAGAAAGAACAAAAGUUGAUGCCAAGAGCUGAAGGUCCUUACAAAGUGGUGACAUGUCAAUGAUAAUGCUUAUCAGGUGGAUCUAGGAGGAGACCAUGGGGUGCAUGCUACCUUAAAUGUGGGAGACCUUUCACUGUAUCUUGUUGAGGACGACCUUGAUGAAUUGAGCUCAUUUCCUUUGGGGGAGGGGAGGAUCCAUAUAUGGAUCUUGAAAGCCCAAAAGGUGAUGAAUUAAUGAUUACUAGUAGGCUAGAAGGUGGUUUGUACUCAAUGGUUGGUUUGUGCUUGGUAACCUAUGUAUUGAAUUAGGGUCGCAUGAAGGCUAGGGCAACAUUUCAAAGGCUUCAUAAGUGCUCAAAACCGUAACUUUUUGCUUCAUCAAGCCUUCUAGCCAUUGUUGAUCUCUUUGGUGGAUUUGGGUUACACUUUAAUGCUUCUUUUGGCUCCUUAAUGGGGCAUGGACGCUUUUUUCAUUCAUUAGUGUGUCAGACGUUUUUUGUGUGGUUUCAUGAGUUUCUUUAAUUUUCAUUAUUAGUUUUACUAAGUAGUUGGUUGGGUGGUUUGUAACCACCAACUUUGUAAUAAAGGCUUCAUAUAAGCCAAGUAUGCAUGGAAAAAAGAGAUAGAUGAAAUUUUAAUCAAAAGAACCUUUGUUCACUUUGAAUUAUAGUUAUAAUUCACCACUUGUCAUAGUCGAGACGUGUUCUUGACUUGAUACGCAUUCAAUCAAAUAUUAUGUCUUUGAUAGUUUUCAUGGGUAUACAACUAAGUAGGUCUUGAUUUGUACUAAUCUAUCCAUUUCUUCCCAUAUACAUAUCAUUUAUGGUUGUUAUUCUAGCUUAAUUUACCUAAACACAACCCUAAUCACUUAAUCAAGCCCAUAAAGGCAUCAAAAGGGAUUCACCUUUGUUAACCCUGAUCCACCAAAGAGUAUCAAAAAGCUAGGAGGCUUUAUGAAGCAAAACAUAACGGUUUUGAGCAUUUAUGAAGCCUUUAAAAUGUUGCCCUAGCCUUCAUGCGACCAUGAUUCAAUUCGUAGGUUACCACGCACAACCCAACCAUUGAGCCCAAACCACCUUCUACCUUACUAAUAGUCUCUAAUCCAUCACCCUGGGCUUUAAUGAUCCAUGCAUGGAUCAUCCCCUCCCCCUUUGAAUGGAAACGACCUCAAUUCAUCAAGGCCACCCUCAACAAGAUAAGGCCAAAGGUCUGCCACAUUAAAGGUUGCAUGCACUCCAUGGUCUCCUCCCAAAUCCACCUUAUAAGCAUUAUCAAUGACAUUUGACACCAUUUUGUAAGGAUCAUCUGCUCACGGCAUCAACUUUUGUUAGGAAAACGUUCUUUCCUAAUAUGCACCUACACCAAGUCACCAUCCUGAAAGACACGUGGUUUCCUAUGCAUGUUGGAAUUCUGUUUGUACAACUUUGUCAUGCUUCAAUCAUCAAACAAACUUGUUGGUGUAGUUUCAUCAUGGCCUUCAACUUGUCAUUAGCAACCUUGUGAACCAAUUCAUCCUUUUGCAAUGGAAUUAAAUCCAAAGGCAUAUAAGGAACACUAUACACCACUUCAAAAGGAGAGUGACAUGUAGCAUAAGUAGGAGAACAAUUACAGGAAAACUCAACAUGUACAAGUUUGAUGUCCAAAUGUUUUUGAGUUUUGCUAACCAACCCACUGAAUAACGUACCCAAAGUUCUAUUUGUCACCUUCGUUUGCCCAUUAGUUUGUGGAUGAUGGGAUGUACUAAAAAGUAACUUAGUACCAGCUUUCAUCCACAAAUUGUUCCGAAAGUAACUCAAAAAACAUAGAUUCCCUCUCAGAGACAAUAUUUUUAGGAAUAAUAUGCAAGCGAACCACCUCUUUAAAAUCCAAAUUAGACACAUUAGAUGCCUCAUUGGUUUUAUGACAUGGCACAAAGUGAAUAAUUUUUGAAAACCUAUCCACCACCACAAUAAUGGAAUCCUUCCCCCUUUGAGUUCUAGGCAAAGCCAUAAUGAAUUCCAUUGACACAUCUUCCCAAGGACAAAUAGGAACCGGCAACGGAGUGCAAACAUCAUGCUUGAAAGUUUUUUCGUCAUCUGACAUAUAACACCCUUGUCACUAUAUCCCAACAUCUUAGGCCAAAAGAAAUUUUCUUAAAGCUCCUCCAAAGUUUUGGUAAUGGAAAAAUGACCCGCUAAACCACCACCAUGAGCUUCACGAAUCAUCAACUCCGUAUUGUGUGACAACCCGAAUUUUUCGUAUGUUUAAUUUCUACAGUCUAACACUUCAUUGAAAGUCAAAUUCAUUUCUAUUACCAUUUAGCUAAAUUUAAGGUAUGUGUGAGUAUUCCGAUGCCAGUACACUUAAGGAAGAAGUGUUAGAAAGCAACCACUAAAGCCCUAUAUUCGUAUUCGUAUUCGUAUUAUCCUAUUAGUUAUAUUCGUAUUCGCAUUCGUAUUCGUACUAACCUAAUAGUUAUAUUCGUAUUCGUACUAUAGUAUUGGUUAUAUUCGUAUUCGCAUUCGUAUUCGUUUAGUAUUAAUCUUAGUUAUGAUUAGUACGAUUUCUUUUACAAAAAGUAAUAUAGUUUAAAACACUUUUUAAAGAAAUCUGACUUUAGUCUAACUGUUUACCCUGCAAUUCAAAUCAUUAGCUAUCACAAUUUUCGAUAUUAGAAACAUACAUCAAAUAGAAUAUUUGAACUGAAAAUACGUCUAAGUACAAGAUUUCCUUGUACCUGUGCUUGUAUCCCCCCCUAAAAAACAUUUGAAAAACAUUGGAAAACAUUUGAAAAAGGGUAGGGGUAUGAACUCACCGGUUGAGAAAUGCGUCAGUUUGGAUCCUAAACGUCAGUUUCUGGGUUCGCGAACGCACAAGAUCCCUGUGGAUUAUGAAAUGAUACACAUUUGUAUCUAAUUAGGACUUGAUUAAUUUAUUUGUUAAAGACACACACUUCUAGUUGCGGAAACACCCCAUUACAAGUGUUUGGAAGGACCCGGGUGGCAUUUAAGGACUUGUAUGACUAGGGAAUGGAGUUUACUCUUCAAGAGUAAUCUCCUUAAGGAGUUUACUACCCUAAACACCUCAUCCAUACGAGUUCACGGCCGUGAACUCUUGGAUGGUGUUUUUGGGUGCAAAAUGGCUUCAUAACACUUGGGAUUAAUGCUAGACUUGGGUUUUAGGCUUUGGAAGGAAUUAAAACUCACAUAGGGACCAUUUAUUGGGGUUUACGGCAGUAAACAUGGAUUUUAUGGCCGUAAACUCCCCCUCACACCCAAUCCUUAAUGUUUUAGGUCUUAAACAAUCACAUGUGAUUCCAAUGAUUUUUCCCAAGCCUUGUAUGGAUUUUUAGGGGACUUUUGGCAUGGUUUUUGGAGUUUACGGCCCAUGAACCCCCCUCGUGGCCGUGAACUCCUUUGAUGGGUGUUUUAUUAUGUUUUAAGGCUUCUAAAUUGAUGGUAGACACUUCUAGAAUUUAUCCUAAGGUUUAAGGUGUGUUCAAGUGGCAUCUUAACACAUUUAGAGGAGUUUACUCCCCAAGAAUAUGAGUUUACGGCCCAAGCAUGUUCUUGGGCAGUAAACAUUUACUCCUCUAAAUUGAUGUUCAAUGUGUUCCAAGGCCAAUUCCAUAAUUCUACAAGUCGUAUCUAAGCCUUAUUGGUGUUUUGGAAGGGUUUAAGGGCUUAAAACCCCCUUUUAUAUGUGUUUACGGCCCAAGCAUGCUCCAGGGCCGUAAACACAUGAACAAGUCUCUAAAUCAUGGUUUAAGGCAUUCUAAGUCCAUUCCAUUAAGUCAUCUAGCCAUAUCCAAGGUCUAAUUGUGGUUUGGAAGGGUUUUGUUGCUCAAAAACCCCAUUUAUAUGAGUUUACCGCCUAGGACUGUUCUAGGCUUAUAAACUCAUGAUAAUGAUCCUAAUCCAUGGUUUAAACUCCAAUUUGAAGGCUAGAGGGGUUGUAUAACAAGUUAGGAAAGGUACCUUGGUGAUUAGAAGCCUUAAAUUUGAGGUUUUGGACCCUUAAACUUGGAUUUAGGAGAGAGGUUAGAGAGAGUAGAGAGAGGAAGCAAAAGCUUCAAAUGAAAGCUUGAACACAUUUAAAUAGGUCCCAAAACUUAGACACGGUGAAAUUCUACCCGACACUGGCGUUAAACAGGGCUUUUGGUCGCACCCGAUUAAGUUUCCGUAACCUGGCGGGGACGUUUCUAAAAUUUCUGAAAUAAACAUUUUGGGCUAAUUUCAUGAGUUCCUAAGGGGGUUGGACACUCAUUAGUAUUAAAUAAACAUAUAAGUUUAAAUAAUUUAGCCUAAAAACGAGAUCAGAACGAAUUGAUGAACGGCGAAUUUUACGGGCGGAACGGGUCUCAGCGAUGGAAAAGUUUGGCCAUUGACAUCUGACACCACUUUGUAAAGACCAUCUGCUCUUGGGAUCAACUUUUGUUCUUCCUUUUGUUAGGAAAACGUUCUUUCCGCAUAUACACCUACACCAAGUCACCAUCUUGAAAGACACGUGGUUUCCUAUGCAUGUUGGAAUUCUGUUUGUACAACUCUUUCACGCUUCAAUGUUCAAACGAACUUGUUGGUGUAGUUUCAUCAUGGCCUUCAACUUGUCAUUAGCAUCCUUGUGAACCAAUUCAUCCUAUGGCAAUGGAAUUAAAUCCAAAGGCAUAUAAGGAACACCAUUGAUACGAAUUUGGAUUGUGUUACCUAAUCUUCCUAUCCAAUUUGGAUAGCAAUAGGCUCAUCUAUUGAUUAUGACGUGAGCUAUAACAAUGUUAAAUUUAUACUGCCACAUGGCAUGUGUUGUGGCAAAAUUUGUGUGCAUGGUAACAUGGGAAGCUGAUAUGGACGUGGAUUAAUGCAUGGGAGUUACAAUGGAGAUGGUUAAGUGUGAUGGAGUUAUGGAGUGGAAGUUACAAAUAAAAAGUUAUUAUGAUGGAGUGGGAGUUACAAAUAAGUCAUUAGUGGUCAUUAGUGGAGUGGGAGUUACAAAUGAAUCAUUAAUGGUCAUUAGUGGUGUGUUUAUUUCAGCUUUUAAUAAGCCUUUAAUUGGCAUAGUUAUAGGUGUCUUUUGAUUAUCUUUACAGUUAUUUUUGUAAGGCUAUAUAAAGCCAUUUUCUAUCAUUUGUAAAAAAAUGUUGAUUGACUUAUAUAUGAAAAUCGAAUUUUUGAUCAUUUCGAGUUGUUGCGACAAUUCAAAGUUUGAUCCUUAUUAGGACGCGCCUCUUAAUAUUGAUCUUGAAUUCAAGUUAAUAGGUAUUGACUUUUCCUUACCGAACUUCAAUCUAUAGGUCUUGUUUGAUAUUCAAAUCUAUCCCUUUUUCUUUAUUUUGUUCUUGUCAAAUCCAUUGUUGUUUAUUCCGCUGCAUUUUCAAACCCAUUUGAUAUUAUUUGUGGUGUCAAUCCCAAUAUUAGUAUCAGUUGAUGUGUUAGAAGUCCAUAUUCGUGUUAGUUGGACUCGGAGCGGUCCAUACACUUAUCAUAUGUGGUAUCAGAACCCAGUUCCGAUUGGGUUUUGUUGAGUAGAAAAAAGAGGUCCUUGUCGAGUGUGCUGAUUUGUUAUUGUUAAGUUCUUGCCAAAAUAUGUUGUUGCUCUUAUUGAACAAGAAAAAACAAUUCUACCAAGUGUUAUCACGAAUUCAGUUACGAUGGAUUGGGAUAAUCCAAAUUUUCUUCGUGUUCUUCGUGAACUAUGAAGGAUGUAUCGAAAGAAUCGAGUCGAAGGAAACCUAGGUGUGAGCAGCCAAGGAAUGUGGGGGAGUUAAAGAUAAAUGAAUUGCCUAAAUUCGUUGGAGGAUUCAAUCCAGAAAAAUAUUUGGAUUGGGAGAAGGAGAUGGAAAGAGUUUUUCAGUUCAAAUGUGUGGCUGAUGAAUGGAGUUGCAAAUAUGCCAUUCUAAGGUUGAGAGGAGAAGCUGAAUUGUGGUAUGAAAAGUUGAAGGCAAAAAGAACCCGUGAAGGAAAGGGAAAGCUUUCUUCUUGAGAAUCUCUGAAACGAAAACUCUGAGAGAGCUAUGCGCCAAUGACCUUGGAGACUGUUAAUUUCAAAAGAAGGGUGGAGAUAUUUAAAAAGGCAGUUAUGAUCAAAGAGGAAGAAGAAGAGUACAAAGCAUUGGCUGUUGACACGGUUUUGGUACUUGAAACAUCACAAACCAUUGAUGACAAGGCUGAUGUUGCCGAUGUCAAGGUGGAAGAAGUCAAGGUAGAAGAGGUUAAUUUAUUUGUUGAAGAUGAAAUUGUUGAAGUAACUAUUGAAGAAAACAAUUUCAUGAUUAGAGAUGAUAAUACUAAAGAAAUGGAUGAAUUCACUGAAGAAGUUGAAGAAGGAGAUAACUCCAAGAUUGAAAUUGUUGAAAGUGUGGAUGCAAUCAUGGAAGAAAAUAAUUUUGUUGAUGCGAACAAAUUAUUUGAGAAGGGGGUGAUUUUGGUUGAACCAAGAAAGGAAUUCCAGGAGUCCAUGACAUCUACAACAGUGUAUCCCAUAAAUGACGAACAAGUCCAGAAGCAUUCGACUAUAUUGACGGGUGAAAUAAAUGUGGAGCAGGUUAAAUGUGAAGAUGCUCGUCUUGCAAAAUUGAGGUCAAUUCCUUUUGAAGUAGGAGGGGAUGAUAUGAAUUUGGACUGCAAUUCGCAAUAUUCAAGUUCCAACCCAAUUUAGAUCGUAAUGGGCUCAUCCCUUGACAUAAAGUAUGGAUAAUGUGAGCUAUAAUAAUGAUAAAUUGGUACUCGCCACAUGGCAUGUGUUGUGGCAAAAUUUGUGUGCAUGGUAACAUGGGAAGCUGACAUGGACGUGGAUUAAUGCAUGGGAGUUACAAUGGAGAUGGUUAAGUGUGAUGGUGUUAUAGAGUGGGAGUUACAAAUAAAUCAUUAAUGUGAUGGAGUUAUGGAGUGGGAGUUAAAAGUAAAUCAUUAGUGGUCAUUAGUGGAGUGGGAGUUACAAAUGAAUCAUUAGUGGUGUGUUUAUUUCAACUUUUAAUAAGCCUUUAGUUGGCAUAGUUAUUAGAGUGUCUUUUGAGUUUUUAACCGUUAUCUUGUGAUGCAAACCCACAGCUGUCAACAAAGGAUCCAAAUCAAAUGCUAGAUGGACCAGUUACGAGGGCACGAGCUAAAACAUUCAAAGAGGCUUUAAAUGGAUUGGUUAGAGAAGUUGGAUUACCAUAAAUCAAGUCCAAGAGUGAUUUACAAGAUACAAUAAGAGCCUUUAUAANNNNNNNNNNNNNNNNNNNNNNNNNNNNNNNNNNNNNNNNNNNNNNNNNNNNNNNNNNNNNNNNNNNNNNNNNNNNNNNNNNNNNNNNNNNNNNNNNNNNGGCGAUGAAGGUUCAUCCGAGGUUGUGAUAGAAGUAGAACUCAUCAAGUCGAUGCUAAACUCGAUGAGUAGGGACGUGGAUGAGGACGGUUGAAGAGACAGGGACUCGACGAGUUGACGGCCCAACUCGGCGAGUCGGGUCAACAGGAAGUUGACUUUGAAUUUGACUUGCUCCGGGGUAGGGGUAAAAUAGUCAUUUUACCCUAAGAGUAGAUAUCAGAUUCUAACUGAGUGUUUUGUGGAGAUGAUAGCCGAAAGAUUUCCGGAGUAGCAAUAGUCAGAGACUUCCCGAGCAGCUUUCCAGCGGUCAGUCUUACGAGGUGAGUUUUCUUCCAGUAGAAACGGGUCUAAGGUACCAAAGUCGGCCCGUAUAGGUGAUACGUUAGUAUUGGAGUGUGGGCAGAGCUCGCAUCUCAUAGUUGAGUUUGAUUAUGAUAUAGGCUUUUUUGAUAGAAUUGCUUAUACUUGUGGUCUGUAUGAUACAUGUAUGCUAUGGUUUAGUAGCUGAGUGUGGGCGAGGCCCGUAUCUAAGAGACAACGGAAUGUGGGCGAGGCUCGUAUCUCCUUGCUAGCAAAGUGUGGGCGUGGCUCGUAUCUCCAUGAGUGUGGGCGAGGCGCGCAUCUCCUAGUUGUUCAUUAUAUGUGCAUGGUAUGUGGUAUUGUGGGGGAUCUCACUAAGCUCCGUGCUUACAGUUUACAGUUUUGGUCUCAGGUACCUCCUUAGCGAAGGGGAAAGAGCUGGCCUGGUAGCGGCACAUCAUAUACACAAGUAUUCAUCUUCCGCACUAGAGAUAUUCUGGGAUUGUACUCUGACAUGUUACUAUUAUAUGUUCUGGGUUUUCAAAUCUGAUACAUUGAUUCACAAAAUGAUAUAUUGUUACACAGUUUUCUUAUGAAUGUAUUUACAAUCCGAUAAAUAAAAAUGAAAUUUUUGGACCCGAAAUUUGGGAUGUUACCCUUGCAUAUUAUUCCAAAAAAUAUUGUCUCUAAGAGGGAAUCUAUGAUUUUGAGUUACUUUCGGAACACUUUGUGGAUGAAAGCUAGUACUAACUUACUUUUUAUUACAUCCCAUCAUCCACAAACUGAUAGGAAAACGAAGGUGACAAAUAGAACUUUGGGUACGUUGUUUGAGGGGGUUGGUUAGCAAAACUCAAAAACAUUUGGAUAUCAGACUUGUACAUGUUGAGUUUGCCUGUAAUCUUUCUCCUACUUAUGCUACAUGUCACUCUCCUUUUGAAGUGGUGUAUGGUGUAAAUCCUUAUAUGACUUUUGAUUUAAUUCCAUUGCCAAAGGAUGAAUUGGUUCACAAGGAUGCUAAUGACAAGUUGAAGGCCAUGAUGAAAAUACACGAACAAGUUUGUGUGAAGAUUGAAGCCGUGAAAGAGUUGUACAAACAAAAAUCCAACAUGCAUAGGAAACCACGUGUCUUUCUAGAUGGUGACUUGGUCUGUAAACUCCAAACUCUUGGAGUUUUUGAAACUUUAUUGAUGCAUAAUAAACCCUAGGGCAUCCUCUCUCCUAAUUUCUCUCAAAGUGCUAAUCCUAAAAUACUCAAACUUAUUCCAAAAAGCUUGAAAAUUAGCAGAUCUAUUUAAGUGAAGGGUUGUACAUAAUAGAAAUCUUGGGUUGUCACAGAAUUUUGGAUCUGAAGAGUCGAAUUCUUGGGUCAUGUGGUUAGCGAAGAAGGAAUUAAUGUGGACCCUUCCAAAAUUAAGGCCAUUGAGAACUAGUCAACUCCCAGGACACCUACAAAAAUUCGUCAAUUUCUAGGUCUCGCUAGCUACUAUCGCAGGUUUAUUCAAAACUUCUCUAUCAUCGUUAAACCACUUACAACAUUGACUCAGAAGGGCGUGUCCUUUGACUGGGAAGUGAAACAAGAAAAAGUGUUCCAAACACUGAAGCGAGCCUUAAUGCAGUGCACCGAUACUAUCCCUCCUAAAAGGGAUAGAAGACUUCAUGGUUUAUUGCGACGCAUCCAACCAAGGACUCGACUGUGUUCUUAUGCAACGAGGUAAGGUCAUCUCCUAUGCCUCAAGAAAUCUAGAGACACAUUAAAUCAACUACACCACACAUGAUCUUGAGUUAGGAGCAGUGGUGUUUGCUCUAAAGAUCUGGAGACACUACCUGUAUGGUACGAAAAGCACUAUCUUUACAGACCAUAAAAGCUUGCAACAUAUAUUCAACCAGCAAGAGCUUAAUAUGCGACAACAACGGUAGGUCGAGCUACUCAAUGACUACGAAUGCGAAAUUCGUUAUCAUCCCAGCAAUGCCAAUGUAGUAGUUGACGCCCUAAGUCGGAAAGAAUACUCUGGUUGUAGAGUCAAAUCAUUGAGAAUGACUAUCCAUUUACAUAUGUCCACACAAAUCAAGGGGGCUCAACUAGAAGCCUUGAAACCUGAAAUGUGGCGGGUGAAUCCCUGAGAGGGAUUGAUAAAAACUUAGAAGUCAAGGAUGGCGGAGACAUAUAUCUCAUGGAUCGGAAGUAUCUUCUAGAGUUUUGUGUGUAGCAUACAAGUCAGAAAACUCUAAGUAUUGGAGUUUACGGCCGUAAACUUCUUUGGGUGGCUGUAAACUCCUUUAAUGAAAUCUUAUGUGACUAUAACACUUCAAUAUAAGUGUCUCCUAGUCCCUAAGGUGGUUUCCUUGCAUGAUUAGUUGCUUAUAUACUAAUUAUAUACAUACGUAUAUAUAUAUAUAUAUAUAUAUAUGUGUGUGUGUGUGUGUUAUUAUAUGUUUAUUAGGAUCUGUUCGUGUUUGAAAUUUCGCUUGACACUUAGCAUCCAAUAUCUGUCUUUUUGCCAGAUCACUCACAAUCAGGUGAGUUCAUACCCUAACUAUCAAACAGAUGGACUUCUUAUACUUGCUUGUAACCACCAACUUUGUAAUAAAGGCUUCAUAUAUGCCAAGUUUAUGCAUGGAAAAAUUAGAUAGAUGAAAUUUUAAUCAAAAGAACCUUUGUUCGGUAUAGCUCACUAUUUGUCAUAGUCAAGACGUGUUCUUGACUUGAUACGCAUUCAAUCAAAUAUGUCUUGGAAUGUUUUCACUAGUAUACAACUUAGCAUGUCUUGAUUUUUUUACUAAUCUAUCCAUUUCUUCCCAUACACGUAUCAUUUGUGGUUGUUAUUCUAGCUUAAAAACAACCCUACUCACCUAAUCAAGCUCAUAAAGGCAUCAAAAGGCAAUCACCUUUAUGUCCCUGAAUACGCAAUACGAGAGUUGCUGAUUCGUGAAACUCAUGGUGGUGGUUUAGCGGGUCAGUUUUCCAUUACCAAAACUUUGGAGGAGCAUUAAGAAUAUUUCUAUUGGCCUAAGAUAUUGGGAUGUAACUACAUAGUGGGAAAGUGUGUUACUUGUUAGAUGACGAAAAAACUUUCAAGCAUGGUGUUGCACUCCGUUGCUGGUUCAUAUUCGUCUUUAGGAAGACGUGUCAAAGGAAUUCAUUAUGGCUUUACCUAGAACUCAAAGGGGAAAGGAUUCCAUUAUUGUGGCGGUGGAUAGUUUUUCAAAAAUUGCUCUCUUUGAGCCAUGUCAUAAAACCAAUGAUGCAUCUAAUGUGUCUGAUUUAUACUUUAAAGAGGUGGUUCGCUUGCAUAUUAUAGCUAAAACUAUUGUCUCUGAGAGGGAAUCUAUGUUUUUGAGUUACUUUCGGAACACUUUGUGGAUGAAAGCUGGUACUAAGUUACUUUUUAGUACAUCACAUCAUCAACAAACUUAUGGGCAAACGAAGGUGACAAAUGAACUUUGGGUAUUUUGUUGAGGUGGUUGGUUAGCAAAACUCAAAAACAUUUGGACAUCAAACUUGUACAUGCUAAGUUUUGCUGUAAUCGUUCUGCUACUUAUGUUACAUGUCACUCUCCUUUCGAAGUGGUGUAUGGUGUGAAUCCUUAUAUUCCUUUGGAUGUAAUUCCAUUGCCAAUGGAUGAAUUGGUUCAAAAGGAUGCUAAUGACAAGUUAAAGGCCAUGAUGAAACUACACCAACAAGUUCGUGUGAAGAUUGAAGCCGUGAAAGAGUUGUACAAACAGAAUUCCAACAUGCAUAGGAAACCACAUGUCUUUCAAGAUGGUGACUUGGUGUAGGUGCAAAUGACGAAAGAAUGUUUUCCUAACAAAAGGAAGAACAAAAGUUGAUGCCAAGAGCAGAUGGUCCUUAAAAAGUGGUGUCACAUGUCAAUGAUAAUGAUUAUAAGGUGGAUUUGGGAGGAGAGCAUGGAGUGCGUGCUACCUUUAAUGUGGGAGACCUUUAACCUUAUCUUGUAGAGGAUGGCCUUGAUGAAUUGUGGUCAUUUCCUUUCAAAGGGGGGGGGGGGGGGAUCCAUGCAUGGAUCAUGAAAGCCCAAGGUGAUGGAUUAGUGACUACUAGUAGGCUAGAUAGUGGUUUGGGCUCAAUGGUUGGGUUGUGCGUGGUAACGUACGAAUUAAAUUAUGGUCGCAUGAAAGCUAGGGCAACAUUUUAAAGGCUUCAUAAGUGCUCAAAACUGUUACUNGGGGGGGGGGGGGAUGAUCCAUGCAUGGAUCAUGAAAGCCCAAGGUGAUGGAUUAGUGACUACUAGUAGGCUAGAUAGUGGUUUGGGCUCAAUGGUUGGGUUGUGCGUGGUAACGUACAAAUUAAAUUAUGGUCGCAUGAAAGCUAGGGCAACAUUUUAAAGGCUUCAUAAGUGCUCAAAACUGUUACUUUUUGUUUCAUAAAGCCUCCUAGCCAUUUUUGAUACUCUUUGGUGUUUUUGGGAUACAUUUUAAUGCUUCUCAUGGCUCCUUAAUGGAGCAUGGACGUUUUUUUUCAUUCAUUAGUCUGUCAGACGUUUUUUUUGUGCGGUUUCAUGAGUAUCUUUAAUUUUCGUUUUUAGUUUUACUGAGUAGUUGGUUGGGUGGCUUGUAACCACCAACUUUGUAAAGGUUUCAUAUAAGCCAAGUUUAUGCAUGGAAAAAGGACAUAGAACUCAAAGGGGGGAGGAUUCCAUUAUAGUGGUGGUGGAUAGGUUUUCAAAAGUUGCUCACUUUGUGCCACGUCAUAAAGCCAAUGAUGCAUCUGACGUGUGUGAUUUGUACUUUAAAGAGGUGGCUCGCUUGCAUAUUAUUCCUAAAACUAUUGUUUCGGAUAGGGAUUCCAUGUUUUUGAAUUCCUUUUGCAACACUUUGUGGAGGAAAGUUGGUACUAAGUUACGUUCUAGUACUAAUUUAUGUUGUUGAGGGGGUUGGUUAGAUAAACUCAAAAACAUUUGAACAUCAAACUUGCACAUGCUGAGUUUGCCUGUAAUCGUUCUCCUACUUAUGCUACAUGUCACUCUCCUUUUGAAUUGUGUAUGGUGUGAAUCCUUACAUGACUUGGAUUUGAUUCCAUUGCCAAAGUAUGAAUUGGUUCAAAGGGAUGAUAAUGACAAGUUAAAGGCCAUGAUGAAAUAACACCAACAAGUUCGCGUGAAGAUUGAUGUCGUGAAAGAGUUGUACAAACAGAAUUCCAACAUGCAUAGGAAAUCACGUCUUUCAAGAUGGUGACUUUGUGUAGGUGCAUAUGAGGAAAGAACGUUUUCCUAACAAAAGGAAGAACAAAAGUUGAUGCCAAGAGCAGAUGGUCCUUAAAAAGUGGUAUCAGAUGUCAAUGAUAAUGCAUUUAAGGUGGAUUUGGGAGGAGACCAUGGAAUUCGUACUACCUUUAAUGUGGAAGACCUUUUGACCUUAUCUUGUUGAGGAUCACCUUGAUGAAUUGAGGUUAUUUCCUUUCAGAGGUGGAGGGGUUGAUCCAUCCAUGGAUCAUGAAAGUACAAGGUGAUGGAUUAGUGAUUACUAGUAGGCUAGAAGGUGGUUUAGGCUCAAUGGUUGGGUUGUGCGUGGUAACCUACGAAUUGAACUAGGGUCGCAUGAAGGUUAGGACAACAUUUUAAAGGCUUCAUAAUGCUCAAAACCAUUAAUUUUUUAUUCAUAAAGCCUCCUAGCCAUUUUUGAUACUCUUUGGUGGAUUAGGGUUACACUUUAAUUCUUCUUAUGAAUCCUUAAUGGAGCAUGGACGUUUUUUUAUUCAUUAGUGUGUCAAACGUUUUUUUGUGUGGUUUCCCGAGUUUCUUUAAUUUUCAUUAUUAGUUAUACUAAGUAGAUAGUUGGGUGGCUUGUAUCCGCCAACUUUGUAAUAAAUGCUUCAUAUACGCCAAAUUUAUGUAUGGAAGAAUUAGAUUGAAAAAAUUUUAAUCAAAAGAACCUUUGUUCUACUGUUCACUACUUGUCAUAGUCGAGACGUAUUCUUGACUUGAUAUGCAUUCAAUCAAUUAUGUCUUGGAUUGUUUUCACCGGUAUACAACUUAGUAGAUCUUGAUUUAUUUUACAAAUCUAUCCAUUUCUUCCCAUACACGUGUCAUUUGUAGUUGUUAUUCUAGCUUAAUUUACCUAAACACAACGCUACUCACUUAAUCAAGCGUAUAAAGGCAUCAAAAGCCAAUCAACUUUGUGUCCCUAAACAUGCAAUACGGAGUUGGUGAUUCGUGAAGCUCAUGCUGGUGGUUUAGCGGGUCUUUUUUCCAUUACCAAAACUUUGGAGGAGCUUUAAGAAAAUUUCUUUUAGCCUAAGAUGUUGGGAUGUAACCAACAUAGUGGCCAAGGGUGUUAUAUGUCAGAUGACGAAAAAACUUUCAAGCAUGGUGUUUGCACUCCGUUUCCGAUUCCUAUUCGUCCUUGGGAAGAUGUGUCAAUGGAAUUCAUUAUGGCUUUGCGUUGAACUCAAAGGGGGAAGGAUUCCAUUAUUGUGGUGGUGGAUAGGUUUUCAAAAAUUGCUCACUUUGUGCCAUGUCAUAAAACCAAUGACGCAUCUAAUGUGUGUCAUUUGUACUUUAAAGAGGUGGUUCACUUGCAUAUUAUUCCUAAAAAUAUUGUCUCUGAGAGGGAAUCUAUGUUUUUAAGUAACUUUCGGAACACUUUGUGGAUGAAAGCUGGUACUAAGUUACUUUUUAGUACAUCCCAUCAUCCACAAAUUGAUGGGCAAACAAAGGUGACGAAUAGAACUUUGGAUACGUUGUUGAGGGGGUUGGAUAGAAAAACUCAAAAACAUUUGGAGAUCAAACUUACACCAACAAGUUCGUGUGAAGAUUGAUGUCGUGAAAGAGUUGUACAAUUAGAAUUGCAACAUGCAUAGGAAACCACGUGUCUUUCAAGACGGUGACUUUAUGAAGGUGCAGAUGAGGAAAGAACGUUUUCCUAACAAAAGGAAGAACAAAAGUUGAUGCCAAGAGCAGAUGGUCCUUAAAAAGUGGUGUCAGAUGUCAAUGAUAAUGCUUAUAAGUUGGAUUUGGGAGGAGACCAUGGAGUGUGUGCUACCUUUAAUGUGGGAGACCUUUGACCUUAUCUUGUUGAGGACGACCUUGAUCUAGUAGGCUAGAAGGUGGUUUAGGCUCAAUGGUUGGGUUGUGCGUGGUAAGCUACGAAUUGAACUAAGGUCGCAUGAAGACUAGGACAACAUUUUAAAGGCUUCAUAAGUGCUCAAAACCGUUAAUUUUUGCUUCAUAAAGCCUCCUAGCCAUUUUUGAUACACUUUGGUGGAUUAGGGUUACACUUUAAUGCUUCUUAUGACUCCUUAAUGGAGCAUGGACGUUUUUUUUUCAUUCAUUAGUGUGUCAAACGGUUUUUUGUGUGGUUUCCUGAGUUUCUUUAAUUUUCAUUGUUAGUUUUACUUAGUAGAUAGUUGGGUGGCUUCUAACCGCCAACUUUGUAAUAAAUGCUUCAUAUAUGCCAAAUUUAUGCAUGGAAAAAUUAGAUAGAUAAAAUUUUAAUCAAAAGAACCUUUGUUCAGUAGUUCACUACUUUUCAUAGUCGAGACGUGUUCUUGACUUGAUUUGCAUUCAAUCAAAUAUGUCUUGGAUUGUUUUCACCGGUAUAUAACUUAGUAGGUCUUGAUUUUUUUACUAAUCUAUCCAUUUCAUCCCAUACACAUAUCAUUCGUAGUUGUUAUUCUAGCUUAAUUUACCUAAAUACAACCCUACUCACUUUAUCAAGCGCAUAAAGGCAUCAAAAGCCAAUCAACUUUGUGUCCCUAAACAUGCAAUACGGAGUUGAUGCUUCGUGAAGCUCAAUGUGGUGGUUUAGCGGGUCAUUUUUCCAUUACCAAAACUUUGGAGGAGCUUUAAGAAAAAUUCUUUUAGCCUAAGAUGUUGGGAUGUAACCAACAUAUUGGGCAAGGGUGUUAUAUGUCAGAUGACGAAAAAACUUUCAAGCAUGGUGUUUGCACUCCGUUGCCGGUUCCUAUUCGUCCUUGGGAAGAUGUGUCAAUGGAAUUAUUAUGGCUUUGCCUAGAACUCAAAGGGGGAAGGAUUCCAUUAUUGUGGUGGUGGAUAGGUUUUCAAAAAUUGCUCAUUUUGUGCCAUGUCAUAAAACCAAUGAGGCAUCUAAUGUGUCUAAUUUGCACUUUAAAGAGGUGGUUCGAUUGCGUAUUAUUCCUAAAAAUAUUCUCUUUGUGAGGGAAUCUAUGUUUUUGAGUUACUUUCGGAACACUUUUUGGAUGAAAGCUUGUACUAAGUAACUUUUUAGUACAUCCCAUCAUCCACAAACUGAUGGGCAAACGAAGGUGAAAAAUAGUACUUUGGGUACGUUGUUGAGCGGGUUGGUUAGAAAAACUCAAAAACAUUUGGAGAUCAAACUUGCACAUGCUGAGUUUGCCUGUAAUCGUUCUCCUACUUAUGCUACAUGUCACUCUCCUUUCGAACUGUGUAUGGUGUGAAUCCUUACAUGACUUUGGAUUUGAUUCCAUUGCCAAAGGAUGAAUUGGUUCACAAGGUUGAUAAUGACAAGUUGAAGGCUAUGAUGCAACAAGUUGGUGUGAAGAUUGAUGUCGUGAAAGAGUUGUAGAAACAGAAUUGCAACAUGCAUAGGAAACCACGUGUCUUUCAAGACGGUGACUUUGUGUAGGUGCCUAUAAGGAAAUAAUGUUAUCCUAACAAAAGGAAGAACAAAAGUUGAUGCCAAGAGCAGAUGGUCCUUAAAAAGUGGUGUCAGAUGUUAAUGAUAAUGCUUAUAAGUUGGAUUUGGGAGGAGACCAUGGAGUGCGUGUUACCUUUAAUGUGGGAGACCUUUGACCUUAUCUUGUUGAGGAUGACCUUGAUGAAUUGAGGUUANGUGGGGAUGAUCCAUGCAUGGAUCAUGAAAGCACAAGGUGAUGGAUUAGUGAUUACUAGUAUGAUAGAAGGUGGUUUAGGCUCAAUGGUUGGGUUGUGCGUGGUAAGCUACGAAUUGAACUAAGGUCGCAUGAAGACUAGGACAACAUAUUAAAGGGACUGCUCAAAACUGUUAAUCUUUGCUUCAUAAAGCCUCCUAGCCAUUUUGGUACACUUUGGUGGAUUAGGGUUACACUUUAAUGCUUCUUAUGACUCCUUAAUGGAGCAUGGACGUUUUUUUCAUUCAUUAGUCUGUCAAACGUUUUUUGUGUGGUUUCCUAAGUUUCUUUAAUUGUCAUUGAGUAGAUAGUUGGGUGGCUUGUAACCGCCAACUUUGCAAUAAAUGCUUCAUAUAUGCAAAAUUUAUGCAUGGAAAAAUUAGAUAGAUAAAAUUUUAAUCAAAAAAACCUUUGUUCAGUAGUUCACUACUUGUCAUAGUUGAGACGUGUUCUUGACUUGAUAUGCGUUCAAUCAAAUAUGUCUUGGAUUGUUUUCACCGGUAUACAACUUAGUAGGUCUUGAUUUUUUUACUAAUCUAUCCAUUUCUUCCUAUACACGUAUCAUUCGUAGUUGUUAUUCUUGCUUAUUUUACCUAAACACAACCCUACUCACUUAAUCAAGUGCAUAAAGGCAUCAAAAGCCAAUAACCUUUGUGUCCCUAAACAUGCAAUACGGAGUUGAUGAUUCGUGAAGCUCAAUGUGGUGGUUUAGCGAGUCAUUUUUCCAUUACCAAAACUUUGGAGGAGUUUUAAAAAAAAAUCUUUUAGCCUAAGAUGUUGGGAUGUAACCAACAUAUUGGGCAAGGGUGUUAUAUGUCAGAUGACGAAAAAACUUUCAAGCAUGGUGUUUGCACUCCGUUGUCAGUUCCUAUUCGUCCUUGGGAAGAUGUGUCAAUGGAAUUCAUUAUGGCUUUGCCUAGAACUCAAAGGUGGAAGGAUUCCAUUAUUGUGUUGGUGGAUAGGUUUUCAAAAAUUGCUCACUUUGUGCCAUGUCAUAAAACCAAUGAUGCAUCUAAUGUGUCUAAUUUGUACUUUAAAGAGGUGGUUCACUUGCAUAUUAUUCCUAAAAAUAUUGUCUCUGAGAGGCAAUCUAUGUUUUUGAGUUACUUUCGGAACACUUUGUGGAUGAAAGCUGGUACUAAGUUACUUUUUAGUACAUCCCAUCAUCCACAAAGUGAUGGACAAACGAAGGUGACAAAUAGAACUUUUGGUACAUUGUUGAGGGGGUUGGUUAGCAAAACUCAAAAACAUUUUGACAUCAAACUUGUACAUCCUGAUUUUCCUUUAAUCGUUCUCCUACUUAUGCUACAUGUCACUCUCCUUUUGAAGUGGUGUAUAGUGUGAAUCCUUAUAUGCCUUUGGAUUUAAUUACAUUGCCAAAGGAUGAAUUGGUUCACAACGAUGCUAAUGAGAAGUUGAAGGCCAUGAUGAAACUACACCAACAAGUUCGUUUGAAGAUUGAAGUGUGAAAGAGUUGUACAAACAGAAUUCCAACAUGCAUGUGUCUUUCAAGAUGGUGACUUGGUGUAGGUGCAUAUGAGAAAAGAACGUUUUCCUAACAAAAGGAAGAACAAAAGUUGAUGCGAAGAGUAGAUGGUCCUUAAAAAGUGGUUUCAGAUGUCAAUGAUAAGGUGGAUUUGGGAGGAGACCAUGGAGUGCGUGCAACCUUUAAUGUGGGAGACCUUUGGUCUUAUCUUGUUGAGGAUAACCUUGAUGAAUUGAGUUUAUUUCCUUUCAAAAGGGAGGGGAUAAUCCAUGCAUGGAUCAUAAAAGCACAAGGUGAUAGAUUAGUGAUUACUAGUAGGCUAGAAGGUGGUUUAAACUCAAUGGUUGGGUUGUGUGUGGUAACCUAUGAAUUGAACUAGGGCCGCAAGAAGUUUUACUGAGUAGUUGGUUGGGUGGCUUGUAACCGCCAACUUUGUAAUAAAUGCUUCAUAUAUGCCAAAUUUUUCAUGGAAAAAUUAGAUAGACAAAACUUUAAUCAAAAGAACCUUUGUUCAGUAGUUCAGUACUUGUCAUAAUGGAGACGUGUUCUUGACUUGAUACGCAUUCAAUCAAAUAUGUCUUGGAUUGUUUUCACCGGUAUACAACUUAGUAGGUCUUGAUUUAUUUUACUAAUCUAUCCAUUUCUUCCCAUACAUGUGUCAUUUGUAGUUGUUAUUCUAGCUUAAUUUACCUAAACAUAACCCUACUCACUUAAUCAAGCCCAUAAAGGCAUCAAAAGCCAAUCACCUUUAUUUCUCAAAACAUGCAAUACGUAGUUGAUGAUUCGUGAAGCUCAUGGUGGUUUAGCGAGUCAUUUUUCCAUUACCAAAACUUUGGAGGAGCUUUAAGAAAAUUUCUUUUAGCCUAAGAUGUUGGGAUGUAACCAACAUAGUGGCAAGGAUGUUAUAUGUCAUAUGAUGAAAAACUUUCAAGCAUGGUGUUUGCGCUCCGUUGUCGGUUCCUAUUCGUCCAUGGGAAGAUGUGUCAAUGGAAUUAAUUAUGGCUUUGCCUAGAACUCAAAGGGGGAAGGAUUCCAUUAUUGUGAUGGUGGAUAGGUUUUCAAAAAUUGCUCACUUUGUGCCAUGUCAUAAAACCAAUGAUGCAUCUAAUGUGUCUAAUUUGUACUUUAAAGAGGUGGUUCACUUGCAUAUUAUUCCUAAAAAUAUUGUCUCUGAGAGGGAAUCUAUGUUUUUGAAUUACUUUCGGAACACCUUUUUUAGUACAUCCCAUCCUCCACAAACUGAUGGGCAAACGAAGGUGACAAAUAGAACUUUGGGUACGUUGUUGACUGGGUUGGUUAGAAAAACUGAAAAACAUUUGGACAUCAAACUUGUACAUGCUGAGUUUUCCUGUAAUUGUUCUCCUACUUAUGCUACAUGUCACACUUAACCAUCUCUAUUGUAACUCCCAUGCAUUAAUCCACGUCCAUAUUAGCUUCCUAUGAUACCAUGCACACAAAUUUUGCCACAACACAUGCCAUGCUACAUUGCCAUGUGGCGAGUACCAAUUUAUCAUUAUUAUAGCUCACAUCAUCCAUACUUAUGUCAAGGGUGAGCCCAUUACGAUACAAAUUGGGUUGGAACUUGAAGAUUGCGAAUUGCAGUCCAAAUUCAUAUCAUCCCCUCCUACUUCAAAAGGAAUUGACCUCAAUUCUGCAAGACGAGCAUCUUCACAUUUAACCUGCUCCACAUUUAUUUCACCCAUCAAUAUAGUUCAAUGCUUCUGGACUUGUUCGUUAUUUAUGGGAUACACUGUUGUAGACGUCAUGGACUCUUGGAAUUCCUUUCUUGGUUCAACCAAAAUCACCUCCUUCUCAAAAAAUUUGUUCGCAUCAAAAAAAUUAUUUUCUUCCAUGAUUGCAUCCACACUUUCAACAAUUUCAAUCUUGGAGUUAUCUCCUUCUUCAACUUCUUCAGUGAAUUCAUCCAUUUCUUUAGUAUUAUCAUCUCUAAUCAUGAAAUUGUUUUCUUCAAUAGUUACUUCAACAAUUUCAUCUUCAACAAAUAAAUUAACCUCUUCUACCUUGACUUCUUCCACCUUGACAUCGGCAACAUCAGCCUUGUCAUCAAUGGUUUGUGAUGUUUCAAGUACCAAAACCGUGUCACCAGCCAAUGCUUUGUACUCUUCUUCUUCCUCUUUGAUCAUAACUGCCUUUUUAAAUAUCUCCACCCUUCUUUUGAAAUUAACAGUCUCCAAGCUCAUUGGCGCAUAGCUCUCUCAGAGUUUUCGUUUCAGAGAUUCCCAAGAAGAAAGCUUUCCCUUUCCUUCACGGGUUCUUUUUGCCUUCAACUUUUCAUACCACAAUUCAGCUUCUCCUCUCAACCUUAGAAUGGCAUAUUUGCAACUCCAUUCAUCUUCCACACAUUUGAACUGAAAAACUCUUUCCAUCUCCUUCUCCCAAUCCAAAUAAUUUUCUGGAUUGAAUCCUCCAACGAAUUUAGGCAAUUCAUUUACCUUUAACUCCCCCAUAUUCCUUGGCUGCUCAUACUUAGGUUUCCUUCGACUCGAUUCUUUUGAUACAUCCUUCAUAGCUUCACGAAGAACACGAAGAAAAUUUAGAUUAUCNUCUCCUCUCAACCUUAGAAUGGCAUAUUUGCAACUCCAUUCAUCUUCCACACAUUUGAACUGAAAAACUCUUUCCAUCUCCUUCUCCCAAUCCAAAUAUUUUUCUGGAUUGAAUCCUCCAACGAAUUUAGGCAAUUCAUUUACCUUUAACUCCCCCAUAUUCCUUGGCUGCUCACACUUAGGUUUCCUUCGACUCGAUUCUUUUGAUACAUCCUUCAUAGCUUCACGAAGAACACGAAGAAAAUUUGGAUUAUCCCAAUCCAUCGUAACUGAAUUCGUGAUAACACUUGGUAGAAUUGUUUUUCUUGUUCAAUAAGAGCAACAACAGAUUUUGGCAAGAACUUAACAACACCAAAUCAGCACACUCGACAAUGACCUCUUUUUUCUACUCAACAAAACCCAAUCGGAACUGGGCUCUGAUACCACAUAUGAUACGUGUAUGGACCGCUCCAAGUCCAACUAACACGAAUCUGGACUUCUAACACAUCAACUGAUACUAAUAUUGGGAUUGACACCACAAAUAAUAUCAAAUGGGUUUGAAAAUGCAGCGGAAUAAACAACAAUGGAUUUGACAAGAACAAAAUAAAGAAAAAGGGAUAGAUUUGAAUAUCAAACUAGACCUAUAGCUUGGAAUUCUAUGAAAACAAGUUAAGACCUAUUAACUUGAGUUCAAGAUCAAUAUUAAGAGGCGCAUCCUAAUAAGGAUCAAAUUUUGAAUUGUCACAACAACUUGGAAUGAACAACAGUUCAAUUUUCAAUAUAUUCAAAAACAUAAUUAUCUCCUUACAAAUGAAAGGAAAUGACUAUANGAUGUGAUCUCACCCAAAAUUGAGGUUUGAACACGUUUUGCCCGAUCGUUCUUUUGGUUACAGAAUUGUAAAACAAAGGUGGAAACCGCGACCCGUUGUCUAUAAAGAGACAAGAACCUUGGUAUAAAACGCCACAAUCAACCCACCAAAUUGAUUGAUAAGUUUGAACGCCACAAGCUAUGAAAACCUGAUAAGUUCUAAAGUUCACAAAGAACGAAAAAAGAGUUAAAAACUCACAAAUUGUAUUCAAAACUUGAUUGAUUUCAAAUGGAUACAAAUACCACGUUUUUAUAGUGUGGGAAGAGCACCUAAAGAGCCAUGAAUUAAAGAAGUGUCUUUAAUUUAAGGCAUUUAACCCCCAAGUUUAAAACUAUGAACCUAGACAUGGUUUAUCACAAGGUUCAUGUAACCUAAGACCCUUUUAUCUCCCCAACACUUAUUUAGGAUAUAUAAAAUUGAAAAUUACAUAAAAAUAUAGAAAAAAACGAAAUGGGCUUAUAAANNNNNNNNNNNNNNNNNNNNNNNNNNNNNNNNNNNNNNNNNNNNNNNNNNNNNNNNNNNNNNNNNNNNNNNNNNNNNNNNNNNNNNNNNNNNNNNNNNNNAGCAAUUUUUGAAAAACUAUCCACCGCCACAAUAAUGGAAUCCUUUCCCCUUUGAGUUCUAGGUAAAGCCAUAAUGAAUUCCUUUGACACGUCUUCCUAAAGACGAAUAUGAACCAGCAACGGAGUGCAACACCAUGCUUGAAAGUUUUUUCGUCAUCUAACAAGUAACACACUUUCCCACUAUGUAGUUACAUCCCAAUAUCUUAGGCCAAUAGAAAUAUUCUUAAUGCUCCUCCAAAGUUUUGGUAAUGGAAAACUGACCCGCUAAACCACCACCAUGAGUUUCACGAAUCAGCAACUCUCGUAUUGCGUAUUCAGGGACAUAAAGGUGAUUGCCUUUUGAUGCCUUUAUGAGCUUGAUUAGGUGAGUAGGGUUGUUUUUAAGCUAGAAUAACAACCACAAAUGAUACGUGUAUGGGAAGAAAUGGAUAGAUUAGUAAAAAAAUCAAGACAUGCUAAGUUGUAUACUAGUGAAAACAUUCCAAGACAUAUUUGAUUGAAUGCGUAUCAAGUCAAGAACACGUCUUGACUAUGACAAAUAGUGAGCUAUACCGAACAAAGGUUCUUUUGAUUAAAAUUUCAUCUAUCUAAUUUUUCCAUGCAUAAACUUGGCAUAUAUGAAGCCUUUAUUACAAAGUUGGUGGUUACAAGCAAGUAUAAGAAGUCCAUCUGUUUGAUAGUUAGGGUAUGAACUCACCUGAUUGUGAGUGAUCUGGCAAAAAGACAGAUAUUGGAUGCUAAGUGUCAAGCGAAAUUUCAAACACGAACAGAUCCUAAUAAACAUAUAAUAACACACACACACACACAUAUAUAUAUAUAUAUAUAUAUAUACGUAUGUAUAUAAUUAGUAUAUAAGCAACUAAUCAUGCAAGGAAACCACCUUAGGGACUAGGAGACACUUAUAUUGAAGUGUUAUAGUCACAUAAGAUUUCAUUAAAGGAGUUUACAGCCACCCAAAGAAGUUUACGGCCGUAAACUCCAAUACUUAGAGUUUUCUGACUUGUAUGCUACACACAAAACUCUAGAAGAUACUUCCGAUCCAUGAGAUAUAUGUCUCCGCCAUCCUUGACUUCUAAGUUUUUAUCAAUCCCUCUCAGGGAUUCACCCGCCACAUUUCAGGUUUCAAGGCUUCUAGUUGAGCCCCCUUGAUUUGUGUGGACAUAUGUAAAUAGAUAGUCAUUCUCAAUGAUUUGACUCUACAACCAGAGUAUUCUUUCCGACUUAGGGCGUCAACUACUACAUUGGCAUUGCCGGGAUGAUAACGAAUUUCGCAUUCGUAGUCAUUGAGUAGCUCGACCUACCGUUGUUGUCGCAUAUUAAGCUCUUGCUGGUUGAAUAUAUGUUGCAAGCUUUUAUGGUCUGUAAAGAUAGUGCUUUUCGUACCAUACAGGUAGUGUCUCCAUCUCUUUAGAGCAAACACCACUGCUCCUAACUCAAGAUCAUGUGUGGUGUAGUUGAUUUAAUGUGUCUCUAGAUUUCUUGAGGCAUAGGAGAUGACCUUACCUCGUUGCAUAAGAACACAGUCGAGUCCUUGGUUGGAUGCGUCGCAAUAAACCAUGAAGUCUUCUAUCCCUUUUAGGAGGGAUAGUAUCGGUGCACUGCAUUAAGGCUCGCUUCAGUGUUUGGAACACUUUUUCUUGUUUCACUUCCCAGUCAAAGGACACGCCCUUCUGAGUCAAUGUUGUAAGUGGUUUAACGAUGAUAGAGAAGUUUUGAAUAAACCUGCGAUAGUAGCUAGCGAGACCUAGAAAUUGACGAAUUUUUGUAGGUGUCCUGGGAGUUGACUAGUUCUCAAUGGCCUUAAUUUUGGAAGGGUCCACAUUAAUUCCUUCUUCGCUAACCACAUGACCCAAGAAUUCGACUCUUCAGAUCCAAAAUUCUGUGACAACCCAAGAUUUCUAUUAUGUACAACCCUUCACUUAAAUAGAUCUGCUAAUUUUCAAGCUUUUUGGAAUAAGUUUGAGUAUUUUAGGAUUAGCACUUUGAGAGAAAUUAGGAGAGAGGAUGCCCUAGGGUUUAUUAUGCAUCAAUAAAGUUUCAAAAACUCCAAGAGUUUGGAGUUUACAGACCAAGUCACCAUCUAGAAAGACACGUGGUUUCCUAUGCAUGUUGGAUUUUUGUUUGUACAACUCUUUCACGGCUUCAAUCUUCACACGAACUUGUUGGUGUAUUUUCAUCAUGGCCUUCAACUUGUCAUUAGCAUCCUUGUGAACCAAUUCAUCCUUUGGCAAUGGAAUUAAAUCAAAAGUCAUAUAAGGAUUUACACCAUACACCACUUCAAAAGGAGAGUGACAUGUAGCAUAAGUAGGAGAAAGAUUACAGGCAAACUCAACAUGUACAAGUCUGAUAUCCAAAUGUUUUUGAGUUUUGCUAACCAACCCCCUCAAACAACGUACCCAAAGUUCUAUUUGUCACCUUCGUUUUCCUAUCAGUUUGUGGAUGAUGGGAUGUAAUAAAAAGUAAGUUAGUACUAGCUUUCAUCCACAAAGUGUUCCGAAAGUAACUCAAAAUCAUAGAUUCCCUCUUAGAGACAAUAUUUUUUGGAAUAAUAUGCAAGGGUAACAUCCCAAAUUUCGGGUCCAAAAAUUUCAUUUUUAUUUAUCGGAUUGUAAAUACAUUCAUAAGAAAACUGUGUAACAAUAUAUCAUUUUGUGAAUUAAUGUAUCAGAUUUGAAAACCCAGAACAUAUAAUAGUAACAUGUCAGAGUACAAUCCCAGAAUAUCUCUAGUGCGGAAGAUGAAUACUUGUGUAUAUGAUGUGCCGCUACCAGGCCAGCUCUUUCCCCUUCGCUAAGGAGGUACCUGAGACCAAAACUGUAAACUGUAAGCACGGAGCUUAGUAAGAUCCCCCACAAUACCACAUACCAUGCACAUAUAAUGAACAACUAGGAGAUGCGCGCCUCGCCCACACUCAUGGAGAUACGAGCCUCGCCCACACUUUGCUAGCAAGGAGAUACGAGCCUCGCCCACAUUCCGUUGUCUCUUAGAUACGGGCCUCGCCCACACUCAGCUACUAAACCAUAGCAUACAUGUAUCAUACAGACCACAAGUAUAAGCAAUUCUAUCAAACAAGCCUAUAUCAUAAUCAAACUCAACUAUGAGAUGCGAGCUCUGCCCACACUCCAAUACUAACGUAUCACCUAUACGGGCCGACUUUGGUACCUUAGACCCGUUUCUACUGGAAGAAAACUCACCUCGUAAGACUGACCGCUGGAAAGCUGCUCGGGAAGUCUCUGACUAUUGCUACUCCGGAAAUCUUUCGGCUAUCAUCUCCACAAAACACUCAGUUAGAAUCUGAUAUCUACUCUUAGGGUAAAAUGACUAUUUUACCCCUACCCCGGAGCAAGUCAAAUUCAAAGUCAACUUCCUGUUGACCCGACUCGCCGAGUUGGGCCGUCAACUCGUCGAGUCCCUGUCUCUUCAACCGUCCUCAUCCACGUCCCUACUCAUCGAGUUUAGCAUCGACUUGAUGAGUUCUACUUCUAUCACAACCUCGGAUGAACCUUCAUCGCCAAGCGGUAUGAACACUCGUCGAGUCCAUCAUCAUCCUAUGAAUACGUCCUGACCUCGACUCGCCGAGUUGUAUGAACAACUUGUCGAGUUCAUCUUCAAGGGUUGGGAGAUUGCCUUGGACUCAGCGAGUCUAUUCUAGCACUCGCCGAGUCCUAUGAACUCCAGGUCUAAAACUAAGUCCAAUGCGUUGGGUCACUCUUCCUGUGCUGCUACAACCCUUCUAACACCCAACUAAGUUCUUUUGACCCUCAGCAUAUAUGGGACUCAAAGCCUUGGACUCGUCGAGUCCCAAGAACGGACUUGCCGAGUUGGUCACAUCCACACCCUAAAUCCUCGAUUUCUGAUGUACAACUCAUGACCAAAAGAUAGAGCUAGGCUGCUACAAGCGUUCUAGCAUGUAAAGUUUAUAACUUUGUGUCUAAAAGGUCCUAAAACAAGCUCUUGGGUUGCAUGGAGUCUUUCUUGGGUGUAAAAGCACCCACUUUCCGCCUUGUGACCCCUCUGAGGACCUAGAUCCGAAUCCUUGUCCCAAACCAUGCUUGCAUCCAUGGUUAGCUACCUAAAAUGGCUUAUAAAAGCCCUAAAUCUCCAUAAAAUGGGAUCUAGCAAAUGAACAAGCAAGUUAGCAACUUUAUACCUUCUGAGGAAUGGAAAUGAAGCGCAAACUCGAACCCCUCUGGUCACAUCUUGUUUCCUAAAGCUCUUCUCCUUCCUUCUUAAGACUACUAGCACCAAAGUCCACCAAAAUGACUUAGAUUGCUUCAACAGCGGUUAGGGUUUUCUAUAGAGGGUUUCUGGCAGCAUAAAGGGACGAUGGAGGCGGUAUAAGGUUGUUUAAAUAGGAUGUAAACCCUCAGAUUAGGGUUUUGUCCAAACAGAUCCUACUCGUCAAGUCCGGGACCCGACUCGACGAGUCCAUCAGUUAAAUCGCGCGUCUCAUCCCGCUUCUACUCGGUGAGUUGGGCCUUCAACUCGCUCCUUUAUAAGUGGUGUAUGGUGUGAAUCCUUACAUGACUUUGUAUUUGAUUCCAUUUCCAAAGGAUGUAAUGACAAGUUGAAGGCCAUGAUGAAACUACACCAACAAGUUCGUUUGAAGAUUGAAGUCGUGGAUGACGUGUACAAACAGAGUUCUAACAUGCAUAGGAAACCACGUGUCUUUUAAGAUGGUGACUUAGUUUAGGUGCAUAUGAGGAAAUAACGUUUUCCUAACAAAAGGAUGAACAAAAGUUGAUGCCAAGAGCNNNNNNNNNNNNNNNNNNNNNNNNNNNNNNNNNNNNNNNNNNNNNNNNNNNNNNNNNNNNNNNNNNNNNNNNNNNNNNNNNNNNNNNNNNNNNNNNNNNNUGCUAAAACUAUUGUUUUUUUAGUACGUCCCAUCAUCCAAUCACAGAUGGGCAAACGAAGAUGACUAAUAGAACUUUGGAUACGUUGUUGAGGGGGUUGGUUAGCAAAACUCAAAAAACAGUUGGACAUCAAACUUGCACAAGCUGCGUUUUCCUGUAAUCGUUCUCCUACUUAUGCUACAAGUCACUCUCAUUUAUAAGUGGUGUAUGGUGUGAGUCCUUACAUGACUUUGUAUUUGAUUCCAUUUCCAAAGGAUGAAUUGCUUCACCAGGAUGCUAAUGACAAGUUGAAGGCGAUGAUGAAACUAGACCAACAAGUUUGUGUGAAGAUUGAAGUCGUGAAUGACGUGUACAAACAGAGUUCCAACAUGCAUAGGAAAACACGUAUCUUUCAAGAUGGUAACUUGGUUUCGGUGCAUAUGAGGAAAGAACGUUUUCCUAACAAAACAAUAAACAAAAGUUGAUGCCAAGAGCUGAAGGUCCUUACAAAGUGGUGACACAUUUCAAUGAUAAUGCUUAUAAGGUGGACCUGGGAGGAGACCAUGGAGUACAUGCUACCUUUAAUGUGGGAGACCUUUACCGUAUCUUGUUGAGGAUGGACUUGAUGAAUUGAGGUCAUUUCCUUUCAAAGGGGGAGGGGAGGAUCCAUGGAUGUAUCAUGAAAGCCCAGAAGGUGAUGGAUUAGUGAUUACUAGUAGGCUAGAAGGCGGUUUGUACUAAAUGGUUGGGUUGAGCAAGGUAACCUAUGUAUUGAAUUAGGGUCACAUGAAGGCUAGGGCAACAUUUUAAAGGCUUAAUAAGUGUUCAAAACCGUUACAUUUAGAUUCGUCAAGCCUUCUAGCCAUUUUUGAUACUCUUUGGUGGAUUUGGGUUACACUUUAAUUCUUCUUUUGGCUCCUUAAUGGAGCAUGGACGCUUUUUUCAUUCAUUAGUGUGUCAAACAUUUUUUGUGUGGUUUCAUGAGUUUCUUUAAUUUUCAUUAAUAGUUUUACUAAGUAGUUUGUUGGGUGGCUUGUAACCACCAACUUUGUAAUAAAGGGUUCAUAUAAGCCAAGUAUGCAUGGAAAAAAGAGAUAGUUGAAAUUUUAAUCAAAAGAACCUUUGUUCACAUUGAAUUAUAGUUAUAGUUCACUAGUUGUCAUAGCCGAGACGUGUUCUUGACUUGAUACGCAUUCAAACAAAUAUUAUGUCUUGGAUAUUUUUCAUGGAUACACAACCACCCAAGAACCUCAGCCAACUCCCCUAAAGAGAAAACUCAAGAUCAAGGAGGGAAGUACGCGGCUCAAGGACCUUCUGAAGGGCAACAAGCUGAGACAGUCAAUAUCCCUGCCAAUCCUUCCAUCCCUACACCUAGGAGACCAUACCUAGGAAACUUUCCCCACUUCAGCAAGUGUAGCUACCAUAAUCAUGGUGUACGCCGGGUGCUCUAUGGUGCUAGGUGCCAUGUGAAGGGCCAUGCUACUCGUGUCUACAGAACUUCGGUUGAGUUUAUUACAUCAACCGCCAAUGUGGCAGACAACCCAGUUUACCACCUAUGUGGUAAAGAUGGACACUUCAAGAAGAGCUAUCCAAACUGAAGUAAAACAACAAGGACUCAGGAGGAGUCUGACUCUACUGCUUAGGGAGAAGCAUCUAGGAACCCGGUAGAAUUUUAAGUACGUCUCUCAAAUUCAGAUAACUAACCGAGAACAUAAAAAGGCUAAUCCUAAGUGUAAGUAUUUUCCAUUAUGGCGAAAGUCGCAACACUAUUAUAAAAUUUAAAAAUUCAUCAGGUAAAACUAUAAUUGCUAAAUAUAUACGUUACGGCCAUGUAUGAUUGAGAUGGAUAGACCUAGAGUGAGUGAAGGCCGCCUCAUUUCAUGUUCCUCGUUUGGUUGUGGAUUUAAGGCGGAGUCGCUCAGUCAACAGUCGUCCCCACCUUAAUUAUACAUGACUAGUAUAUGUGAGGCGACUAUAGAAAUGCCUCGUGAGAAUCCAUUCAGAAAAAGGUACUCUACUCAGAAACACUCAGGACCCUCUAUAGUUCCGUGUCGACUCUAUCGGUCCAAGUAUCCGCGACAGUGAUACACGGGACGAAACCCGAGACGCCUAGAACUUGUGUGCUCGUUCGACACAUGACUCUAUCGACCCUCCUACUGUAUCAUGUCGAAGUGUGCCAACUUCGACGACUCUAUCAAUCAUGGUUUGACGUAGUGCAACCAUGUGUAAAUCCCUAGUGCUGUGUAAAAGAGAACUUUCUCCAUAGCCAUUCGGCAAACAAAGGUUCUUCCGAACCUAAACAAAAUAAGAAUAAUAAAAACUAGUGCGAUCCGUCAGUCGUCACUCUUAUCUCAAACCUUCCGAAGUACCCAGGAAAGGGGUACCGCGUGUUGUUAACCAACCCUCCUUAGACAGAUAGAAACCGAAGCGAAAGACACUACAGAUAUUCCAGAAGACGAUAACCACCUGAAGCAUACUCAGUAGGAACCCAGAAAGACCCUUCAUCCUAUCCCAUGGAAUGGGAACUAGAGUCAAGAGAACCACUGCGGGUUGAGCUACUAUAGUGACCAUAAAUCCGAAAUUGUUGUCAUCUCGGUUAAGCCAACAUAGUAGUGAACACCCUCAGUUGGUAAGGAAAUCUUAGUCAUAAGAGUCAAGUACAUUGACUACGACCAUCCAUUCACGCUUAAUCCCCCAAAUUAAGCAUCUCAGUGGAUACCCCGAAAUCCCGGAAGUUGCGAUAAGUUAAACCUUGAGAAGAGUGGAUGAGGAGAUUAGAAGUUCCGAGUGACGGAACCCUAUACCUCUAGACUUAACCUAAAAUCAAGAAAACUCGGAACCCCCGGAAGAGUAGAUGCAGAAGAUGCUCAAACUACUCAGGCACUUCGUCCACCCCGUUACCGACGAGUGGUGCCCAGUACACUCCACCUCCUUUCGUGGAGGAAGUCACCGUCACCCUGUAGACGAUAGACUGCAUUCUCCGAAGUGAAUACUAGAAUGCCAAGAACCGCAGGAUAGCCCCCGCAACCAAGAAUACUUGAAUAAAGUGCGACAGUAGGUUGCGUUAAGCCUUAUAACCCAGAUCCCGAAGAGAUUAUAGACUUGAUGGCAGUCUAGGUGUUAGUCGAUGGGUUAUACAAGAGCACGCGCUUUCUGCGACUAUAAUAAACCGACGCCUUAGAGAUAUGCCUUGGAGAGUCAUUAAGACUAGUAGGUGUUCCAAGAAUGCUAUCUCUCGUAGAGAUAGUAGAACCACCUCCCGAGAUAGUACAACACUUCAUAAAAUCUCUAAGGAUUGAGUUAGCCCUGAGCAGAGCUUGUUAUUCAUGAAGUAGCAAAGCAAGUAAGAGCAUGAUUCCUUCCNGAUGAUCUAGAAAGUCUCUAAAAGCCAAUUGACAGGAAACACGAAACCAAGGACAACCCGAGCUUCCUAAGAACCAACCUGAAGGACUACACUUCCAGUAUGAGAGAGAACGUUAGGAACUUUAGAGUGGCGAUCACGCCAGUGAUGAUUUUGCCAUAGAAGUACACUAUGUUCUAAGUACUGAAAAGAUUUACCCUUCCGAGAGCUUAGGACCAUCUGAGAACCCUCACGGAGAUUGGUCCAACCCUCAUCAGACCACUACUCCUUUCUGAUAUUCCACAAGCUUCAUCCCAGAUCGAUCCACUUCCUAGACUUGAUAAGUGCUUGCCCGACGUCACUCUUUGUAUCCCACUCAUCUUGAUAGAAACCAUUGAGAACCCUAACUUCGUAGACAUACCUGUAGGAAGUCGCUAACUGCACGAGACGGAAUCCGCAUCUCGUAGGUAAAGGUUUGUUGGAAUGGCAAACACAGGCCAGAGUUCACUUGGGAGUGCGAGGACAAACCGAAUAGGAAGUACCCUCCUGCCCCUACUCGGUCAUUCAUACCUAUUUCCUUGCCUAAACCUGAAUUUCGGGACGAAAUUCCCUCUAACGGGGGGAUGAUGUGACAACCCGAAAUUUAUUCCGUCAUUUUUAACCCCUUGUUCCGUUAAUAAGCCUUGUUUUAUUUGACUGCCCGUUAACCUUUUGGAAGAGGUUAAUUAAUGUGGGAUUGUUAAUGACUUGGUAAGGGUUGAAACAAAUUACAAACACUACAAAUUUUCCCUUAAAAAAUUUUAGUUUCAACCAAGUCAAAAUACGACAGUUUAAUCGGGUGCGACCAAAAAGCCCCGUUUAACGGCAGUAUCUUGUAGAUUUCGACUGAGCCCCAACUCAAACCCCUAUAUAAGGGGGAGUGGACUUCAAUUCCACCCUUUUCACCCUCUCUUUACACUCUCUCUCUUUACAACUUAAUUUCGAGCAAAAAAUCGUCCGUUUCAAGCCCCAAACAAGUGAGUAGUCUAUCCUAACUUGUUGAAUAGCUUACCUAACAUGUAAAUUCGAGUUUAAGAUAUCAAAUAGGGUUAGACCAUGUGUUUACGGCCCAAGAACACUCGUGGACCGUGAACACCAUUUAAUGGGGUUUUUAAGCCCCAAAACCCCUCUAAACUACCCCUAAGGCUUAGAUAUGACUAAAUGGCUUAUGGAAUCAGACUUAGAACACCUUGAACUAACAUUUUGGGGAGUAAACUUGAGUUUACNUGCCCAAGAAAUGCUUGGGCUGUAAACUCCUCUUCAUGGGGAGUAAACUCAAGUUUAGGGAAGAAUAAAACAAUGCUAAACAAUGCUAAGCUUUUUCGCUUUCUCUCUCUACUUUCUCUCUCUUCUCCUGAUUCUCUCUGACGGUGGUGCGAUCUAGCUUCGAUUCAUCAGUGCUGCUUUUCUGACGAAUUUCUUUUCAUUGGUGAAGCAAUUUCUUUCCUAAUUCCGUUGAUUUAAUGGGAGCGUCAUCCAAAUCGGAUCGAUUGAAGGAUGUGAAGGUUAAACCUCCGGAUAAAAGUGCUGCUGUUCGAUAUACAAAAACUGAAAUGGAGGUGAAUGAUCUUAUUCCUCCUGGGGUUAUUGAGCAAUCAUCAGCAACGAUCUAUAAAGCUCGUCGCAAACCAAGUGCGACUGGAGCUGUUGCAUCUGGGAUAAGCAAAGCUGAAUGGAAAAUGGAGGGGAAAGCUUUCAGAAUCAAGAAUAGAGUUCGUAAAUUGGUGGAUGAAUUAGCUCCGAUGGAUACUGAGGAAUACUACAAUGAAGAUGGUUCAGAGGAGGAAACGGAAGAAGAAUCGGAAUCUAUCUCAGUUUGGGAAUCGGAUUCUAACAUUUCUAUACCUGGAUCUGAUGGAAAGGAGAAGGAAUUGAAGAAAGGAUCGUCUGGUGAUUCCAAAAAGGUAAGAUCUCAUGUUGUUACUAUCCCAACUGGUAAUACUGCUAAUUUGAUGAAAAAUUGGGAUGGGUUGAUGAUGAGUAAUGAAGUUUUGAGUCCAAAAUCUGAAUUGAAGAAUGUUAUUAGUGAAUGGUUAGGGUGAAUCCUACCAUUUCGGCGAUGGAUGUUAAAAAUCAGAAUAAUUCAAAAAUGGAAGAUAAUGAAGUUAUGAAGAUUAGAACUGAUGGGGAGAAAAGUGCUAGUAAUAAUGAAGAAUUCAUUCCAGGAAUUGGGUUUCAAUUCCUGAGUGAAUUGAAGGAAGAAGGACAGGUGGGGAAGGGAGAUGAUAAGGGGAUGAUUCAGAAUAUGGAUAUGGAUGAUUUAAAAUUGGGUAAGACAGAGAAUAAGGUGGAAGAUGAUAAAGAAGAAGAGAGUUCAGAAGAAGAAGAGGGGGAAAUUGAUUCAAGUGAGGAAGAGACAAGUGAAGAUGAAGAAAUAAUGAUGGAGGAGGAGGAUAUUGAUAAGACUAGUAGUGAUAAUAAUGGGAAGUUGUUAUCAGGAACAGUUAUUAAUAGUAUUAAUACAUUACCUUCUAUUUUGGGAGUUGCUAAAAAUGGUAAAGUGGUUGAGAAUGAGAUGCAGGGGAAGUUAGAGAACUCUUAUGCAGGUGUGUUAAAAGGAAAUAGGCAUAAGGGUAAAAUAGAUGUUAGAUAUAUACCAGGAGAUACUGGUAAUGAUGAAGGGCCGGUUAUCAUUCCAAUUGAAAAUCUAAAAAGUGCUAGUAUUCCUUAUACUAAUACUUUGUAUGGGUAUAUGAUAAACAAGAAGUUGGCUUUUCCAGUGAUACAGAAAGAGGUUAGAAGACUUUGGAAGAAUUUGGGAUUGGAGGAGGUAUUCAUGAACAGCAAAGGAUUUUUCUUUUUUAAAUUUACUGAUGAGAAAGGGAUGUUAGAGGUGUUGGAGGGAAGUCCAUGGUUGAUGUUCAAUAACAUGCCCCUAUUCCUACAACGAUGGAGACCAGGUCUGACUUUAACAAAAAAUAAUCAUGAUAAAAUACCUGUAUGGAUCAAAAUUUUUGAUUUGCCUCUAGAAGUAUGGAGUGGAGAUAAUUUGUGUAUAAUAGCUAGCAAGAUAGGUAUUCCGCUGGCAUUUGAUUCUUUUACAGAGGAAAUGUGUUUGGAACAUAAAGGAAGAAAUGCUUAUGCUAGGAUCCUUGUUGAAAUGGCAGCUGAUAAGGAAUGGAAGAAGAAAAUUGAUAUAUCUACGUGGGAUUUUGUUACUAAUACUGCUGUAAUUCAGAGUUUUGAUGUGGAAUAUGCUUGGACUCCUUCAAGAUGUAAUCAUUGCAAGGUAUUUGGGCACAUGGAUAAAGUUUGUCUUGCUGCUUUGAGUGAAGAAAAAGUGAUUAAAAAUGGGGGUGAAGAGAAGAUUAAGAAUAAUAAAGGAAAGGAAAUUGCUAAGGAUGAUGGAUUUGUGGAAGUCAAUUAUAAGAAGAGGGCAAGUAAUAAUAAUGGAGAAGGUACAAGCAAAACUAAGGAAGGUUAUUAUCAGGUGAAUAAUCAGAGAUUUAAUGGGAAGAAUAGUAAUUAUAACAAGGGGAAUAAUUUUAGAGGAAAUAAUGGUUAUAGAGGGGAUAAUGGAAAAGGACAGAAUGGGAAUUGGGGCAAUAAGGGGAUUGGAUAUUGGAAUUUAGAUAAGAAUAGAAGAUAUGAGAAGUUCGUGAAUAGUAAGAAUAUGGAGGGUAAUCAGGGGGUUAAGGAUAAUAAGAAACAAGGGUAUGCAGAUAUGAAUACUAAUAAUAAAGAAGAAGAAAAGAUGAGGAGUGAUAAUAACAAUAAACCACUGAUUGGAGGCAAUAACAAAAACAGUUUUGAAGUUUUGGGAAUAAUAGAGGAGGAAGUAUUGUAUAGAAUGGAAGAAGAUACUAAAGGGGAAAAAGAAGGAGAAUUGCAGAAGGGAGCAAAUUAAGUAUCUUUGGAUGAUAAUGAUGGGAAAAAGAAAAAUAUGAUGUUAUCAUCUAAGAUAAUUGAGAAGGAUAAUAUAAAGAGUCGUAUUAGCAAUGAGAAGGGUAUUUUGAAAAAUAAGGGGAGUAGUAAAAGUAUAGUUGGGAACUCUCAGGCAUUAGAGGAGGUUGAUGUCAAAAAUAAUGCUGGUCAACAAUGAUGUCGAUAGGGUGUUGGAAUGUUAGAGGUUUAAAUAAGAUGGUUAAGCAGAAGGAGGUUAUUGAUGUUAUUAGAAGCAAUAAUCUUCGUAUCUGCUCUGUGGUGGAAUCGCAUGUUAGGAUUGCUAAUUUGAAUAAAGUUUGUGCCAAGACUUUUGGACAAUGGGAUUGGGUUUCUAAUAACAGUUGUUGUGAGGCUGGAACUAGGAUCAUUGUUGGAUGGAAUCCUAGAAUUGUGGAUGUGAUGGUGAUUUCUUAUUCUAGACAAGUUAUUCACUGUUAUGUUAGAUUCUGUGAAUCUAAUUAUAGCAUGUAUUUGUCUUUUAUUUAUGCUGCUUCCAAUUAUCUGGAUAGAAGAGAUUUAUGGGAGAAUUUGAAGAAACAUAAACUGGUGGUUAAAGAGGAUGCUUGGGGAUUAUUAGGAGAUUUCAAUGUUGCUUUAAAACAUUCGGAAUACUCUGAAGGAUGUUCUAGAUUUCCUAAAGGUGUUGAGGACUUUAUUAAAUGUAUUAACUAUUUAGAAAUUGAGGACCUGAAUUCGUCUGAUUUUCAAUUUACUUGGAAUAAAACUCCUGCUGGAAGUAUGGGCCUCCUGAAGAAACUGGAUAGAGUGAUGGCUAAUUUGAAGUUUGUUUUGGAUUAUCCGUUGGCUCAUGCUAUAUUCAAACCCUAUAGAAUAUCAGAUCACUGUCCUGCUGUCCUUAAUAUUCCUUUGAGUAAAAUGAGAUGGCGACCUUCUUUCAGAUUUGCUAAUUUUAUUACCGAGAAGGAAGAAUUUUUACCUAUGGUUAAGGAAGUUUGGGAUGAAAACAUUGAAGGGUUUUAUAUGUUUAAGGUUUGUCAGAAAUUGAAGAUUCUUAAAAAGCAGUGUAGGGAUCUUUGUAACAACUACAGAGGAUAUGGGAAGCGAAUUCAUGAGCUAAGGAAAAAGCUGGAAAGUAAACAAGUGGAAAUUGAUUGUAAUCCUUAUGAUUAUAAGGUUAGGAAUGAGCAUGCUGAUCUAUUGUUCAAAUUUAAUGAAGCAUGUAAUGAUGAAGAGAAGCUUUUAUUCCAGAGAUCUAAAAUUAAAUGGAUUCAGGAAGGUGAUAAUAAUACUAAGUUUUUUCAUAGUAUUGUGAAGAGCAGGGGCAAUAAAAAUAGAAUUAUGAGGGUUUUGGAUGAAGAUGGAAGAUGGGUUAGUGGGAUUGCUUUGAAGGAUAAAUUUGUUUCGUAUUUCAAAAAUUUCUUGGGGUGUAAGGAUGGGUCUGUUAAGCCGGAGUUAAAUGAAGAACUUUUCCAAAAAAGGUUAGACAGGACAGAUGCUACUAAUAUGAUAAGAGUGGUGACUGAUGAAGAAAUUAAAGCAACAAUGUUUGAAAUUGAUGACAAUCGUGCCCCUGGGCCUGAUGGAUAUUCUUCAAAAUUUUUCAAAAGUGCCUGGAAUAUUGUUGGAUCAGAGAUUUGCAAAGCAGUGAGAGAAUUUUUUUGGACAGGGAAUCUGCUAAAAGGGAUAAAUGCUACGAGAAUUAUUCUAAUUCCUAAAGUGGAUACGCCGAGGAAGGUUGCUGAUUUUAGACCUAUAGCCUGCUGUAACACUUUGUAUAAGUGUAUUAGCAAGGUUAUAGUGAAUAGAAUUAGGAACUGUUUGGGGAAAAUUGUUAGUAAGAAUCAAUCUACUUUCAUUCCUGGAAGAUCGAUUUUGGAUAAUAUUCUUCUUGCGCAGGAAUUGAUGGUGGGAUAUAAUAACAAGAGGGGAGUUCCAAAGUGCACCUUAAAAAUUGAUAUUCAAAAAGCAUAUGAUACAGUGGAUUGGGAGUUUCUCAAUAGAAGUCUUAAAGGGUUUGGAUUUCAUCCGAUUAUGAUUCAGUGGAUCAUGGCUUGUGUGUCUUCCCCGUGGUUUAUGAUCAAUUUUAAUGGUGAAGACCAUGGGUAUUUUGAAGGAAAGAGGGGUCUUAGGCAGGGUGAUCCACUGUCACCUUACUUAUUUACUAUAGUAAUGGAAGUGUUCAAUUUGAUUCUUGGUAAGAAAAUAGAAGACAACCAUAAUUUUAAAUACCAUAAUAAGUGUGAGUUUCUUAACAUUUCUCACUUAUGCUUUGCUGAUGAUCUUCUGGUAUUUUCUUAUGGUAAUGGGAAUUCGGCUAGAAUUAUAAGGGAAGCUCUUGAUGAAUUCAAAAAUGUUUCUGGGCUGAAGGUGAGCAUGGAAAAGAGCCAGAUCUAUUUCAGUUGUGUUAAACCGAAUAUGAGAAGAAUUAUUUUGGGAAUUCUUCCUUUUGAUGUUGGGAAAUUUCCUUUUAAGUACUUGGGUGUUCCUAUGUGUGUUACUAAACUUUUUGAAAGAGAUUGCAAGAAGUUGUUAGAAAAGAUUAGAAUGAGAAUUUUCAACUGGAAAUGCAAAACUUUAUCGUUUGCUGGAAGGUUGCAGCUCAUUAAUUCUGUGUUGACUUCUAUUCAUGUGUAUUGGGCUUCAAUUUUUAAAAUUCCCAUUGCAACUAUAAAAGAGAUUGAAAAGAUGUGUAGAAGCUUCUUAUGGGCUAAUGGUGAAAAAGUUAAUGGGAAAGCUAAAAUCAAAUGGGAUGAUGUUUGUAAACCUAAAGAUUAUGGAGGAUUGGGGAUUAAGAAUUUAAGGAAAUGGAAUGAUGCUUUACUUGCAAAACAUGUGUGGAAUGUUGUUAAUAAUAAAAAUUCUUUAUGGGUGCAAUGGGUGAAAGCUUAUUACAUUGGAAAGAGAAAUUUUUGGGAUAUAAUGCAAAAGAAAAGCAUGAGCUGGACCUGGAAGAGAUUUUUGGAAAUUAGAAAAAUUGUUAGACCUCAUAUUGUUGCUUGUGUGGGAAAUGGGAGGAACACCUCUUUAUGGCAUGAUUGGUGGCAUCCUUUAGGUAUUUUAAGCACUAUCAUUCCAAGAAGAGAAUGGUUUAGCUAUGGAUUUAAUGACUUUUCUUUGGUUAGUGAUGUGCUUGAUUAUGAUACUUAUUGUUGGCCUGUAAAUUGGGUUGAUAAAUUUUCAGGUCUAAAAGAUGCUCCUAUGUUUUGUAUUGAUCCUAAUAUGAGAGAUGGUGCUGGAUGGAGAGAUAAGGAGGGUAAUUGCAAACAAUUUUCGUGUAAUCAAGUGUGGAGAGAUAUUAACAACUUUGGGAAUAAGGUGCCAUGGAAGGAUAUCGUUUGGUAUGGUAAGGGCAUUCCUAGAAAUUCUUUCAUUUUAUGGAUGGCUAUCUUGAAUAGAUUGAAAACUCAGGAUCGUGUUAGAGUUUGGGAAACCACAGGAAUUCUCCUCUGUCCUUUUUGUAAUCUUAUACCUGAUUCUCAUGAUCAUCUCUUCUUUAAUUGUGAAUUUUCACAAAGUAUUUGGAGACAUUUUUGUGGUAAGAUGAGAAUUAAAUUGGUGAUGGGUGGCUGGAAUGAGACGAUUCUGAAGUGCUGUAACCUGUGGUACAAGGAUACAGGUGAGAGUUUAAUUAAUAAAUGUAUUCUUGCGAGUUGUGUAGCACAUAUUUGGAAGGAAAGGAAUGCUAGGAUUUUUAACAAGAAGAGUCUAACAGCUGAAGGAGUGAUAGCUUGUAUUGAGAAUGAAAUCAGAUUAAAGCUGUUAGGAUUAAGGAAUACUAACAAUUUGAUUAAUGAAAGAAUCUAUAAGGAUUGGGGCAUUUAUGGAAAGGACAAAAAUAAGAGAUGAUGUACAGGUUCAGAAUUGUGAAGUUGAUGGUUGCAGUGAUUUUUAAUUGGGGUUGGCAGCGGAGAAAUUAUAUUGAGUUUGUUCUUAGUAUUGGUAUUAAAUGGGGGCAAUUUUGGAAUAAUUGGUUUUACAAAGGAAUUGACGGAAAUUGUCAAUGGUUGGGGAGUUCUCUCUCUAAUCAUUUGACUUGUACCAAUGGGAUUUUCAAUUUGGAUAUGAUCUUUUAUGUGAUUAUUCAAAUUGAGAAUCCUAGACACGUGAUUGAUGUCAUGUCAAUUCUGAAACUUAUUCUGAAUUUCUGGAGUCUUGGUGUUGGUUUUUGGUUCGUUGGGUUAUGUAUUCUUUGCAGGAAUCUAUUGCAUUGGAUGAAGAUGGACCUUAGUGAAAAGAAGAAAGAGAGUUUCAUGCAGAAAAUCAAGAGGAGGAUGAAGAAUUGGAAAAGGGAUAGAAGAAGUGGGAUUAUUCAGCUCUUGGAGAUUAAUUGGGAUUGCAUUGUUAAAUUGUUUAGCAGUUUUAAAUAUGUUUGGUUUUUAUUUGUGAUUUGUUGGUUGAGGAUUUUGGUCUUAGUUGGAUUUUCCUUAAAGUUUAGUCUUCGGAUUGAGGGUUUUUUUAAGGGCCUUACCCCUUGCUAUUUUUUUUAUGUUAUUUGAAGUUUUUGGAGGUGCAAGGGGGUGAAGUUACCUUUUUUCCUUCAUUCUAUAAGUCCUUGGGCUAACUUUAAGGAUUUUAGGGAUUAUUGGGGUUGUGAGUGGUUAGUUCUUAUUAUUAGGAAGUGGUUUGGUAGUUGGUUAUGGAUAGGCUGGUUAUUUUUGUUUUUUAUUUGAAUUUUUGGUGCUUGUAUUCUUUUAUUCUUUUUAAUAAAGUUUGCUGAGCUUUGGCUCUUUCAAAAAAAAAAAAAAAACUUAAUAGGUCUUGAUUUGUUACUAAUCUAUCCAUUUCUUCCCAUACACCUGUCAUUUGUGGUUGUUAUUCUAUCUUAGUUUACCUAAACAAAACAUUACUCACUUAAUCAAGCCCAUAAAGGCAUUAAAAGGCAAUCACCUUUGUGUCGCUAAACAUGCAAUAAGGGAGUUGCUGAUUCGUGAAGCUCAUGGUGGUGGUUUGGCGAGUCACUUUUCCAUUACCAAAACUUUGGAGGUGCUUUAAGAACAUUUCUUCUGGACUAAAGAUGUUGGGGAUGUAAACAGCAUAGUGGGCAAGUGUGUUACAUGUCGGAUGAGGAAAAAAAUUUAAAGCAUGGUGUUUACACUCCAUUGCCGGUUCCUAUUCGUGGUGGUGGAUAGGUUUUCAAAAAUGGCUCACUUUGUGCCAUGUCAUAAAACCAUUGAUGCAUCUAAUUUGUCUGAUUUGUACUUUAAAGAGCUGGUUCACUUCCAUAUUAUUACUAAAACUAUUGUUUUUUAUAGGGAUUCCAUGUUUUUGAGUUACUUUUGGAACACUUUGUGGCGGAAAGCUGGUACUAAGUUACUUUUUAGUACGUCCCAUCAUCCAUAAACUAAUGGGCAAACGAAGGUGACUAAAAGAACUUUGGGCACGUUGUUGAGGGGGUUGGUUAGCAAAACUAAAAAACAGUUGGACAUCAAAUUUGCAUAUGCUGAGUUUGCCUGUAAUCGUUCUCCUACUUAUGCAACAGGUCACUCUACUUUAUAAGUGGUGUAUGGUGUGAAUCCUUACAUGAAUUUGUAUUUGAUUCCAUUUCCAAAGGAUGAAUUGCUUCUCAAGGAUGCUAAUGACAAGUUGAAGGCCAUGAUGAAACUACACCAACAAGUUUUUGUGAAGAUUGAAGUCGUGAAUGACGUGUACAAACAGAGUUCCAACGUGCAUUGGUAACCACGUAUCUUUCAAGAUGGUGACUUCGUUUCGGUGCAUAUGACGAAAGAACAUUUUCUUAACAAAACGAUAAACAAAAGUUGAUGCCAAGAGCUGAAGGUCCUUACAAAGUGGUGACACAUUUCAAUGAUAAUGCUUAUAAGGUGGACCUGGGUGGAGACCAUGGAGUACAUGCUACCUUUAAUGUGGGAGACCUUUCACCGUAUCUUGUUGAGGAUGGACUUGAUGAAUUGAGGUCAUUUCUUUUCAAAGGGGGAAGGGAGGAUCCAUGCCCAAAAGGUGAUGGAUUAGUGAUUACCAGUAGGCUAGAAGGUGGUUUGUACUCAAUGGUUGGGUUGUGUAUGGUAACCUAUGAAUUGAAUUAGGGUCACAUGAAGGCAAGGGCAACAUUUUAAAGGCGUCAUAAGUGUUCAAAACCGUUAGUUUUUGCUACAUCAAGCCUAUUAGCCAUUUUUGAUACUCUUUGGUGGAUUUGGGUUACACUUUAAUUCUUCUUUUGGCUCCUUAAUGGAGCAUGGACGCUUUUUUCAUUCAUUAGUGUGUCAAACAUUUUUUUGUGUGGUUUCAUGAGUUUCUUUAAUUUUUAUUAAUAGUUUUACUGAGUAGUUAAUUGGGUGGCUUGUAACCACCAACUUUGUAAUAAAGGCUUCAUAUAAGCCAAGUAUGCAUGGAAAAGAGAGAUAGCUGAAAUUUUAAUCAAAAGAACCUUUGUUCACAUUGAAUUAUAGUUAUAGUUCACUACUUGUCAUAGCCGAGACGUGUUCUUGACUUGAUACGCACUCAAACAAAUAUUAUGUCUUGGAUAGUUUUCACGGGUAUACAACUUAGUAGGUCUUGAUUUGUUACUAAUCUAUCCAUUUCAUCCCAUACACCUAUCAUUUGAGGUUGUUAUUCUAGCUUAAUUUACCUAAACACAUCCCUACUCACUUAAUCAAGCCCAUAAAGGCAUCAAAAGGCAAUCACCUUUGUGUCAUUAAACAUGCAAUAAGGGAGUUGCUGAUUCGUGAAGCUCAUGGUGGUGGUUUGGCGGGUCAUUUUUCCAUUAGCAAAACUUUGGAGAUGCUUUAAGAACAUUUCUUCUGCCCUAAAGAUGUUGGGGAUGUAACCAACAUAGUGGACUAGUGUGUUACAUGUCGGAUGACGAAAAAAACUUUCAAGCAUGGUGUUUACACUCCUUUGCCAGUUCCUAUUCGUCCUUGGAAAGAUGUGUAAUUGGAAUUCAGUAUGGCUUUCCCUAGAACUCAAAGGGGGAAGGAUUCCAUUAUAGUGGUGGUGGGUAGGUUUUCAAAAAUGGCUCACUUUGUGCCAGGUUAUAAAACCAAUGAUGCAUCUAUUGUGUCUGAUUUGUAAUUUAAAGCGGUGGUUCACUUGCAUAUUAUUCCUAAAACUAUUGUUUCUGAUAGGGAUUCCAUGUUUUUUAGUUACUUUUGGAACACUUUAUGGAGGAAAGAUGGUACUAAGUUACUUUUUAGUACGUCCCAUCAUCCACAAACUGAUGAGCAAACGAAGGUAACUAAUAGAACAUCAAACUUGCACAUGUUGAGUUUGCCCCUAAUCGUUCUCCUACUUAUGCUACAGGUCACUCUCCUUUAUAAGAGGUGUAUGGUGUGAGUCCUUACAUGACUUUUUAUUUGAUUCCAUUUUCAAAGGAUCAAUUGCUUCACAAGGAUGCUAAUGACAAGUUGAAGGCCAUGAUGAAACUACACCAACAAGUUUGUGUGAAGAUUAAAGUCGUGAAUGACGUUUACAAACAGAGUUCCGACAUGCAUAUGAAACCACGUAUCUUUCAAGAUGGUGACUUGGUUUAGGUGUAUAUGAGUAAAAAAUGUUUUCCUCACAAAAGGAUGAACAAAAGUUGAUCCCAAGAGCUGAAGGUCCUUACAAAAUGGUGACACAUGCCAAUGAAAAUGCAUAUAAGGUGGAUCUGGCAGGAGACCAUGGUGUGCAUGCUAACUUUAAUGUGGGAGACCUUUCACCGUAUUUUGUUGAGGAUGGACUUGAUGAAUUGAGGUCAUUUCCUUUCAAAGGGGGAGGGGAGGAUCCAUGCAUGUAUCAUGAAAGCCCAAAAGGUGAUGGAUUAGUGAUUACUAGUAGGCUAGAAGGUGGUUUGUACUCAAUGGUUGGGUUGUGCAUGGUAACCUAUGUAUUGAAUUAGGGUCGCAUGAAGGCUAGGGAGACAUUUUAAAGGCUUCAUAAGUGCUCAUAACCAUUACUUUUUGCUUCAUCAAGCCUUCUAGCCAUUUUUGAUACUCUUUGGUGGAUUUGGGUUACACUUUAAUUCUUCUUUUGGCUCCUUAAUGGAGCAUGGACGCUUUUUUCAUUCAUUAGUGUGUCAAACACUUUUUUGUGUGGUUUCAUGAGUUUGUUUAAUUUUCAUUAAUAGUUUUACUGAGUAGUUAGUUGGGUGGCAUGUAACCACCAAAUUUGUAAUAAAGGCUUCAUAUAAUCCAAGUAUGCUUGGAAAAAAGAGAUAGUUGAAAUUUUAAUCAAAAGAACCUCUGUUCACUUUGAAUUAUAGUUGUUGUUCACUACUUGUCAUAGCCGAGACGUGUUCUUGACUUGAUAUGCAUUCACACAAAUAUUAUGUCUUGGAUAGUUUUCAUGGGUAUACAACUUAGUAGGUCUUGAUUUGUUACUAAUCUAUCCAUUUCUUCCCAUACACCUAUCAUUUGUGGUUGUUAUUGUAGCUUAAUUUACCUAAACACAACCCUACUCACUUAAUGAAGCCCAUAAAGGCAUCAAAAGGCAAUCACCUUUGUGUCCCUAAACAUGCAUUACGGGAGUUACUUAUUUGUGAAGCUCAUGGUGGUGGUUUGGCGAGUCAUUUUUCCAUUACCAAAAGUUUGGAGGUGCUUUAAGAACAUUUCUUCUAGUCUAAAGAUGUUGGGGAUGUAAUUAACAUAGUGGGCAAGUGUGUUACAUGUCGGAUGACGAAAAAAACUUUCAAGCAUGGUGUUUACACUCCUUUGUCGGUUCCUAUUCGUCCUUCGCAAGAUGUGUCAAUGGAAUUCAGUAUGGCUUUCCCUAGAACUCAAAGGGGGAAGGAUUCCAUUAAAGUGGUGGUGGAUAGGUUUUCAAUUGUGCCAUGUCAGAAAACAAAUGAUGCAUCUAAUGUGUCUAAUUUGUACUUUAAAGAGGUGGUUUGCUUGCAUAUUAUUCCUAAAACUAUUGUUUAUGAUAGGCAUUCCAUGUUUUUGAGUUACUUUUGGAACACUUUGUGGAGGUAAGUUGGUACUAAGUUACUUUUUAGUACGUCCCAUCAUCUACAAACUGAUGGGCAAACGAAGGUGACUAAUAGAACUUUGGGUACAUUGUUGAGGGGGUUGGUUAGCAAAACUCAAAAACAGUUGGACAUCAAACUUGCACAUGCUGAGUUUGCCUGUAAUCGUUCUCCUACAUAUACUACAGGUCACUCUCCUUUAUAUGUGGUGUAUGGUGUGAAUCGUCACAUGACUUUGUAUUUGAUUCCAUUUCCAAAGGAUGAAUUGCUUCACAAGGAUGCUAAUGACAAGUUGAAGGCCAUCAUGAAACUUCACCAACAAGUUUGUGUGAAGAUUGAAGUUGUGAAUGACGUGUACAAAUAGAGUUCCAACAUGCAUAAGAAACCACGUGUCUUUCAAGAUGGUGACUUGGUUUAUGUGGAUAUGAGGAAAGAACAUUUUCGUAACAAAAGGAUGAACAAAAGUUGAUGCCAAGAGCUGAAGGUCCUUAAAAAGUGGUGACACAUUUCAAUGAUAAUGCUUAUAAGGUGGAUCUGGGAGGAGACCAUGGAGUGCAUGCUACCUUUAAUGUUGGAGACCUUUCACCGUAUCUUGUUGAGGAUGGACUUGAUGAAUUGAGGUCAUUUCCUUUCAAAGGGGGAGGGGAGGAUCAGUGCAUGGAUCUUGAAAUCCCAAAAGGUGAUGGUUUAGUGAUUACUAGUAGGCUAGAAGGUGGUUUGUAUUCAAUGGUUGGGUUGUGCAUGGUAACCUGUGUAUUGAAUUAGGGUCGCAUGAAGGCUAGGGCGACAUUUUAAAGGCUUCAUAAGUGCUCAAAACCAUUACUUUUUGCUUCAUCAAGCCAUCUUUCCAUUUUUGAUACUCUUUGGUCGAUUUGGGUUACACUUUAAUUCUUCUUUUGGCGCCUUAAUGGAGCAUUGACGCUUUUUUCAUUCAUUAGUGUGUCAAAUUUUUUUUGUGUGGUUUCAUGAGUUUCUUUAAUUUUCAUUAAUAGUUUUACUGAGUAGUUGGUUGGGUGGCUUGUAAGCACCAACUUUGUAAUAAAGGCUUCAUAUAAGCCAAGUAUGCAUGGAAAAAAGAGAUAGUUGAAAUUUUAAUCAAAAGAACCUCUGUUCACUUUGAAUUAUAGUUGUUGUUCACUACUUGUCAUAGCCGAGACGUGUUCUUGACUUGAUAUGCAUUCAAAAAAAUAUUAUGUCUUGGAUAGUUUUCAUGGGUAUACAACUUAGUAGGUCUUGAUUUGUUACUAAUCUAUCCAUUUCUUCCCAUACACCUUUCAUUUGUGGUUGUUAUUGUAGCUUAAUUUACCUAAACACAACCCUACUCACUUAAUGAAGCCCAUAAAGGCAUCAAAAGGCAAUCACCUUUGUGUCCCUAAACAUGCAUUACGGGAGUUACUUAUUUGUGAAGCUCAUGGUGGUGGUUUGGCGAGUCAUUUUUCCAUUACCAAAAGUUUGGAGGUGCUUUAAGAACAUUUCUUCUAGUCUAAAGAUGUUGGGGAUGUAACCAACAUAGUGGGCAAGUGUGUUACAUGUCGGAUGACGAAAAAAACUUUCAAGCAUGGUGUUUACACUCCUUUGUCGGUUCCUAUUCGUCCUUCGCAAGAUGUGUCAAUGGAAUUCAGUAUGGCUUUCCCUAGAACUCAAAGGGGGAAGGAUUCCAUUAAAGUGGUGGUGGAUAGGUUUUCAAAAAUGGCUCACUUUGUGCCAUGUCAUAAAACCAAUGAUGCUUGUAAUGUGUCUGAUUUGUACUUUAAAGAGGUGGUUUGCUUGCAUAUUAUUCCUAAAACUAUUGUUUAUGAUAUGGAUUCCAUGUUUUUCUGUUACUUUUGGAACACUUUGUGGAGGAAAGUUGGUACUAAAUUACUUUUUAGUACUUCCCAUCAUCCACAAACUGAUGGGCAAAUGAAGGUGACUAAUAUAACUUUGGGUACGCUGUUGAGGGGGUUGGUUAGCAAAACUCAAAAACAGUUGGACAUCAAACUUGCACAUGCUGAGUUUGCAUGUAAUCAUUCUCCUACUUAUGCUACAGGUCACUCUCCUUUAUAAGUGGUCUAUUGUGUGAAUCCAUACAUGCCUUUGUAUUUGAUUCCAUUUCCAAAGGAUGAAUUGGUUCACAAGGAUGCUAAUGACAAGUUGAAGGCCAUGAUGAAACUACACCAACAAGUUGGUGUGAAGAUUGUAGUCGUGAAUGACGCGUACAAACAGAAUUCAAACAUGCAUAGGAAACCACGUGUCUUUCAAGAUGGUGACUUGGAUUAGGUGCAUAUGAGGAAAGAACGUUUUCCUAACUAAAGGAUGAACAAAAGUUGAAGCCAAGAGCUGAAGGUCCUUACAAAGUGGUGACACCUAUCAAUGAUAAUGCUUAUAAGGUGGAUCUAGGAGGAGACUAUGGAGUGCAUGCUACCUUUAAUGUGGGAGACCUUUCACCGUAUCUUGUUGAGGAUGGACUUGAUGAAUUGAGGUCAUUUACUUUCAAAGGGGGAGGGGAGGAUCAAUGCAUGUAUCAUGAAAGCCGAAAAGGUGAUGGAUUAGUGAUUACUAGUAGGCUAGAAGGUGGUUUGUACUCAAUGGUUGGGUUGUGCAUGGUAACCUAUGUAUUGAAUUAGGGUCGCAUGAAGGCUAGUGCAACAUUUUAAAGGUGUCAUAAGUGUUCAAAACCGUUACGUUUUGCUUCAUCAAGCCUUCUAGCCAUUUUUGAUACUCUUUGGUGGAUUUGGGUUACACUUUAAUUCUUCUUUUGGCUCCUUAAUGGAGCAUGGACACUUUUUUCAUUUAUUAGUGUGUCAAACAUUUUUUGUGUGGUUUCAUGAGUUUCUUUAAUUUUCAUUAUUAGUUUUACUAAGUAGUUGGUUGGGGGGCUUGUAACCACCAACUUUGUAAUAAAGGCUUCAUAUAAGCCAAGUAUGCAUGGAAAAAAGAGAUAAAUGAAAUUUUAAUUAGAAGAACCUUUGUUCACUUUGAAUUAUAGUUACAGUUUGUGACAACCCGAAAUUUCUAUUCUGUACAAGCAUAUCAAGUCAAUAGAAGUCAGAACAGUUGCUGUUAAAUUUCAGACUUUUUAGAAUAAGUUUGAGUAUUUCAAGAUUCACACGUUAGAGAUAUCAGGAGAGAGGAUGCACUAGAUUUAUUGUGCAACACUGUUAUUCCAAAACUCUAAGAAAUUAGAGUUUACUGCCUGAAUAAAAUAUUUUCUGCCAAAAACCCUAAAUUUAGGAGUAUAUAUAUGAGAACUUGUCAUUGUUUACACUUUUUCCAAAAACUCAAGAUCCAAACCCAUUUGUCUCUCAAGUAUCAUCCAAAAGAUUUUCAAGAUCUUCAAACUAGUAAGUGAUUCUAGUUUUCUUAAGUGAUUAUAUGGCUUAAUCUAGUGUUUUAACACUCUUCUAACUGUGAAAUCCUUCCAAAAGGUUGAUUAUUCCAUUUACACCAAGAACACCAAGAACAUACACUAGUGUUCUUGGACUUUUAGCUCAUUUCAAGCUUCCAUAUAGUAAGUACUUCGAUCCUAGAGUCUUAUAAAGCUUGUUAUACAUCUUUACAUCAAGAAAAUGUCCCAAGAACAAGGUGUUCACGGUUCAAGAAGUUCUUGAACCGUAAACACCAAGUAAAGGUGCCAAAGAGUGCUUAGUCCCUUCCUAUGCCUUAGUAACUAACAUGGAUCCAUUCUUUGGUGAGCUAAGGACUUGAAAACCCCCCAAAAACCAUGAACCUUUUGAGUUUACGGUAGUAAACUCAAAGGAAAAUGGUUUAGGAACCAUAAACUCCAAAUAGGAGUGAAAUGGUGCCUUAGUUCCUUCCAUAGACACAUACUUCAAGUAGAAAAGCUUCUAGAGACUUUUUAAGGCUUCAAACAACAAAUGGUCAAAAGUGUAUGAGCUUACGGCCGUAAACUUAAGGGUUUACGACCAUAAACUCUUUUUUGUUAAUGACCACAAAACCGUAAAAUCCGUAAUGGUGUUUUCCUUGAACCCCAAGCACACUAGCCUUUCCCUACCACACUUAGAUGCAAUCCUUGGGACUUAUAACACCUGUAUAAGGUGUUUAGCAUGUCCUAGGGUGUCUUAACUUUGUUUAUUAUUUGUUUAAAGACUAAUUGGAUACAUAUAUGUGAUAUUAUAUGUUAACUAGGAUCAUAGAGUGUGUUCAAGACUUCACUUGACACCUAGCAAUCCUACAUCUUCAGUUCAUCCGUACCACUCACUACAGAUGAGUUCAUACCCCUUAAUCAAUGGUUUAAAAGUUUUUAAAUGCUUUUAUGGGGGGGGGGGGAAUACAAGUUGAAUACUUAUAGUUUUUUAUAUCAAUCACAAGUGAUUAAUAACUACCAAACCAGUAGUUUGCUUACUGUUCAAACUGUUUAUUAAACUGUUUUGCUUCAAAUUAUUUUACAAACUCUUUUACUUAUCAAAUACUUUUACUUAAACUCUUUUAUACUUAUUAUCAAAUGCAUGCCUAUGUAUGUAUAGUUAUAUAAGCAAUGUUUUAAAGGGCUUAGGAAGGCCAGCUCGCUUUAUCUCCUUUUCCUCAUUAGGAUGUGGCUUUAGGGCAUCGGUUAUCCGUCCGAAGGUCGUCUAAAUAUUAGUUAUAUAUUAUCUAUACAUAUAUAGACAUAGAAGUUAUUUCAACCAGUUCCAUACCUUUGGGUAGCAAGGGUUUCACAAACAUGAUCAUACAUUACUAGUAAGCUACCAUAGGAGUAGCACAGGAAGAUACUAAUAAUAUUACUAGAAAAAUGAAACAUACAAUGAGUCAGUUCAUUCAUGAGUCAAUACGAGCAGCACACACAGUACAUUACUAUACAUGCUAGAUAGAGAGAGAACACACAUUACAGCUAGCACACGCAGAACAUUACAGUACAUACAGGCUAGACAGAGAAAACAGUACACUUUACAGUUAGCACAUUCAUUACAUGUACAUUUAUGUAGUUAUGUGAACCGUUAAACGGGGUAUGGCACUACCUGCCAUGACCGUUUUUGUAUACCGAAUCUCCUUAAUUGGGGAGCAUAUGAGUUUGCGUAUAGAUCUAUACUAGAUUGACUAUCCUACACCUUGCUGCUCGCUACAGUGUGUCACACCCCAAAAACCGAAGGCGGAAACAUUUCCGGGGUUGACUCCUUGUUGAGUAUCAAAUCCAAUGCACAUAGUAAGUAAAGUAGAACAACCAUUACAUUACAUUAUAAAGUUUUACAGUUGUUUCAAAAGUAAAGUUUGUACAGUUGUGAUACAUAGUAUAUAUAGACAAAAGAAACGGAUCUUCAUGUACUUCAUCUUCUGAUCAAAAGAAAUCUCCAGGUACCUGUUCUAACGUUGACCUGAGAACACAAGCGGUUUGAAAAUCAGCAUAAAGCUGGUGAGUUCAUAAGUAGUUUUGUUUUGUGAAAAUGUUUAUGUUUCCUUUCUGUUUCUAAAAAUGUAUCAGUGUAUUCCCAGGAAAGUCCCAUACUUUCCUGAAUAGUUAGUUAUUGUAAAAGAUGUAAUGAUAUACAAUUGGUUACACUUUUCUGGUUAUGUGAAUGUUACCCAGGAAUGCCCCAUGCUUUCCUGUAUGUUGGUUUUCAAUGUAAAAGAUGUAUUCUAUCAAACCUGGUUAUGUACAAAGUUUUCCCCAGGAAGGUCCCAUACCUUCCUGAAUGUUGGUUAUUGUUUGUAAAAGAUGUAAAAGAUGUAAAAGAUGUAAACUGAAUCCUGGUUAUCCGUAAAAUGUAGUAUAUGGUUCAUUAUUACUGUAAGUAAAUCUCUGUUAUCCUAAUUGCGAGUUCCAUAACCAUACUAAAGACUGAACCUGUGGCAAUAAGUAGUCCACAAUUCCUAUGACUUUCGUCACCCUUGAACCAUUUCGGUUCGGCUGUAGCUAGCAGCCAGGUGUGGGGUAGUCAGCCCCGUAUAGAUCUAUACACUCAAGUCACGCUCUCUAAAUCCCAGAGAUUCUGGUUACGGGUGUAGUCCUCCACUCGCGUAUCUCUGUGGAGUGUUCGCCGAGGACGUGUCUCCAAUCAUACGGAAUAACAAAUUUACUAGUAAUAAUAGUAUAAUCCUCCAUUCGCGUAUCUCUGUGGAAUGUUACCGAGGACAAGACAGUGUACGAAAUAUAUUGUUCAUGUGUUGUAAAGUCAUGCUUUUAACUGAUAAAAUGUGGAAAACCAUUUGUGAAAUAUAUAUAAAGCAUAAUAGUUUAUAAACCCAUUUCACAAAUAAGUGUUUAUAUGAUCUGUAUGUUCUACCAAUUAUCAGUUGCGUAUAUCAGUAUUAAAAGCAUAUAAAUUGUGAAACACACACACACGAAAAAUAAUUUUUGAGUACAAAAACCCUUGUACUUUGCUUGUUUUCCCCCCCUGAAAACAGUGAAAAACAGUGAAAAAGGUAGGGGUAUGAACUCACCGGACUCGGAAACGUGUCGGUUUUGAAUGCUAGACGUUGGUUCGAGGUUUGAUUACUCGCGAUGACCCUAUGUAAAAUGAAAUAAUGUCCAUAUAUAUACAAUUAGGGAUACAUUCACUAAUCAUAUGGAACAUUAUACUCCAAUGAGGUCAAACACCUCGAAAUGAGCGUUUGGAGUGACCCGGGUGGCGUUUAAGGACGUGUAAAGGCACUAGGGACAUGGGACUUGAGUUUACUCUCCAUAAGUAAACAUUUAAAUGAGUUUACACCCACAAAACACACCCACACAUGAGUUUACGGCCGUAAACUCAUGUUGGUGUGGUUUUGAUGAUCUAAGUGACUUAAAUGGCUUACAUGGACAUGGGAAAUGCUAGAAUGAUUUAUCUAAAAUGACUUGGAACACUUGGAAUGAAUUUACAACAUUUAAACAUGAGUUUACGGCCAUACUCUUAGAGUUUACGGCCGUAAACUCACCCAUGGCCAAGAAUGGUUAGUUUAAGCUACAAGGGACAAUCACAUGUGAUUCUAGUUAAUUUUCCAAGCUUUGUUAUGAAUUUAGAACAUCAUUUAACACAUUUAUUGGAGUUUACGGCCUAGAGGUAUGUUCUAAGGCCGUAAACUCUCCUUUACCCAUGAAAAAGAUAGUUUUUGAUGCUUAAAACAAUCACAUGUGAUUAAUAGGAUUUAUACCAAGACUUAGAAUGAGUUUUAUGGGACAUAUGAGGGGUGUUAUGGAGUUUACGGCCCAUGAGACCCUCUUCAUGGCCGUAAACUCUAAUAUAGAGUGAUAUAAUGUGUUUCAAGGUCUAUAACUUGCAUAGAAGGGCUUCUAAAAUUCAUCUAAAGGCUUUAGGGGUGUUUAGUUUGCAUUCUAACACCAAAAAUUUUGGAGUUUACGGCCCAAGAACAAUGCCUUGGCCGUAAACUCUUAGAAAACCCACAAAUGUUGUGUUUAAGUCCCUUAAACUAUUUUUGGUUGGUCCCUUGAUUUAUUCCAAGGCUUUUGGUGGUGUUGGAUGGCUUUCUAACACUUUAAAAUUGAUUUUAUGCCUUGAUUUAGGGAGUUUACGGCCCAAGCACUCCCCUUGGCCGUAAACUCAUAUAAGUCCUUCAAAUGAUAUGAUUCAAGUGUCCAAAUGCUAUAUCCAAGGUCCUAUAAUUCAUACCUAAGCUAUAGAAAUGAUUUGGAAGGGUUUAAAGGCAUGAAAACCCUAGAUUAUUGAGUUUACGGCCCAAGAAUGCUCCUUGGCCGUAAACUCCUUCAAACUUCACAAAGUUCAUGUUUUAAUUGUUUAGAGUCCAUAUCUUAAAGUCCCUUAGCCAUAUCUAAAGUCCAAUUGAGUUUAGGAAGGAGUUUAAGAGCUUAAAACCCCAUAAAAUGGAGUUUACGGCCCAAGCUUGCUCCUUGGCCGUAAACUCUUGUUCUUGACCCUAAAACUCAAUUAAUUCAUCAAUUUGAAGGCUAAAGAUGAUGAAUAACAUGCUAGAGAGGUUACCUUAAAGAUUUGAAGCCUUAAACUUGUGAUUUGGACCUUAAUUCUAGCUUGGAGGAGAGAGGUUGUAAGAGUUUAAUGAGAAUUUGGCCAAAGGCUUCAAAUGGAGUCUUAAACAUGUUUAUAUAAUGUUCGGGAAUUGGACACGAUAGAAUUCUACCCGAUACCGACGUUAAUUGAGGUUUUUGGUCGUACCCGAUUGAGUUACCGUAACCCGACAUAGUAAUUUCUAGAAAUAUUCCGAUCACUAAAGUUGGGUGUUUAAAAUGAUUUCUAAUGUAUUAAGACACCCAUUAAGUCAUUUUAGGUCAAUAUAAACUAAUGACUUUAAUAAAUUGGUGAAAUUGGAAACGAAAUUGAAAAUGACGUUUGGUUGAUCGGAUCGGAUUACAAGUUGUGGUACAAGAAGUGAUAUGAAAUUUCGGGUUGUUACAUUAUCCCCCCGUUAGAGGGAAUUUCGUCCCGAAAUUCAAAGUUUAAAACACAAGACAAGAUACAAAUCAUGGAUUAGAAAAGAGUUGUGGAUAUUUUUGUUUCAUCGAGUCUUCUCGCUCCCAAGUGAACUCCGGUCCUCGCUUGGCAUUCCAGCGAACCUUCACCAACGGGAUGCGACUCUGUUUCGUACGUUUGACUUCUCGAUCCAUGAUUUCGAUUGGUUCCUCCACAAAGUUAAGGUUUUCAUCGAUCUCAAUCUCGUCUAAGGGGAUUGUUAGGGUUUCAUCGGAUAGGCACUUUUUGAGAUUUGAAACAUGGAAGACAGGAUGAAUGUUACUGAGUUCGUGAGGUAAAUGAAGCUUAUAGGCUACCGGACCAACUCUGGCAAUGAUUUCAAAAGGUCCAAUGUACCUCGGAUUGAGUUUCCCACGUUUACCGAAACGUACAGUGCCUUUCCAGGGCGAGACUUUUAACAGAACACGAUCUCCAACCUGGAAUUCUAGUGGUUUCCGACGAUUAUCAGCGUAACUCUUUUGACGAUCGCGCGAGGCCUUUAGUCGUUCACGGAUUUGGAUAAUUUUCUCAGUGGUUUCACGGAUGAUUUCAGGACCGGUAAGUGCGCUGUCGGGGACUCGACUCUUUGCUAACUGUGUAUCUCCUACCUCGGCCCAGCACAGAGGGGAUCUGCACUUGCGACCGUAUAGGGCUUCGAACGGGGCAGCCCUAAUGCUGGUGUGGUAACUGUUGUUGUAUGAGAAUUCGAUCAAUGGUAGAUGUGCGUCCCACGACUUUCCAAAAUCAAUGACACAUGCCCUAAGCAUGUCCUCCAGAGUUUGGAUUGUUCUCUCGCUUUGACCGUCAGUCUGAGGAUGGUAUGCCGUGCUCAUGUCUAGUUGGGUUCCAAGGGCUUUCUGAAGGGAUUGCCAGAAUCUGGAAGUAAACCUGCUAUCUCGAUCAGAGAUAAUGGAUACAGGUACACCGUGUAGACGUACUACCUCUUGGAUGUAGAUUCGCGCAAGUCUUUCCAUUUUGAAUGAUUCUUUAAUUGGAAUGAAGUGAGCGGAUUUUGUCAAACGAUCAACAAUCACCCAAAUGGUAUCAUUCCCAUUCAAGCACUUGGGUAGUUUGGUGAUGAAGUCCAUGGUAAUCAUCUCCCAUUUCCACUCGGGAAUCUCGGGUUGUUGAAGCAGACCUGAAGGUUUCUGAUGUUCGACUUUGACUUUGGCGCAAGUCAAGCACUUGCCCACGAAUGUAGCUAUCUCAGCUUUCAUGUUUGGCCACCAAUAUUGUUUCUUGAGAUCUAAGUACAUCUUGUCAGAGCCCGGGUGAACAGAGUAUUUGGUUCUAUGUGCUUCCUCCAUGACUAACUCUCUUAAUCCUCCAGACUUGGGAAUCCAGAUUCGAUCCAUAAAACACUGGACUCCGUCACUUCUGAUCUCAAGUUUCUUUUCCAUCCCUCUCAAAGCUUCAGUUGUCACGUUCUCAGGUUUCAGGGCUUCUAACUGAGCUUCUCGGAUUUGCACGGGUAGGUUGGAAUGGAUGGUUAUCGACUGACUCUUCACUUUGUUACUGGUAUUCUCCUUUCGGCUAAGGGCAUCUGCUACCACAUUGGCCUUGCCGGGAUGGUAGCGGAUUUCACACUCAUAAUCACUGAGUAGCUCUACCCAUCGCCUUUGUCUCAUGUUCAGGUCUUUUUGGUCAAAGAUAUGUUGCAGGCUCUUAUGAUCAGUAAAGAUCGUGCACUUAGUUCCGUAAAGGUAAUGUCUCCAAAUCUUCAAUGCAAAAACUACGGCUCCAAGCUCCAAGUCGUGUGUGGUAUAGUUGACCUCGUGUAUUUUCAACUGCCUAGAGGCAUAAGCAAUCACUUUUCCUCUCUGCAUAAGCACACAACCUAAACCUUGAGUAGACGCAUCGCAGUAGACAACAAAGUCCUCUGUCCCUUCGGGUAAGGAUAGGACAGGCGCGCUGCACAGAGCUUUCUUCAACGUCUGAAAUGCGGUCUCUUGCUUAUCACCCCAACAAAAGGGUACACCUUUCUGUGUUAGAGUGGUUAGAGGUUUGGCGAUUCGGGAAAAGUUUUGGAUGAACCUUCGAUAAUAGCCAGCGAGACCCAAGAAUUGUCGGAUUUCUGUGGGUGUCUUCGGUGCUGACCAAUUCUCUAUUGCCUUAAUCUUGGAAGGAUCAACAUGAAUACCCUCCUCACUUAUCACAUGACCAAGGAAAGUUACCUUCCGUAUCCAAAACUCACAUUUUGAAAACUUUGCGUAUAGCUUUUCGGAUCUAAGGGUUUCCAAUACUAGCCUCAAGUGUUGUUUGUGGUCUUCUUCGCUUCGGGAGUAAACGAGGAUGUCGUCAAUGAACACGAUGACGAAUUUGUCUAAGAAGGGAUGGCACACCCGGUUCAUAAGGUCCAUGAACACUGCCGGUGCGUUGGUUAAACCGAAGGGCAUCACUACGAACUCGUAGUGUCCAUAUCGAGUCCUGAAGGCUGUUUUGGGCACAUCACUUUCAUGAACUCGCAACUGAUGGUACCCUGACCUAAGGUCUAUCUUAGAGAAGUAACUGGCUCCCUGAAGUUGAUCGAAGAGGUCAUCUAUACGUGGAAGAGGAUAUCGGUUCUUAACAGUCAACUUGUUUAAUUCACGAUAAUCUAUACACAUUCGAAAGGAUCCAUCCUUCUUCUUGACAAACAAAACCGGGGCUCCCCAGGGUGAGGAACUCGGUCUGAUGAAUCCCUUGCUAAGCAACUCGUUAAGUUGACUGGAUAGCUCCUGCAUCUCUGCUGGAGCUAAGCGGUACGGAGACUUCGCUACAGGAGUAGCCCCAGGAAUUAGAUCAAUACGAAACUCGACCUGACGCUCAGGAGGGAUUCCUGGAAGCUCUUCGGGAAACACAUCAGGAAAAUUGCAGACCUCGGGGAUGCUCGCGAGGUUUUUAACUUCUUGAUUUUCGUUGAUUACGUGAGCCAAGAAUGCAACACACUCCUUACGCAGGAGUUUCUGAGCUUUGAUGCAGGAGAUGAUACGAAGGUUGGAACCGAGUUUGUCGCCAUAGAUCACUAGAGUUUGACCAGAAGGAAGGUUAAGACGGAUGGCUUUUUCGAAGCAAAGGAUAUCUGCAUGAUUGGGGCUCAACCAAUCCAUGCCAAUAAUGACAUCAAAGCUCUUUAUGGAUACUGGCAUAAGAUCGACAGGGAACGAAUGGUCGUUUAAGGUAAGAAUGCAAUCUACGAAUACCUCACUCGCACUUUCUUUCUCUCCGUUUGCCAUUUCAACGGUAAACAUUUCAGUUAGUGGUUGGGAAUUAUGUUUUAGGUUAUGUUUGAAUGCAUGACUAAUAAAACUUCUUUCAGCGCCCGAAUCGAAAAGAAUAUUAGCAUACGAGUUGUCGAGAAGAAACGUACCCGAGACAACAUUGGGAUCAGCAACUGCUUCUUCUCGUCCCAUAGCAAGAACUCUUCCUGUGUUGCCAGCAGUAGUCUUCUUGGGGCAGUUCCUUUUAAAGUGCCCGGCUUCACCACAAUUAUAACAGGCUUGACCAACGCCUGUUCCAGAGGAUUGAUUUGCUGAAUGAGUCGGAGCUUUGCAGUAUCGAACAGUGUGUCCCUUUUUACCACAAUUGGUACAAGAUAGUUCUCGACAGGGACCAGGGUUGUGGUGAUACUUGCAUUUUUCACAGAGAGGGAGGUUACCAACAUAUCGGCUAGUAGGAGUUGAGGCUGUGGAUCCCAUGACAGAAACUGCAGUAACAGGAGUAACAGUAGACAGGUACAGGUGCCAUGUUUCCAAAAGAUGGAGUUCAUUCAAGACUCGUCUUUUAUUUUGAUAUGUAUAUUUUUGGUGUCUAUAUAACUUGACAGAACACACAUGUAUGAAAUUAUAUUAUUAAUGCAAUGGAUGAUGUUGUAGCUUGUUUACUAUUAUUCAUUGUUGUGAUACUGUACAUGAUGUCCUCCGCCCCAGAACGUUUCCGCCACUCAUGGUUUUGGGGUGUGACAUAUUGGUAUUAGAGUAUUUUUAUAGUGAAUUGAGUAUAUCAACCCAUAAAAGAUAUACGAACUAUAAAUACAAUGGGAUAAAAGUACUCUGACCAAGAGUUUAUACUUUAAAUAUUAAAAUAUUUAAUUAAGUAUACGUGCCUACAUUCAUACUAAAAUUAGUGUCACUAAGACAUUACAAAAAUAUUACGAUUGUUGGGCAACACAAGUAGACUUAGAGACAUAUAGUCAAAACUGGGAAGAUAUAGCCUGAUCAACUAUAUUAUCCGACGGUUGACUAGCAUGUGCCUAAGUGUGGUCGUGAGGUUGCAACAAGUCUAAAAACUUACCCACAAUACCACAAUAAGAACAAUAGAACCUAAACUUAAAGUACUAUCAGAGUAUUUUGCAUUACUAUAAGUUACUUAUGUACUAGAUUUUUAUACCUCUCUUCUCGCGUAGAUUUAAUGGUUGGAUUCCACUUUCCCGGAGACCCGUACUAUCCCAACCACGGCAAUGCAGGAUGGCUGGAAGAAGAACCAGAAGAUGAUCUUCCAAUUCCUUUGGAUGAUCAUGAAGCUAAAGGCUUUUCUGAUGGUUCUGACUCAGAGCCAGAGGUCAACAACCUACCUCCAGCUGAUCAAAACCCAAACCCUCACCCAACAUUUCAAGAACCCACACCCUUGUGGGCAACCAACCUGAAUCGCUGGAGCGACGAGCAGGGUCAACCCUUACCUUACUUUGGGGACCAAAGCUUUUACAACCUCAGCGCAGGUGGCUCUGCUGAUCGAGCUCUGCCCGUCAUUGUCCGCAGAAUAGCUCGUAAUGUUGACCAGGGUCAAGCAGCCAUCAAUCGAGUCAUGGAAAUAGAUUCCAACUCUAGUGUCAACACUGUCCGCAUUCGCCAGCUAGAGUCUGCUCACAAAAGGGCUCUGGUUCACAAUGCAGCUCUUCGGAGGGAACUCACAAAAACCCGAGCUGAAGUCAGAGAACUUCGAGUGCAGCAAGCAAGAGCUGAUAGGCGCAUGAGGGACAUAGAACGUCUCCUGUCGGGAUCAAGAAAUCACUCUGGUAGUUCUCGUCGCCGAUAGAUUCUCAUCAACUUCUCUCUUUUGGAUAUAACCUAGUUAUGUAAAACUCUGGUCUAAUUCCUUAUCUUUGUAAAUCAUAGGCCUGUUAGGUCUUGGUUAGGUUGUAAUUCUGUCAAAAUUUUCCCAUUUUGGUUGAUGUAAGGCCUCCUUCUGUUGGCCGUUUUUCCCAAACUUGUUACAUCUGUAAUUCCAGUAAUAUUGACAGGUACCUAAUCUUAUGGGAAUUAUUAUCCAAAUUUGUUAAUCUAUUAGUUCUAGAUUUUCAUUCAAUCGUAUUGUUGGGCUAUGGAGAGUUAGUCCAUGAGUCAUUCUCAUCAAUUCUUCCAUUAAAUUCUUAUCAAUGUUUUCAUCUUCAUAAACUUAUAGAUCAAAGAUGCCGCCUCGCAGAAAUCCAAGGAGAAACCUUAAUAAUGAAACNAAUAACGAAACACCGACACCACCUCCUCAACCACCUACUCCUCAGUUCGACGCGACAGCCUUAAAUGUUGCUGUAGCUGCAACUGUGGCUACAGCCAUGGCUCAAUAUCAUUCAUUUGGUUCCACUGGAGGAGGAACCUUGUCCUGUCUACUCAUGGUGAAAUCCUGGUGCGCUUGAAAGAGUGCUCCUACAAGGACUUCACCAACUGCAACCCAUUGUCCUUCAAGGGGACUGGCGGAGUCAUUGCCCUCUCGCAAUGGUUCGAGAAAACCGAAUCGGUUUUCAAAAUCUGCUCUUGUCCCGAGGAGAGCAAGGAGAAGUUUGCUACUUGCACCUUCGAAACGAAAGCCCUAACAUGGUGGAACCGCCAUGUUAAGUCACUAUCUCUUAUAGUGGCUAAUGCUAUGGGCUGGGAAACUUUGAAAUACCUCAUGAUUGAGGAGUACUGCCCGAGGGGCGAGAUUCAAAAGCUAGAGGAAGAGCUAUGGAGCCUAACCAUGAAGGGCUCCAACGUACUCACCUACACCGCUAGAUUCUGCGAGCUGGUGGCCCUCUGUCCCAACAUGAUUCCUUCAGAGGGAAAGAAAAUCGAGAGAUACAUAUGGGGGUUGGCGCCACCAUACCAGGGAAAUGUUUUAGCAUCACACCCCACUACAUUUGAUAGUGCCAAACGAUUGGCACAACGGCUCAUAGACCAUGGGGUUCGUACCCCGGCCGCAACAACUACCCUGGCCAUCUCAUAACCUAUGAGAACUGUUGAUUCCAAGCGGAAGUUUUGGGAUGACAAGAAGAAGGCUAAGGCUGCCAAAAAGCAGCAGGUUGUGGCAGUACAUGCUGCGAUAGCACCUACUGCUGCUGCUCCGGUAAAGCAGUACGCUGGAAGUUUGCCUAAGUGCAACAAAUGCAACUUCCAUCACGUCGGAGCCUGCCGGGAGAUGCAGUGUCUGAACUGCAACGGGAAGGGGCACACUACCCAUUUCUUUAAAGCUCCGACAAAUCCAAUCAACCAAGCCCCCGGUGCUGGAGUGGGCCAAACUUGCUACGGAUGUGGCGAGGUAGGCCACUUCAAAAGAAACUGCCCGAAGGCAGGGUUUGCCGAUGGAGCGACAAGAGUUCUGGCCAUAGGCCAUGAGGGCGGUUGCCGACCCCACAUGGUCACUGGUACGUUCCUCCUUGAUAACUCUUAUGCAUGCAUUCUAUUUGAUAGUGGAGUGGAGAGGAGUUUCGUGAACCAAAAAUUUGCUCAUUUACUUAAGCAAAAACCAUGAGCACUUAAUGAACCGUUCACUGUAGAAAUGGCUAAUGGAAAGACAGAGAGCACUAGCAGUAUAUUCAUAGGGUGUACCCUAACUUUAGAUACCCAUUCAUUUUCGAUCGAUCUCAUGCCGGUCUCCAUUAAAAGUUUCGACGUCAUUAUCGGCAUGGAUUGGUUGAGUCUCCAUCGUGCCAAUAUCAUGUGUUAUGUAAAGAUUGUUCGCCUUAAUCUGCUGUCUGGCAAAACCCUAGUAGUUUAUGGCGACAAACCCGGCACGAACCUUCGUAUCAUCUCGAGCAUCCAAGCUCAGAAAUUCUUGUGAAAGGAAUGCCAUGCAUUCCUUGCUCAUGUGGUCGAUGUGAGCCAAGAAACGAAGGACAUUCAGAACAUUCCAAUAGUACGUGACUUACCUGACAUCUUUCCAGAAGAACUCCCAGGAUUACCUCCACAACGUCAAGUCGAGUUCCGAAUCGACUUAGUUCCAGGGGCUACCACCGUAGCCAAAUCGCCCUAUCGUCUAGCACCUGCAGAGAUACAAGAACUGUCCGGUCAACUUAACGAACUGCUCAGCAAGGGCUUUAUAAGACCAAGCUUCUCACCCUGGGGAGCUCCAGUCUUGUUCGUCAAGAAGAAGGACGGAUCGUUUCGUAUGUGCAUCGACUACAGGGAGCUCAACAAACUGACGGUCAAAAAUCGUUAUCCAUUUCCUCGUAUUGACGAUUUAUUUAACCAACUUCAAGGGGCGAACUUUUCAAAAAUCGACUUGAGAUCCGGAUAUCACCAACUACGAGUGCUAGGGGAGGAUGUUCGAAAGACAUCCUUCCGAUCUCGUUAUGGGCACUACGAAUUCGUAGUGAUGCCGUUCGGAUUAACAAACGCGCCCGCUGUAUUCAUGGACUUAAUGAAUAGGGUGUGUCGUCCUUACUUGGAUCAAUUCGUCAUCGUCUUCAUCGAUGACAUACUUAUCUACUCUCGUAGUAAGGAGGAGCAUAGUCAACAUCUGCGACAAGUCCUCGAAACAUUACGUUCGGAGAAGCUCUACGCGAAGUUCUCGAAAUGCAAAUUUUGGAUUCGACGAGUCGAAUUCAUAGGGCACGUGGUUAGCGAAGAGGGUAUACGCGUGGACCCUUCGAAAAUCAAGGCCAUUGAGAACUGGUCAGCACCGAAGACGCCUACAGAAAUUCGUCAAUUUCUAAGCCUCGAUGUCUACUAUCGCAGGUUCAUUCAGAACUUCUCCCGCAUUGGGAAACCUCUUACAACACUGACCUAGAAGGGCGUGGCCUUUGACUGGGAAGAGAAGUAGGAAAGAGCGUUUCAAACGCUCAAACGAGCCUUGUGCACCGCACCAGUACUAUCCCUUCCCAAAGAAAUAGAAGACUUCGUUGUCUAUUGUGAUGUGUCGAAUCAAGGACUCGGAUGUGUUCUGAUGCAGCGAGGUAAGGUCAUCGCCUAUGCCUCGAGACAGCUAAAGACACAUGAGGUCAAUUACACGACUCACGAUCUUGAACUGGGAGCAGUUGUGUUUGCUCUGAAGAUCUGGAGACAUUACUUGUAUGGAACGAAAACACUAUCUUUACAGAUCACUAAAGCUUACACCACAUAUUCGACCAGAAGGAGCUCAACAUGAGACAACGACGGUGGGUCAAGCUACUUAGUGAUUACGAAUGCAAAAUUCGUUAUCAUCCGGGUAAAGCCAACGUAGUAGCUGACGCCCUAAGUCGGAAGGAAUAUUCUGGUCGUAGAGUCAAAUCAUUGACUAUGACUAUCCAUUCACAUUUGUCCACACAAAUUAAGGCGGCUCAGCUCGACGCUUUGAAGCCUGAAAAUGUGGCGGGUGAAUCCCUGAGAGGGAUGGAUAAGAACUUGGAGGUUAAGGGUGGCGGAGCUUAUUAUUUCAUGGACCGGAUCUGGACCCUGAAACUCGGUGGUUUCGGAGACUUGGUCAUGAACAAGGCGCAUAACACUCGUUAUUCCGUGCACCCGAGAUCAGAUAAGAUGUAUCUGGAUCUCAAAAAGUUAUACUGGUGGGGUAACAUGAAAGCAGAGAUUGCUACCUUCGUGAGUAAAUGCCUUACUUACGCAAAGGUCAAGGUUGAAUACCAGAAACCCUCCGGUCUAUUACAACAGCUUGAGAUACCAGAAUGGAAGUGGGAGCGGAUAACUAUGGAUUUCAUAACCAAGUUGCUCAAGACAACGGGUGGACUUCAUACCAUAUGGGUCAUCGUCGAUAGAUUGACCAAGUCUGCACACUUCCUACCAAUCAAAGAAACAGACAAGAUGGAAAAACUUACAAGAACAUACAUUAGGGAGAUUGUACGACUGCACGAUGUUCCCUUAUACAUUAUCUCGGACAGAGAUUGUUGAUUCACUUCGAGGUUCUGGUAGUCGUUACAAAGUUCCUUAGGAACUAGGUUGGACAUGAGUACAACCUACCAUCCACAGACCGACGGGCAAAGUGAGAGAACUAUCCAAACCUUGGAAGAUAUGUUGCGAGCCUGUGUGAUCGACUUUGGGAAAGCAUGGGAUACUCAUUUACCCCUUGUCGAAUUUUCCUACAACAACAGUUAUCACACGAGCAUAAAGGCUGCUCCAUUCGAGGCCCUCUAUGGCCGAAAGUGCAGAUCCCCUCUGUGCUGGGCUGAGGUGGGUGAUACCUAGUUAGCUAAAAGACGAGUUCCUGACAGCACUCUCACAGGUCCGAAAAUCAUACGGGAAACGACGGAGAAGAUCGUUCAGAUCCGUGAACGAUUGAAAUCCUCCAGAGACUGACAAAAAAGCUACGCUGAUAAACGUAGGAAACCGUUGGAAUUCCAGGUGGGUGACCGUGUUCUAUAGAAGGUCUCACCCUGGAAGGGCUUGAUACACUUCGGAAAGCGUGGAAAGCUAAAUCCAAGGUACGUAGGGCCUUUCGAGAUUCUUGCAAGAAUCGGCCCUGUAGCUUACAAACUUAACUUACACCGCGAACUCAGUAACGUACAUUCUACCUUCCACGUAUCGAACUUGAAAAAAUGUCUGUAUGACGAAACUCUUGUUAUUCCACUCGACGAGAUCGAGAUCAACGAGAGCCUCAACUUCGUGGAGGAACCAGUAGAGAUCAUGGACCGAGAGGUCAAGCAAACGAAACAAAGUUGUAUCGCAAUAGUGAAGGCUCGCUGGAACGCCAAGCAAGGACCGGAAUUCACUUCGGAGCGUCAGGAUCAGAUGAAACUGAAAUAUACUCGUCUUUUUUACUUAGUUAUUUGUAACUACUUAUUUGCUUAAAUUCUAAUUUCGGGACGAAAUUCCUUCCAAGGAGGGGAUGAUGUGACAAACAAUUUCUAUUAUGUACAAACAUAUCAAGUCAAUAGAAGUCAGAACAGUUGCUGUUAAUUUUCAGACUUUUUAGAAUAAGUUUGAGUAUUUAAGGAUUCACACUUUAGAGAUAUCAGGAGAGAGGAUGCACUAGGGUUAUUGUGCAACACUGUUAUUCCAAAACUCUAAGAAAUUAGAGUUUAUUGCCUGAAUAAAAUAUUUUCUGCCAAAAACCCUAAAUUUAGGAGUAUAUAUAUGAGAACUUGUCAUUAUUUACACUUUUUCCAAAAACUCAAGAUCCAAACCCAUUUCUUUCUCAAGUAUCAUCCAAAAGAUUUUCAAGAUCUUCAAACUAGUAAGUGAUUCUAGUUUUCUUAUGUGGUUAUAUGGCUUAAUCUAGUGUUUUAACACUCUUCUAACCGUGAAAUCAUUCCAAAAGGUUGAUUCUUCCAUUUACACCAAGAACACCAAGAACACACACUGCAUGGAAAGCUAAAUCCAAGGUACGUAGGGCCUUUCGAGAUUCUUGCAAGAAUCGGCCCUGUAGCUUACAAACCUAACUUACACCGCGAACUCAGUAACGUACAUUCUACCUUCCACGUAUCGAACUUGAAAAAGUCUCUGUCUGACGAGACUCUUGUUAUUCCACUCGACGAGAUCGAGAUCAACGAGAGCCUCAACUUCGUGGAAGAACCAGUAGAGAUCAUGGACCUAGAGGUCAAGCAAACGAAACAAAGCUGUAUCCCGAUAGUGAAGGUUCGCUGGAACGCCAAGCAAGGACCGGAAUUCACUUCGGAGCAUCAGGAUCAGAUGAAACUGAAAUAUACUCGUCUUUUUUACUUAGUUAUUUGUAACUACUUAUUUGCUUAAAUUCUAAUUUCGGGACGAAAUUCCUUCCAAGGAGGGGAUGAUGUGACAAACCGAAAUUUCUAUUCUGUACAAACAUAUCAAGUCAAUAGAAGUCAGAACAGUUGCUGUUAAUUUUCAGACUUUUUAGAAUAAGUUUGAGUAUUUCAGGAUUCAUACUUUAGAGAUAUUAGGAGAGAGGAUGCACUAGGGUUAUUGUGCAACACUAUUAUUCCAAAACUCUAAGAAAUUAGAGUUUACUGCUUGAAUAAAAUAUUUUCUGCCAAAAACCCUAAAUUUAGGAGUAUAUAUAUGAGAACUUGUCAUUAUUUACACUUUUUCCAAAAACUCAAGAUCCAAACCCAUUUCUCUCUCAAGUAUCAUCCAAAAGAUUUUCAAGAUCUUCAAACUAGUAAGUGAUUCUAGUUUUCUUAAGUGAUUAUAUGGCUUAAUCUAGUGUUUUAACACUCUUCUAACCGUGAAAUCAUUCCAAAAGGUUGAUUCUUCCAUUUACACCGAGAACACCAAGAACACACAUUAGUGUUCUUGGACUUUUAGCUCAUAUCAAGCUUCCAUAUAGUAAGUACUUCUAUCCUAGAGUCUUAUAAAACUUGUUAUACAUCUUUACAUCAAGAAAAUGUCCCAAGAACAAGGUGUUCACGGUUCAAGAAGUUCUUGAACCGUAAACACCAAGUAAAGAUGCCAAAGUGUGCUUAGUCCCUUCCUAUGCCUUAGUAACUAACAUGGAUCCAUUCUUUGGUGAGCUAAGGACUUGAAAACCCCCCAAAAUACCAUGAACCUUAUGAGUUUAUGGUAGUAAACUCAAAGGAAAAUGGUUUAGGAACCAUAAACUCCAAAUAGGAGUGAAAUGGUACCCUAGUUCCUUCCAUAGACACAUAGUUCAAGUAGAAAAGCUUCUAGAGACUUUUUAAGGCUUCAAACAACAAAUGGUCAAAAGUGUAUGAGCUUAUGGCCAUAAACUCAAGGGUUUACGACCGUAAACUCUUUUGUUAGUGACCACAAAACCGUAAACUCCCUAAUGGAGUUUUCCUUGAACCCCAAACACACUAGCCUUUCCNAACACUUAGAUGCAAUCCUUGGGACUUAUAACACAUGUAUAAGGUGUUUAGCAUGUCCUAGGGUGUCUUAACUUUGUUUAUUAGUUGUUUAAAGACUAAUUGGAUACACGUAUGUGAUAUUAUAUGUUAACUAGGAUCAUAGAGUGUGUUCAAGACUUCAGUUGACACCUAGCAAUCCUACAUCUUCAAUUCAUCCGUACCACUCACUACAGGUGAGUUCAUACCACUUAAUCAAUGGUUUAAAACUUUUUAAAUGCUUUUAUGGGGGGAAUACAAGUUGAAUACUUAUAGUUAUUAUAUCAAUCACAUGUGAUUAAUAACUACCAAACCAGUAGUUUGCUUACUGUUCAAACUGUUUAUCGAACUGUUUUGCUUCAAACUGUUUUAAAAACUCUUUUACUUAUCAAAUACUUUUACUUAAACUCUUUUAUACUUAUUAUCAAAUGCAUGCCUACGUAUGUACAUAUAAGCAAUGUUUAAAGGGCUUAGGAAGGCCAGCUUGCAUUAUCUCCUUUUCCUCGUUGGGAUGUGGCUAUAGGGCAUCGGUUAUCCGUCCGAAGGUCGUCUAAUAUAUUAUGUAUACAUAUAUAAACAUAGAAGUUAUUUCAUCCAGUUCCAUACCUUUGGGUAGCAAGGGAUUCACAAACAUGAUCAUGCAUUACUAGUAAGCUACCAUAGGGGUAGCACAGGAAGAUUCUAAUACUAUUACUAGAACAAUGAAACAUACAAUGAGUCAGUUCAUUCAUGAGUCCAUACGAGUAGCACACAGAGUACAUUACUAUACAUGCUAGAUAGGGAUUCCAUGUUUUUGAGUUACUUUUGGAGCACUUUGUGGAGGAAAGUUGGACUUGGUUUAGGUGCAUAUGAGGAAAGAACGUUUUCCUAACAAAAGGAAGAACAAAAGUUGAUGCCAAGAGCUGAAGGUCCAUACAAAGUGGGGACACAUGUCAAUGAUAAUGCUUAUAAGGUGGAUCUGGGAGGAGACCAUGGAGUGCAUGCUACCUUUAAUGUGGGAGACCUUUCAACGUAUCUAGUUGAGGAUGGACUUGAUGAAUUGAGGUCAUUUCCUUUCAAAGGGGGAGGAGAAGAUCCAUGCAUGGAUAAUGAAAGCCCAAAAGGUGAUGGAUUAAUGAUUACUAGUUGGCUAGAAGGUGGUUUGUACUCAAUGGUUGGGUUGUGCAUGGUAACCUAUGUAUUGAAUUAGGGUCACAUGAAGGCUAGGGCAACAUUUUAAAGGCUUCAUAAGAGCUCAAAACCGUUACUUUUUGCUUCAUCAAGCCUUCUAGCCAUUUUUGAUACUCUUUGGUGGAUUUGGGUUACACUUUAAUGCUUCUUUUGGCUCCUUAACGGAACAUGGACGCUUUUUUCAUUCAUUAGUGUGUCAAACAUUUUUUUUGUGGUUUCAUGAGUUUCUUUAAUUUUCAUUAUUAGUUUUACUGAGUAGUUGGUUGGGUGGCUUGUAACCACCAACUUUGUAAUAAAGGCUUCAUAUAAGCCAAGUAUGCAUGGAAAAAAGAGAUAGAUAAAAUUUUAAUCAAAAAUGUAACAACCCGAAGUUGUUCAUCGCCGAAAACCCAUUCUACCUGUAUAACUCGUCGUAUAUCAAUUCGUUCCGAUGUCGUUUUUUGGGUUAAAUU